rnacentral:lncRNA from 1 species
UAGACAACGGUAGUAGUUGGAACUAGAUACAAACCAAUAAAAAACAAGAUCUCAAAUCUCCAACCAAUAAAGAGUUCAACCCAAAUUUUACAGUAACACCAUUAUAUUCAAAUAGUGAUUAUUCCAACACAUGGAUAAUUAAUUAAGGCACCAGGUUGCCCUUGUGACUAGGAAAGACAAACUUAUGAACUUGCAAGCAUGGCAAUCAGAUCGACAUCCACACAAUGCCAAUAUGAACAUUGUCUUGAUACAACUUUAUUUUUAUUUUAUUUCAGAAUUUAAACAACUAGUAUGGGCGGGUCACACACGACAUUGUGUGACACUUUAUUUGUCACCGCUGCAUCGACAUAUCCAUCGACUAAACAACGGUGAUCCAACUAUAUAUUACUAGAGACCUUUCCUUAUUAGUAGGAACCAACUCCGGUGCCAACACCGAAUGGCACACUAGUGGUGGUUCUAUACAACGGCACAUUGACACGGCACAUCGUUGGCAGGGUACGGAGCGCAAUGGAAGUCAUCACCUCAAGCUGAGCUAUCUGGUGUGGCUGCAAAAAGGUACCUUGUGCCAAUUGUUGUUGUUGAGGUUGUUGCCCGAGUUGUUGUUGUGACUGCUGUUGGGGUUGGGAAACACAUUGGCCCAACUGUUGGGGUUGCUGCUGAGGAGUUUGGAUGGAACCCUGAACCUGUUGUUGUUCUUGCAGGAUGAUGGAGUAGAUGAUAGCACGGAUUGCCUCAUAGCGGGAUUGCUGGGGGAUUUGCGGCAACUGCUGGCAACAUUGUUGUUGCAUCACAUGGCAACUGCUCUGCUGCAACAUUUGCGACCUAGCAAGACUUUGUGGCAUUGCCACAGGGCUGCAUUGCUGCUGGAGGAAUACCUUGCAUGGGUUUAGCUGCUGCAAGAUAGAUGGAUGAACAAAUGGUAUUUGUUGUUGCGGUAGAACUAGUUGUUGUUGUUGCUGCGAAAAUGGUGGUUGUUGCGGUAGACUUGGUUGUUGUUGUUGCAAAAAUGGUGGUUGUUGCUGUAGUACUAUUUGUUGUUGUUGCGAAAACGGUGAUUGUUGCUGUGAAAAUGGUGGUAGUUGUUGCUGUGAAAAUGAUGGUUGUUGCGGUAGAACUGGUUGUUGUUGCUGCGAAAAUGGUGGUUGUUGUUGUGAAAAUGGUGGUUGUUGUUGCUGCGAAAAUGGUGGUUGUUGUUGUGAAAANNNNNNNNNNNNNNNNNNNNNNNNNNNNNNNNNNNNNNNNNNNNNNNNNNNNNNNNNNNNNNNNNNNNNNNNNNNNNNNNNNNNNNNNNNNNNNNNNNNNNNNNNNNNNNNNNNNNNNNNNNNNNNNNNNNNNNNNNNNNNNNNNNNNNNNNNNNNNNNNNNNNNNNNNNNNNNNNNNNNNNNNNNNNNNNNNNNNNNNNNNNNUGGUUGUUGUUGCUGCGAUAAUGGUUGUUGUUGUUGCUGCGAAAAUGGUGGUUGUUGUUGUGAAAAUGGUGGUUGUUGUUGCUGCGAUAAUGGUUGUUGUUGUUGUUGCUGUGAACAUGGUUGCUGUUGUGAAAAUGGUUGUGGUUGUUGUUGGAUGGGUUGUUGUUGUUGGUGGUGCGAUAAUGUUUGUUGUGGUGGUAAUGGUUGUUGCUGCGAUGGUCUCUCCAAACCAGGGAUGUGGCUAUUCUCCAUUUGUGCAAUGGCACUUGUCGCCACAAUGGCGAGGAGAGCAAAGAUGAGGAAGGUCUUCAUGGUGGAUUGGUGUUAACCAGUGUUGCUUGGUUUUGAUGCUUGUGCUUGUGAUGAUCUUUAUACUUCAUGCCUAUUUAUAGUAGCCCGGGCACCACCUCUUUUCUUCUUUGCAUUAGCUUUAAUAAUUCUGUUUGGAUGCAUCUAAAAUGAUUUUUGGUACAAUGUGUUAGGUUGCACUAGCUACACGCGUACUUUUGGAUUGAUCAUCAAAGUUGCUUUUUAGUUGUGCAUAUGAUCACACACAAAGUACAGAAACCUUGAUGUUUGGUACAUAUGACUCACCUUAUUCACUUUACAUGUCACACACUUAUCUGGAUAGUAUCACUUUUGCAACCGAGUUUGGAACCUUGUAUAGGCUGUCAUCCAUAAACAAGAAAGGCAAAACUUGUGUAGGACUAAGUUUGCAAUCGGAGGGUUCUUCUAGACUCGAUUUCUUUUCGUAAAACUAACUUUGUAUUUUUCCUCUAAGAUGAUAAGAUGAACCGACGCCUAUAGAGCAUGACAUGACUCAUCGAAUUCCCUUUACAUGUAAAGGAUGGUAAUUGCUUACAAGCUACUCCUACUAGCAUAUAUCCGGUUCCAAGCCUAGACACGUCAUCAUCAGUUUCGUCUAUUUUUUUAGAUAAAUCAUCAGUUCUAUCUAUUUGUGAAGGGUUUUUUUGGGGGGAAAUGAUAGUUUUUUUAUGCUAGGGGGGUUUUUUNNNNNNNNNNNNNNNNNNNNNNNNNNNNNNNNNNNNNNNNNNNNNNNNNNNNNNNNNNNNNNNNNNNNNNNNNNNNNNNNNNNNNNNNNNNNNNNNNNNNNNNNNNNNNNNNNNNNNNNNNNNNNNNNNNNNNNNNNNNNNNNNNNNNNNNNNNNNNNNNNNNNNNNNNNNNNNNNNNNNNNNNNNNNNNNNNNNNNNNNNNNNNNNNNNNNNNNNNNNNNNNNNNNNNNNNNNNNNNNNNNNNNNNNNNNNNNNNNNNNNNNNNNNNNNNNNNNNNNNNNNNNNNNNNNNNNNNNNNNNNNNNNNNNNNNNNNNNNNNNNNNNNNNNNNNNNNNNNNNNNNNNNNNNNNNNNNNNNNNNNNNNNNNNNNNNNNNNNNNNNNNNNNNNNNNNNNNNNNNNNNNNNNNNNNNNNNNNNNNNNNNNNNNNNNNNNNNNNNNNNNNNNNNNNNNNNNNNNNNNNNNNNNNNNNNNNNNNNNNNNNNNNNNNNNNNNNNNNNNNNNNNNNNNNNNNNNNNNNNNNNNNNNNNNNNNNNNNNNNNNNNNNNNNNNNNNNNNNNNNNNNNNNNNNNNNNNNNNNNNNNNNNNNNNNNNNNNNNNNNNNNNNNNNNNNNNNNGCCGCCACCGCUCGACAAAAAAGGUCACUUUUGUAGCUCCCCCGUCGAUUGCGGGCCGUACGUCGACGGCAGCCACUCCGACCUCCCCGUCAACACAAGGUAUCGAUCUGUUUCGUCUGUCUCUUCCAGCGAUUCAAUGCACAUAAAUCCGAGAGGCAGACCCAUCUCCAUGCUAGCUGCACGGAUCAGGAGGGUCAGGCAUCAGAAUUCAGCUGGGAAGCCUGACACUAAUGUACAUUUGUGGCUUUAGUAGCUGAAUAUAACUAUGUGUUUUCUGAGAAUUUCACUUCAAAAGUUCCAAUAAUCAUCAAAUUUCCGCCUAUGCGCGCUAAGCAGGUGGACCAUAUAUUUCUCAUGUCGACGAACGAAAAAACAAAACUCCACAACUAGAAGUCUAUGAUAUUGACACGGAACCGUGCUGUAGGGUCGCAAGUAAAAAUAUGAAAAGCAUGCCUAACACUACUAGGAAAAGGGCUAUAGAUGGAAUUGACACUAAUGACGCACCAGACAUGUGGUGCGCCAUUAGUAUAUACUAAUGGCGCACCAUCUUCUGAUGCGCCAUUAGUGUUGAAAUUACUAAUGGCGCACCCUGCCCACGGUGCGCCAUUAGUACCAAUUUUUUUUUGAACUAGUGCGCCUGUCCAAACAUACUAAUGGCGCAUCCGCUGGUGGUGCGCCAUUACUAGUUGUAACUAGUAAUGGUGCACCAGCCAGAGGGUGCGCCACUAAAGUUAUUUUUUUUAUUAUUGUUUUUAUUCCUUUUUUUGCAAAAGUACUAAUGGCGCACUCACACGCGGUGCGCCAUUACUAGUUCAAACUAGUAAUGGCGCACCGUGGCAGAGUGCGCCAUUAGUAUGUUUUUUUUUCAAAACUACUAAUGGCGCACCACCUGGUGGUGCGCCAUUAGUAACCUGGAUUACUAAUGGCGCAUUUGUUGCUGGUGCGCCAUUAGUAAGUGGGCAGCAACAAGAUAUUUUGGACAGCCUCUCCUCCCACACUCACUUUCUCCCCAUUUCAUUCUCUCCACCGCCUCCUCAUGUCUCGGGUGCCUCCUCUUUUUCACCUCAUUUCCACCAUAGAUUCAUUCAAAUUAAGUGGUUAAGUUACCUUGUUUUGCUAGGUAAGUAAGGGGGGAAGCUAUAUUUAUGUUGUUCUCCCUACAACAGUGUGCACAUGCACUUUUUAUGGCCUAGCUAGAUCUAUGUAUGUUCGUGGUGUUGCAUAUGUUUGUGGUGUUGCAUAUGUGUUUGUGUUUGAAGGUGUACCGGUAUUUGAAAUGCGAUAGUUGCCAAUAUUUUGCCGGAAUGUUGAUUCAUUUCCGUUUCGGCGAGAAUUUUGGCAUUAAGCAUUCUUUUUGGUCCUAUUUUUAGGGAAAGUCAUGCCAAAUUUUUUCUUGGUUCUAAAAUAUCGUUUUGCUCUACCCCGCAGGCGACCAUGGUCCGCACGAUGACCGAAGGCAUCGUGAAUAGGUUUUUGAGGUCCACGAAGGCCGAGAUGCUUCAAAAGAACGAGACGGAGAUAAGAUGUCCGUGUCGAAGAUGCAAGCUGAAUAGCCUUAUUGCGGACCCGGAUUCCGGGCAGGUGCGGGACCACCUGCUCUUGCGUGGUUUCAUGGAUGGCUGUCGGUGGCAAGGUGAUGAAGAUGACUACGAAGUCGUCCAUGGGGGCCGGGCAAGAAAUGAGGAAGGGCAGCAAGACAACCACCGCGGCUCGGGGGGGCGAGAAGAAGAAGAAUCCCCAGGAGAUGAUCACGACGGUGAUGUUGUACACAGUCAUCAUGUAGAAGAUGCAGGACAUGAUGAUGAUGCCGGCGGAGCAGACGACGCUGGACCAUCGAUGGGCUGGGUGCAGGACCCUCAUAUUCAAGAGCUGCUUCUCAAGCAGACGGAUAACGCAAGAGCUGCCGCCCGAGAGAAAGCCAAGAUGGAUCAACUUGAGUUAGACGCGGUUACUCCAUUGUAUGAAGGAUGCAGGCCCGAGGAUACCCGCCUGAAAGUAACACUCAUGGCUCUGGAGAUGAAGGUAAAACACAAAAUGACCGACGCAUGCUUCGACGAGAACAUGUCAUUCUGGCACGAACGUCUUCCCAAAGGGAACAAGUGCCCGACCAGUUUGGAGGAGGCGAAGAAAAUCGUGUGUCCUCUGGAUUUACCGCACGUGAAAUACCAUGUGUGCAUGAACAAUUGCAUCAUUUAUCGGGACGAGCACGCGGAGUCUACCAUAUGUCCGGUGUGCGGUGUCACUCGAUACAAGAAGGGGAAGAAAGCUCCUCGAAAAGUGGUGUGGUACUUUCCGAUCACUCCUCGUCUGCAGCGGUAUUUCGCGGACCCUAAGGUAGCAAAGCUCCUGCGUUGGCACGCGGAUAGGGAGGAGAAGAAGCGAGAAGAUGACGCAAAUGAUACGGAGAUAGAUAAAAAAGACAAGAUGCUGAGUCACCCUAAGGAUGCGAGCCAGUGGCAAGCGUUGAACUUCGAAUAACCAGAAUUUGGGAACGAUCCAAGGAACAUCGUGCUGGGCGCGAGCACCGGUGGAGUCAAUCCGUUUGGCAGCCAGAGAAGCACACAUAGCACCUGGCCUGUGUUUGUGUGGAUGUACAACCUUCCCCCCUGGUUGUGCAUGAAGAGGAAGUACAUUCACAUGAGUAUGCUAAUUGAAGGGCCGAAACAACCAGGGAACGACAUCAAUCUGUAUCUGGGGCUGCUGAAAGAGGAGCUUGACACGCUGUGGAAAACGCCCACCAAUACGUGGGACGCCGCAGAGAAAGAAUAUUUCCCUAUGAGAGCCGCACUGCUCACGACGGUGCACGACUAUCUCGGUUACGGAUAUCUUGCGGGGCAGGUAGUCCACGGAUUUUCUGGAUGCGUAAGGUGCAUGGAUGACACAACGUAUCGCCAGCUAGAUAGAGACGAUGACCCGUGGAGGAAACGCAAGGAUCUGUUCGAUGGUGAAACCAAACCCCGAAAACGCCCGUGUACGAGGAGCGGCGAGGAAAUAGACAAGCUGUUGAAAAAUCGGAAAGACUGCCCACUGCCGGGAAAGAAGCAAAAGGUGCCAGAGCCGGGAAAGAAGCGAAAGGCGCCAGAGCCGCUGCUGAAGCUAUGGAAAACGAGGUCUGUUUUCUGGGACUUGCCGUACUGGAAGAUCCACCGUGUGCCUCACAGCCUUGAUGUCAUGCAUAUCACGAAGAACGUGUGCGAGAGUCUGCUUGGUACCCUGCUCAACAUGCCAGAGAGGACCAAAGAUGGGCCGAAAGCGAGGGCAGACUUGAAAUCAAUGGGCAUCAGGCAGGAGCUUCACGCUAUAUAUGAUGAUGAUGAUGAUGAUGAUGAUGAUGAUGAGGCGAAGCAGGACACAGAAAGUCGUCGCAAAGGCAAAAAGGCCAAGAAGACCGGAAAUGACUACCCUCCCGCGUGCUUCACUCUAAGUCAGGAGGAGAUCGAGCAGUUUUUCACCUGCCUCCUAGGAGUAAAACUUCCUUACGGUUACGCGGGGAAGAUAAGCAGAUACCUAGACCCAGCGAAGCAGAAGUUCAGCGGGAUGAAGUCUCACGAUUGUCACAUGCUGAUGACGCAGAUACUUCCAGUUGCAAUCCGUGGGAUCAUGGACGCGCACGUCCGUGAAACGCUAUUUGGCCUAUGCAACUUCUUCGACGUCAUCUCUCAGAAGUCGAUUGGCAUGAGGCAACUCAGAAGGCUACAGGAAGAGAUCGUGGUGAUACUAUGCGAGCUUGAGAUGUACUUCCCGCCCGCAUUCUUCGAUGUUAUGGUGCAUCUGCUGGUCCAUAUAGUGGGGGAUAUCAUCCAACUCGGGCCGAUGUUCCUGCACAGCAUGAUGCCGUUCGAAAGGAUGAAUGGUGUCAUCAAAGGAUACGUUCGCAACAUGUCACGUCCAGAAGGAAGCAUAGCCAGGGGCUUUCUGACCGAAGAGUGCAUCUACUAGUGCGCGAAUUAUCUAGGCAUCGAGAACCCCGUUGGUCUGCCCGUCAACAGGCACCUCGGCAGGCUCGCUGGAUGGGGUCACCGUGAGGGUCGCCGCGAAAUGCAUGUCGACUUCGAGGGUCGACUCGCCGACUUUGAAAGAGCAAACCUAGUCGCGCUACAACACAUAGACGUGGUCGAUGCUUGGGUGGUAGAGCACAAAACCUUUAUUAAGAAGACGUACAAUGACCGAGGCCAACAGAGGACGGACGGAGAUAUACUCAAAGAGCACAACUCAUGUUUCACGCGUUGGUUCAAGCAGAAGCUUCUGUCGUACCCUUUACAUGAGGAUUCUUCCGCGGAAGAACAACUCAUAUUCGCCUUGUCACAGGGCGCCGAGCACAACCUGAUGACCUAUGAGGCGUACGAUAUCAACGGCUACACAUUCUACACCGAGGCCAAGGACAUGAAGAGCGAUGGUUAUCAGAACUCCGGGGUAACGAUGGAAUCCUACACCGGUAACGACAAGGACAGAUACUACGGAAGGAUCGAGGAGAUCUGGGAGCUGAGCUAUGCUGGAGAGAAGGUCCCGAUGUUCCGUGUCAGAUGGGCCAAGAACGUCAUAAAAGAAGACCGGUAUUUCACCACCAUGGUUAUACCCGGAGCCAAAUCCAAGACCGCGAGCGCAAACGUCACCGCGAAAAAUGAGCCAUGGGUACUGGCUUCCCAAGUGGACCAAUGCUUCUUCAUUACCGACCCGCCAAAGCCCAGUCGUGUUGUCGUGAGGAGAGGCAAAAGGAAGAUCAUCGGAAUGGAUGGAGUAGCCAAUGAGCAAGACUUCGACAAGUACGGCGACCCGAGGAUCGAACAUGACGACGAUGAUGAAGUAGCAGCAUACACCACAAGAAGAAGCAGGACCACCCUACCUAAAGGACGUCCGUUCCACAGAAGAACUCCAUUUGCGAAAAAGAAGGGCAAGAAGAUUGUGAACAGAUAGCUAGCUAAGAUCGAUUGUAUUUAAAUCGUAGCCUUCAUUUCUCGAUUGUAUUUCAUGGGUACUUUUUGAACUAUCAUGAAUAUUUUUAAAUUUAAUGGACACUCGAUCUCGAUCCCCCUCCAUCUCGAUCGCUAUCCCACCUCGCCAGAUCCGGUCCCCCUCGCCGCCAAGCACCCCCCCAGCCCACCGGCCGCCGCCGCCGACCCCCCGCACCCUCGAUUCCCCUACCCAACCGCCGCCGCCGACCCACCGCACCCCGCGCACCCUCCCCUGCUCCACCAGCAUUACUGUUUGAUGAUAUUUUUAAAAAAAUUAUUAUUGUCUUAUAAAAAAAUAUUACUGUUAUGAUUUAAACAAGUUUGAACAUAUUUAAACACAAAUAAGUAUCAAACAGGUUUUUAAAUGCUAAAAAAAAUUUGUGGAGCCUGGGAGUCGAACCCAGGACCUCCUGGUGUGAGAACUGGCUGCUGACCAGUCGAGCUAGUAGAGGGGACUUGAUGUGGAUCAAUUCUGGUGGUACAUAACCUGUUGGCUCGAGUUGAAAUAAAAAAAAUACUAAUGGCGCACCACGGUGAGGUGCGCCAUUAGUAUGGAUGUACUUAUGGCGCACCGAGGGGUGGUGCGCCAUUAGUAUUGUGCCCGAUCCCUUCCCUCUCCCCCUUCGCCCGAUCCCCCCUUCCCUCUCCCCCUUGCCAGUUCCCUCUCCCUCGAUCCACCGCCGCCGCCGCCGCUGCCCUGACCCACUGCGCCGCAGCCGCCCACGCGCCCCCGCCGCCUCCCUCUCCCCUUCCUCCCCCUCGAGCCCGCGCCGUCCGCCCAAACCUAACCCGACGCCGUCCGCCGCGCCCGCUCCACCGCCGCCGCCCUGCCUCUCCGCCCUCUCCCUCCCUCNNNNNNNNNNNNNNNNNNNNNNNNNNNNNNNNNNNNNNNNNNNNNNNNNNNNNNNNNNNNNNNNNNNNNNNNNNNNNNNNNNNNNNNNNNNNNNNNNNNNNNNNNNNNNNNNNNNNNNNNNNNNNNNNNNNNNNNNNNNNNNNNNNNNNNCGUCGCCCCGCCGCCCCGACACCACCGUCCGUCGCCCCGCCGCCCCGCCGCCCCUCUCGCAGCAAGGUAUGCGGCUGGUUCGUCCCCUGUCAUGGUUCUCUCUUCGUUUAUUUUCCUGAAAUCUCUGCUGUUCAUUGGCCGAUGAUGUCUUACAAGUAAAAUAUCUGGCAAACUUGUGCUGUAAACUGUACAUUGCUGAGGCUGUGGGCAACCUGUUCUUCUCUUUGCCAUACUAGUGCUUUUGUUCAUUGGCCGAUGAUGUCUCUGUUGGUUUACGUCCCCGGCAAAUUAGGUACCCGUGAACCAUUUAUAGGCCCAACUUUCUUACUCUCAAUGACCACAAUGUGCUUAUUUUGUUAGGAUUGUGCAUUUGCGCGAUUUGUGCAGUGCUUAUUUGUUGGCACCUCACCAGCUUUCAAAUUCAGCAUUUGUAACACAGUUCAAUUUGAUCUAAGGGCCUAUCUUGUCUCAUUUCCAACAUGUAAUAAACUUCCCCCGAGGCCAUAGAUGAGAAUACUUCUUUCAGUACAUUUUGCUGAUUUCUCACUGUUGAAUACUUCAUUUCUGUUUGCCUUUGGCCAAAGAUGCAUUCAGUUCUUUCUGCCCUUAGCGGUUUGAUUCAAGUUUGUCAGGUUCUGUUAACUAAAAAGGUUCAGAUUCAGAAACAUUGUUGGACUACUAGGAAGUUGGACUACUAGGAACAUGUUUAGAUUCAGGUUCUGUUAACUAAAAAAGUUCAGGUUCUGUUAACUAAAAAAGUUCAGAUUCAGAAACCUGUAAUUUCUACUUUUAUGCCUCUGUUACUCCAGUCAAAAUUUUAUGUUUGAUGCCCAUGGUAGUUGAGCUCUCACCUCACCUCACGCAACAUGCAUGAUGCCACAAUGUCUAGUAUGUACUGCCAAGCAACUGGCAAAUAAUUAUAACUUAGAAUAAAUAAAUCUGAUGUAAGAUAAGCAUGGCAUGAGCUUUAAUUAAAUAGCAUAAUACACGUUGGUAGUCCAUCUCUCUCAAAAAAAAUACAUGUUGGUAGCAGAAAAAAAUACAUGUUGGUAGCAGAAAUUUUUUUGAGCCCUUAUUAGCUACUCACACUAUUUGCCCCGCAGUUUCUCUGUCAUGGCUACCAAGUGAUUGACGGUGGGCUAGAAAAAUAAAACCACCAAACUAUCAGUAAAAGAUGUGAACCAACAUCUUUCAUUGUUAUGCAUAUCAAACACCAAGGGUUAUUUUCACUUAAAGUUUUAGAAUGGGUGCAUUACAAUUCAGUCUGAUAUCUAAUAAGACACUCUGGGCUGAUAUAAUUAUGGAACAGAACCAACCAUGAUAAAUAAAAGGUGAUGUUGUCUAUGCAUUACCAAAAAUGUAUCUUUGUGAACAAAUAAAUUGGUACCAACAGCAAUGCCAUCUUACUGUAGAAUUAGAAUACAUGGACAUGAUCAGCUCAGCUCCCAAACUGCCAUUCAUCACAUCAAUUUCCCCUUAUGUAACUCCAGUCAAAAUUUUAUGUUGGUCUACCUAGUAGAUGCCCAUGGUUUGAUUUUAUGUUUGUUCCUAUCAAUACAAAUGCUGAGCUAUGUUCCAUUUUUACUGUUCUUUGUGAUAGUUUUUGCAACUUUACUUCCCAUCUUAAGGCAAGCCCCAUUUUUACUGUUCUUUGUUAGCAGAGCUGCUUGUUUCUAAGAACUUUGAUACUAUUUGGAUCAAAGUUAAAUGAGCACAUAGAUGACAAAAAAAAGUUCAGAUUGUAAAAUGUUCAUUUUGCUGCUAGUGCCCAUUUUGAGUAAUUGCUUAGAGGGAUGAUCCUGUGUGAGCUGGUGGAGUGAUUUGUUUUCUACAUAAAGCUCUUUAGUCAGGCUGGUUUUCGUGAAAUACACAUGAAGCUUCACCAGCUCCUGUGGGUGUGGGAUCCAUGUGACAUGUGACAUUGCAUCCAUGUCCACCUGGGAUAAUGAUUUUGCAUGUACCCCGAGAGGCCCUUAAGUUUGCCGGAAUGUCGAUUAACUUCCGUUCCGGCAAAUUCGGGUACUCCAUAUGUCCUAUUUUCAGCAAAGGUCAUGCUGAAAUUUUCCGUGAAUUUUAGCAUGACUUUGCAAAAAAUAGGACAUAUGGGGUACUUGUGACUAAUGCAUGGGCCGGGGUAUCAUAGUAGUUAAUUAAGUAGGAUCAAGUGCCCCGGCGUACUUGUGACUGAUGCAUGGCUUUUAGGGUGCCUCGGUGUUGAUAAAAACCGAAAUGAUGAAAGCUUAGGCUUUUAGGGUGCCUCGGCGUCGAAAAACCCUCAAUGAUAAAAGCUUAGGUCUUAGGAUGCCUCGGUGUCGACAAACCCUAAAUGAUGAGACCAUGUCUUGUUCCUUGACAAUAACCAACUUUUUGACCAAACUUUGUUUCUAUUUAGAGAGAAACAUGGCCCACAACGAUGAGGCCGGGGGUUCGGGCGGCAAGGCAUUCUGGGAGCUGUCCCAGGAGAUGGAGGAACAACCUCACUUGUAUGAGGCCGCCGCCUUCCCCACCGAUCCUGAGACCACUGAUGGUGCCGCCGAGGAUGACCACACUGAUGCCACCACUGAUGGUGCCGCCGAGGAUGCCACCACUGAUGAUGGCAGCGCCCGCACAGAUGGCAGCCAACCGAAGAGGCAACGGAAGGACCGACGCCCGAUCGUGCUCCUCACCCUCAAGGAGGAAGUUACUGAAGUGGACUCCAACGGGUAUCCAACGGCGCCCGAACGAAUAGUCAAGGGGUACUCGCUUCAGCUCGGGUGCAUUGUCCGGAGCACCGUCUCGAUCAACACCGAGAACCUGAGGCAUCCUGACCGAGGGAAUUUGUGCCACCUCCUCUUCACGAAGCUGCACGAAUGAUACAAGUUCCCCGCUGAAUUUGCAAACAGAAGCCUCAAAGGGAAUAAAGUGAACAAUGCUGCCCUCACGAAGAUGAGCAAGGCCCUGUCUACUUGGAAAAGCAAUGUGAAGAAAAUGAUCGAUAAAGGUGAGAGUUAUCAGAAGAUCAAGGAGAAAAAUCCUUCGAUCACCAAAGAUGACUACAAUGACUUCAAGAUCAAUUGCUCGAGCACCGCAAGCUCCCAAUCAAGUGAGUGGGGGAAACAAAUGCGGGAGCUGAACAUAGGGGAACACACACUCGGUCCCGACGGUUACAGAGUGGCGGAGCCUAUAUGGGACAAGGAGGAGGCGGACCGUGCCGAGCAAGGCCUACCGCCCCUCUUCGAGAAAUACAGCGGUAACAAGCAGACCAGGAACUUUGUCAGGGCCCGGUACAAGAAGGACCCGAAAACAAAGGAGCUUACCACGGAUCCGAAGACCAGGCAGCUUGAGCUUGUUCUGGUAAGGAAUACACCCCCGCGUAAUUAGCUCCAUAUGGUUGCAUUCUAAUUAAUGAAGCCAAAUUUCUAAAUGGUUCACAUUCCUUCCGCAGGCGACUGAAAGCAGUAGCGCGGGGUCGACUAAGAGCAACCCUUGGGACACCACUCUAAAUAGGGCGAUGAAUGUAAUGAAGAAGAAGGAUAAGCUCAGUAAGCCGACGUCAGCUGGUCGUGUGGCCGGCAAAGGCUUGUCGACAAAAUGGGGGUCAUACUAUACCGCUGGUGUGCGGAAGGAGAAAAAGACCAGCUCGGAAAGCCAGGCGCGAGAGGAUCAAGAACUCAAGGAACAGGUGACGCGGAUUCCGGAGAUUGUCCAAGAGCAAGUGGAACAAUGACUCGGAGCGACGAUCACCGCCAUUGUGCCUACCUUGAUCUCGGGGUUGAGUGCGUGGAUUGCGGGCGGCCAACAGGGGCCGCCCCCGAUUCCUAGCUUCACGGCCAGCAACUCGCAUAAUGCGAUGGCGGGGCCAUUGGUGCCUCCGGCGGAGGCGGCAUUGGUGUCUCCGACGCCGGCACGGGAGCUUAAUGCACCCGGGUGUACGCCGGCCGGCACCUCUGCAGCAAGCGGCCCCUCCGUCAACUGCACGCCCGCCGUUGGCGGUGCGUCGACAUUAGCCGAGCUCGACGCCAUCAACACGGUAACUAAUUAAGCCUCUCUCGGCCGAGGACUUCAUCUCCUUGCCUUUGACUAGGCAUCCCUGACGCCCUACAUGUUUUCGCAGGGCGCCGCCGACGUUCCGUGCACUCUCCUCCACUUCGUGAACAACGAGUUGGUCGAUGUCGCCAAGGGCAAAAUCGUUCAACCGGCAACCCCUUGUUCCACGGUACCCAGAUGCCACCCAACUUGUUUAGGGUUCAACUGGUUCGGGUGUUGCCAGGCUGCGACGACUUGUUACCUCUGAUUCGACCCGUUGGGGCCGACGAUGAAGACGUGAUGACCCUCAGCGCCUGCCUGAGCUGGCCCCUAGUUUGGCCGAAGAGCCAGAUUCGUUUGGGGGCGGGGGACACCACCCCAAAGACAACACCGCCAGUCGUGCUGGUGCCAAGUCGGCCCCAUGGCAAGACCGCCGUAACGGUGCCGGACAUCCCUAUGCCACUGGAUCCAAACAUGCAUAUGGCACAGGAUCAGAAUGACGACGACAACGACGAUGAUACAUUUGGCAACGUCGAUCAGUACUUUGCCGAUCAUGGGUACGAUGGCGACUUCAUGGGGCCUCCUUCUCAAGAACCAAACCCAACAAAAGACGUGUGCGAUCUAGCUGGUACCGCAGAGAAGCCAAGUUGCAACAGGCGCCGUCUGGCGUUCAGCUCUCAGGAGACGCCUCCAGCUGCCGACUUCACCGAUCCUCAGAUAGGCGAGGUGCGAAAUAUUAUCAGCCCCAACACACUCAAGAAGGCGGUCUGUGAGCAGAACUCGGUCCCAUUACAGGAGAAGAAGAAGGCACGCAAAAGAAAGACUAAGAAGGGUGCGAGCCAGCCGGCACCGAGUACGAUCCGUGCUCAGGACGGGCCACCUUCACCGCAGGAUAUCUCGAGGAGGGUGCAUGUGGCGGGUAGGGCGAUGCUACCGACAAAUAUGCUCAAUGCUGCAACCGGUGCUAUGCGGAGUCUGCAUGACAGUGUUCUUGCUUUGGAGAAGCGGCGUCUCAGAGAGAAGGAUGUGGCAUACCCGGUUUUCGCGGCCAAGGUGCCAAAGGGCAAGGGCUUUGUGGAUAACUCCAUCGGGCGUACGAUCGUCCUGCGUUUUGAUGACAUCCACGCUAUGUUGAACCUUCAUCCGCUGCACUACACCUUCGUUCGGCUAUUUUCGCUGAGUAUGGAGAUGCGGAUCAUUCGCGACAAGACCCCGGACAUCGUGAUAGUCGACCCCUUCUACAUGCGUGCCAAGAUCUUGGGCAGCGCUGGGGACCGGCAAGUCGCGAGUUCUUACCUCGAAGGCAUCAUUCUGGCAAACCAAGAUAAGGAUAACUUCCUCGUGCCUUACUUUCCCGAGUAAGUCCUCCCCUCAACCGGCCCGUAACAUAUGAAUUCUUACAUUUCGAUCGUUUUUCUUUUAACAUUCCGUGUUUUUUGCAGUGACACACGUUGCACGCUCAUCCUCCUAAGCCCCAAAUAUUCCAUGGCCACAUAUUUCGACCCGGACUGUUAGUCGAACGUAGACUACACAAAUGUCAAGAAGGUUCUUGAUGAUGUUCUCCCCGGCUAUGCCAAAUCUGGAGGCACCUUCACCAGGCCUAAUCGUAAGUACGGCAAGCAUGUUUUCUCCCACAAUACGAUGUUCUACUGCGUCAAGCAGCCGCCUGGUGGUCAGAAGGGUGCCUACUACGCCAUCCAUCACAUGCGGGCGAUCGUACGGGACCAUCAUCAACUUCUGCUACCGAGUAAACUCAAAGAUUGGGCAAAGAGCGUGUCGGCAAUCGAGGACGCGGACCUCCGACAAGAAUUCUUUCGCAUCCAGUCGGAGUUUGCGGAAAUCAUCCAUCAAGAUGUCCUUCGUACCUCGGGGCAGUUCUACCUCAACAAUCAACCGUCCAAUAGUGACAUCGACAUAAUGCUACAAAUGCAGGCUGACAACGACCGUUAUUUCAUGACUCCCACGAUAGACGGCGGCUUCAUCCACGCUCCGGUCCCUUGAGUCGAGUCGAAAGCAGUGAUGCUGUGUCUAGUUCUGAAACAUCGAUUGGCUCAUGUUGUAAUUAAACUUUAAUGAACUUGUAGUAUGUCUCUUUGGUUUCGAGAGUCGUUCAACUUAGAUGUAAUCGAUGCUAUUAAUGUCUUGCUUUUCUCUUCCGAUUGUUCUGUUGCAUACUUAUAUAUUGCUUAUGUAUUGUCUGUGAAUUGGUACUAACGUUUCGUUUGGCUAGUGCAUAGCGAUGCCGACGUAUGUCGUGUACAAGGGUAAGGUUCCCGUAGUCUACGAUGACUGGGAGGAGUGUCGGAGACAGGUUCACCGAUUCAGCGGUAACAGUUACAAAGGGUACACCACUAGGGCCGAGGCCGAAUCUAGAUACGCCCGCUAUCUAGCGGGAGAGGGGAGGGAGCGUUGGAGGAACCGGAUGAAGACGAGUUUCAUCGUGAUGAUGCUCAUCGUGAUGACCGCAGCUCUCUUCUAUGUGAUGGUAGUUUAGAUGAUCGAUAUCGACUUGUAAUGUGAAGACAAACUCGCUACUCGCGGUCUCGAGACUUGUAAUAUAAUGUUCUAUCUUUGUUCGGUCUUUUUAAUUCGGAGACUAAUAUGAUGAAUUGUAUUCGGAGACUAAUAUGAUGAAUUGUAUUCAAAGACUAAUCUUCUAUUGUAUUCGAUGAAUCUGUUGUUGAUGUGUGCUGUCUAUAUUUUGUCAAAUUAUACAUUUUGUAACCUGUGCAAAAAACAGAAAAUAAAAAAUAAAAAAAACCUAAUAUUCAUACUAAUGACGCAUCACAUGAUAGUGCGCCAUUAGUAUGACAGUGCAUACUAAUGGCGCAUCACUGGGCAGUGCGCCAUUAGUAUGCCGCGGUUACUAAUGGCGCAUCCAGCGGUGGUGCGCCAUUAGUAUGCCAAAGCACCUGGGUAUACAUGGCCCCUGGGAGGCAUACUAAUGGCGCACCCUUGCCUAUACUAAUGGCGCACGCGCGGUGCGCCAUUAGUAUACCAGAUACUAAUGGCGCACCAGGUGGUGCGCCAUUAGUAAAAAUUACUAAUGGCGUGCUAUUAAUGGCGCACCACAGAUGCGCCAUUAAUGGCCAUUUUAGGUGCGCCAUUAGUAGGGGUUUUUCUAGUAGUGUAAUAAGCGAGAUGACGCAGUUCCUGACCGCCCCGCUACCACUACUGGUUCCAGCGUGGCGUUUGAAUUAUGCCGCGCUAGAUGCCUUUUGUCCAGCGAGGAACAAGUGGGGUCAAGCGUGCUUUGGCAAUUCCCGCCGUCAGAAGACUUCCUUGUAGUCCGGUGUAGAGGUGAGGUUGUAGGGAGAUGCAUCGACUAGGAAGGAGUGGCCACAUGAACGAGCAUAUGUAUGAUGUGAUUAAGUCUCUCGAUCGGGUAUCUGGUGCCUUACGUACGGUGUCUUAUUUUUGUCAAGCUAUGACAUCUUUCAGUUUGAGUGUCUGAUAUUAGGGUUGCAUACGUUUUGUUAUUCAGUUGCCUGUUGUCAACUCUAUGGUUAUAUCACCUCGAUGUGUGAGUCAAUGUGUUUGAACCAAUGUAGAGUUUCAUGUGAAUGUUACAAGUGUGAUUGAUAUCUUCAUGUUAUAACCGCAGUUGCCUUGGUAAGAAAUUGAAAGAGCAAACCGUUAUCGUGUUAGGAAAAAAGUCAUCGCUCAAUAUAAGUUGCUUCUCUAGAACAACCACACCUUUCCCUCAAAAAAAAGAACAACCACACCUUGUGAAAGAAGAUGGCAAACACCCAAUUAUGUCUGGUUAGAUAUGGGCAUGGCUAUGGGUAGCUUAUAGCGACACGGAAGCUAGCAUCGCCUGAAGAAACACCCGGAUGGGCCGGCCUAGAGACAAAUUUCUUCAUUUCUACCCUUAGUUUUGUUUUUCUGCCCUUUUUUCUUUAUAUUUUAUAUUUUUCCCGACAUGUUCACUACUUGAUGCUCAACUGGGAUCUCAUCUGAUGCGGAGCAUCCUAUGGACAUCACCAUGUCAAGAGUCCGUUCGGCAAGUGACACGUGUGACAUCUACUUCUCAUACAUAAAGGUGAAUCUUCUCCUUUACACGUGUUUACUUGACCCCUUCGAGGAUGGUAUACUACUUGACACUUCUCCCGUGUGCAUGCAUAGGUAUUGUCGGAGCUUCAUGGAUGUCGAGGAGGAGUGCAAGCGCCAAGGAAUGACUACACCGUCCGCGAGGGAAGCAUGGAAGAGAAGGAGGAAGAGAACCUGGCUACUCCAGAACGAGCGGUACUACUGCCCACUCCAAGCGGUACUACCGCCGAGGCCACCCAAGCGGCACUACCGCCCAGCAUCCGCCCUUCUACUGCUCAACCCGACAAACUCCAGUGAUCGAGCGGUGUAAGUCCGGUACUACUGCCCCUCCAAGCGGUACUACCGCUCAAGCGGUACUACCACCCAUGAGUCCGGUACUACCGCCCUGCCUCUGCCCAGCCGUGGGCCUUUGGCCUUGUAUCCCUCUCCCACUUACCCCUUCGUGGCUUAGACUAUAAAUAGGCCACCUCCACCUCCUUUCUAGGGUUAGCACAGAUUUAGCUCAUUUUGAGAUAGAGCUUUGCUCAUCCAUACGGAUCUACUCCUCGUGAGAGACCGCGACCUCUUCGGAGAAGAUCCAUCUUGGAUUCAAGACCCCCUCGUGGGAAGAUCCGUCUAGGAUACCAACAAGACCUCCUCUUGGAGAUGAACCUUACCUUGUAUCUUUCCCUUUGUUGUUCAUGUACCCUUGUGGAUCUUGUGUGUUUGAUUGUCUAGUGGAUGUGUGAUUGGACUUGUACUUGAGUGUUUCCCCUUGUGAUUUCUCUCCGUUCUUCCACGUGUUCUUCAUAGGGAUCCGCUCCAAACGUGAAAGAUCGGCCUCUAGGGUUCUAGCCUACAUCAUCUUGGAUCAGAGCAAGGUUGAUCACGGAUUUGGAGCCCCUACCCCUCUUUUUCUAGCCUUCUUUUGCUUGCUUUCGUCCUAAAAUCCCCACAAAAAAUAGCCCCAAUUUUUUUGUGAUUUGUUCGUUUGAUGAUUUUUUGUUGAUUUUGAUCCAUGGAUUUGCUUGGUUUUGAGUGGAUCUAGCAUCUCUCCAAGUUUCCCCACCUUCCAUCCACGAAAUCCAUCCAAUUUUGCCCCUGAAAUCAUCCUUUUCCGCCCCAAAUUCGCCCCGAUUUCGAUCUGUGAAUUUUCCCGACACGAGCGGUACUACCGCCCUCGAAGCGGUACUACCGCCCUCGAAGCGGUACUACCGCUGAGCACCACAAGCGGUACUACCACCCUCCCAAGCUAUGACGCCCGGAUAAUUAAGCUACAGUAAUCCCCUUCUAAUGGUGCCAUGUCAUCACAUUACUGUUGCUAAUCCUCGCUUGAUCCAAAUCUUAGUUCAAACUCAAAUUCAAAUUAAAGACCAAAAUUCAAAUUUCUCAAGCAUGCAAAAUAAAAUGUUCAAAGUGUGGCAAAUAAUCGCUGGAUAUUUGUCAUGUUGCAAACAACCUCUUUUGAAUUCUCAAAAUGCCCCUGGGAAUUAAUUUUUGGUCCAGUAGUAAAUUAAAUGGCAUUUGCAAAAUAAAGAAUUGUUUAUUUAACUCCAAUUGCCUCCAAACUUUAUGUGCCACUCCAAAAUAUUUGUGGCUCUGUCUAAGAUCGCCAAGGAAUUAAAAGGGCACUUCCCAUAUUUUCCCUAAGUAAAUAGUGUGCCCAAAAUAUUCUCUUAACCAUCUCUAUUUUUUUAAAUAAAAAAAGGCGAAGAAGAACUCCCCCGGGCCUCGGGCCACUCCCACUUACCAGCCCACCUAAGCCGGCCCACUCCCCCGCUCCCCUAGCCUAUAGGCCACGGCCGACCGAACCCUAACCCCGCAUGAUCCCCCCACUCCCCACUCCUCUCCCCUCUCGAUCCGAUCUGGAUCGGACCGAAACCGGCGCAAUUGGUCGAUCCAUGUAUAAAGUAAAAAUAACUAGGCCCAAUUGGUCGAUCCAUGACAGUUUUCGUGACGGUACUUCCACGUCUGUCAUGAGGGGGCUACCCUACUUGGCCCCAAAUGGAUCUUGCUAAUUGGUGACGGUUUCCGUGAUAGAUUUCUGGAACGUCACCAGAAAUCCGUCAUUGAUUAACAGAUUUCCGCACAAUCCCCCCACUCCCCACUCCUCUUCCCUCCUGAUCCGAUCUGGAUCGGACCGAAAUCGGCGCCGCGACGCCAACCGCCGUCGCUGGAGGCGUCCCCGACUCCACGCCGGGCCGCCCCGUCACUGGACCUCCUCCCCGUCGCCACUCGUCACUCGCUGGACCGCCUCGUCCCCACCAAUGCCGCCCCCACCCCAACGUCCCCGACGCCUUCGCCGUCGGCACCGCCCCAAUGUCGCCGCCACCCGACGCCGGCGCCCUCGACAUCGCCACCCCGAGCCCACUGCCACCCCUACGCUCCGCUAUGAGCCCCUCGCUGAUUCCCCCUCCUUCCCGUCGUCGUAGGUGGCUGCGCGCGUCGUUGGCCAUCGUGGCCGCGCUCCGGCCGUUCCCCAUCCGUGCGCUGGCCUCGCCUUCCUCGGAUUGCAAACAUUGAACUUUUCCCCUCGGGUUCAUCUAUCUGACAGACGUUCGGGACCAGAAAAACUUUCCCGGAUGUUUCCCCCUUCGCCAGUAUCACCUAGCACCGCGUUAGAACACUUCUAGCCCCGCUUAUUGUCUUGUUAUGCAUAUGUUUGCGUGUAUUUACUGUUUCUUCCCCCUCUUCUUCUCCGGUAGACCUCGAGACCGUUGCUGAUGCCCCUGUGGUCGACUACGUCGACGGCGACCCUCCUUGUCUGAGCAACGAGGCAAGCCCCCCCUUUGAUCAUCCCGAUAUCGCCCAUUCCAUUCUCUAAUGCUUGCACUAGAUUUUCUACUGUAUUUGAUUGCUCCUAUUCUGAUGCAUAGCAUGCUUUUCUACCUGCUGUUGUACCUUACCUGCUUAUCCUAAACUGCUUAGUAUAGGUUGGCUAGUGAUCCAUCAGUGACCCCCACCUUGUCUUUGUUGCCCCUGCUUCAUCAUUGACGACUCGAUCAACGUGAUCGACGACCGGAGCCUGACACCUCACAUCACAUCACGCCCCUUUUUGUUGCUCGACUCUGCAGAGUUACCAUCGAGUGCCGAGGGUGGAACCUCAUACAUCACUCCUUAUGAGAUCUCUGUAGUGUAGCUAUUCGGUCGUGGUCAUCGAGGGUGGUUCCUCCUUCACCAUUCCUAAUACGGCUCUGUCGUGCAACACCUCAAGUGUGAACCUCGAGGGUGGUUCCUCUUACGUUCACCUUGAUGAUUACAUCGAGUGGAAUCCACCGGGGGUGAUUCCUCGGAUUUUCCCCUUUAUGUCUGGACACACAGUUACCUUGACUUCACUUGAGACCGUUUUGAAAGCCGGGCAGGCCCGGAGAGCACCCGUGCGGUGUGACGGUGGCGGCUGGCUGUUUAGCGGUAUCACCCGGGAGGGGGUGAUAGCUCCGGACUUGUCCCGACAGCCGUCACUUCUUUUAAUAAUGCACUAACAGGUUUGGGUAUUUUUUCUAAGUUCACUAACCACGACGCUAGAAUAGUUAUGGGUCUCGAUGUUGCAGUAUCAGCCGAAGCUUUCUCAGACGUCCAGUUCAGCAUUGUGGCCGGGCCGAAUCAUGCCAUCCACUUCACGGGUGGUGCUGGUAUCCCCUUGCGCACAACGACCCAGAGUGCAACGGGCGAUGGGCCCAGACCCCGGAGUGCUUAGGAUGUAGACCGGCAGGGACCUCUCUGCUGAGCCUAGGUAGGGCAGCUACGUGUUGAUCUUCCGAGGCCGGGCAUUGACCCCAGAAAGGUGUGUCCUUCCAGAGUGAUCGAGCGUGUUGGGUAACGUGGUGCCCCCCUGCAGGGAAGAUUAUCUAUUAAUAGCCGUGUCCACGGUAACGGACGUUCAAACUUAUAUCUUGAUCUUAUACAACUACAAAUGGAUACUUGAGAUAUGUGGCUCCGGGAUUGCUUUCUCGCAGGGAGUCGAGGAAGGAUCUCUGGGCGUUGUUGUCACAACAUGCUUGUUAAUUAAACUGCUAUUCUUUACUCUUCUACAUGCUGCAAGAUGCUUGGAGCUACUUGAAGAUGCUAGUCUUCAUGAGGCUAGGCCUUCCCCUCUAUUCUGGCAUUCUGCAGUUCAGUCCACAGAUACAACCCUUCCAUUUGAUACCAAUGCAUACUUAGUAUAGAUCUGAUGCUUGCGAGUACUUUGGAUGAGUACUCACGGUUGCUUUGCUACCCCAUUUCCCCCUUCUUUCUUCUUUCCGGUUGACGCAACCAAAUGGUGGAUCCCUGGAGCCAGAUGCCAGCGCUGAUAGAUGCUACUAUGUGAAGAUCGCCGACGACCAGGAGUAGUUAGGAGGUCCCAAGCAGGAGGCCUUGCCUCUUCGAUCAUUGUUGCUUUUGUGCUAGCCUUCUUAAGGCAUCUUUGUUUAACUUAUGUCUGUACUCAGAUAUUGUUGCUUCCGCUGACUCUUGUGUAUCGAGCUAUGUAUUCAAGCCCUCGAGGCCCCUGGCUUGUAAUAUAAAGCUUGUAUUAUUUUGAUUUGUGUCUAUAGUUGUGUUGUGAUAUCUUCCCGUGAGUCCCUGAUCUUGAUCAUACACAUUUGCGUGCAUGAUUAGUGUACGAUUGAAUCGGGGACGUCACAAGUUGGUAUCAGAGCCGACUGUUUGUAGGAUCCCCCUUUCCAACUCCUUGGCUGAAGUUGAGUCUAGUCUUUGAAAAAAAUUGUUUUACUAACAUGGUUGUGUGGCUUACGGGCCCAUGUCGCCAUUGGGUGGUAUUAGGAUCUUUUACUCCUCGACCUUUACUCUGGGACUCUAAUCGCUCUUCUAUUCGGGUUAAAUGGUCUCGCAAACUAUAACUCUAGGUUCUCGUAAAUACUUUCUCCCGGAGAGCCCCUUCAUUCCAGAUGAUGGCCUGCUUCACCAGAUGAUUUCGAAGAUACCCUUCUGUAAUUUCCUGAGACUUUUGUACUCAUUGCUUUUGCAGUUCCCUACCUCUGAUAUAUCCUUACGGAUAACUUCAUACACUUGUCAUUCAUACAAUCAUUCCUAGUUGCUCUUGUUUUUACAAGAUACAUUGAAUUAUUCUCCGACUUUUAAGAAUCCCUUGCUUACUGCCCUGCAGUUCCUUGCCGCAUGAAUACCCCUACGGAUAAUUACUCGCACUUGCCGAGUAUCCGUUCGUCCAUAGUUGUUCAUGUGUUUCACAACAUUCUUUGGAAAGCUAUUUGAUCUUUUCAAAAAUCCUCAGUAGCCUAUUACUCUUGUUCCUCCUUACCUACUUACAGUAUGGUUACUUCCAUUUGUCUAGCAAUAUUCUUUAAAAUCCUUUGCGAUUGACAUCCUUACCCUAUUGUUUCAACAUGUGUGUGAAUGCACGCAAUCAUCAAUUGUUCCCUGGAAUUGUCCUUCUGGCUCAGACGUUACCCCGGACACGAGCUGGUGUUCGACAAAACAAACCUUGAUUGAUUUUGAAUCUAUGUCUAUACAACUUAAUUGUCUUUGAUCAGAGCCUCUGCUUUUGAUCCCCCAUUUUGAAAAUCAUAAUCCCCUUUGCAUUCGAGCAUAGAAUUAGUCAGUUGUUUCUAUAACCUGACCUCCUUGAAUUCUUUCUUCUUCUGGUUGAGUAUCGAUACUCACAUCAGAUCCAUUGUGGACCUCCAGGUCCUUUGUUGGUUUUUAUCCGACAGCAUCCUUCAUAUUCAGUAACCUUGUGAGCCUUUCCUCGAAUACACAAUGCCUUUGGUAAAUUGUAUCCCCCACUCUCGUCAACCAUACUCUGCUUCCGGGCUUGAGUUAUUUACUCGUGAAGUUUGUGGUAUAUGUUCCUAAUAUGUCCCUAUGGGUUGAAUCUAUGUCUUCCCUAAAUCUGUGUGAACCCUACGACUCAUACUCUACUGGUGUUAUGCCAGAUAAAAUCUCAACAGUACGGCUUCGUUGAAAAUGAGAAGUGAAUGAAAGGUUAUGCAUCGAAGAAGUGGGAGUCGACCUUGAGCCUUGUGUUCAUGCCCAUGGACACGAUGUGGAACUUAACAUGGAAGCUUCUUUUUAUAAUAAUAGCCCCCUAGCGAUAAGUACAUCUUGUAUCCAUGUGUGGUCCAUUGCAAUCGUGGUUCCGACCAUAUUGUUCUUGUUUGAUCCAUUUAUCGGACAAGUUAAAGUACUUGUCUUCUUCAAAUUGUUUCACAUGUUCAACCUCUACAUUGAUAUACCUUCGAGCAUUAUCCUCUGGUAUCUCGAGAAUAUCACGGAACUACAUAACUUCUUAUGAGUUCUUGAUCAACUAUUAUUUCUCACUGAUUCAAAUUUUUCACUAGUUGGGAGUUGUUAGACACUCGAGAAUACAGUUAACUGAUUCAAGUCUACGCUUUCCUUUCCAUUGUUCUGUUUAAUCUUUCUGGUAACCUAUCUUAUCUGAGAACUGAUAAUUCCCUGCUUAUGUAAACACCUCGGUGUACAAGCUCUGUCUGUAAGACCUUGUUACUAUUGUUGAGGACAUUCCGAUAGCUACCGAUGGACGAGAACUUUGCCUAUUGGUCCGCCUCAUCUUAACGAGCAGGAAAAUGGUUCUCUUUGUCCCUCUCCCUUGGUACCAACGUUGUUGCCAACAUAACUGACAAGUUGUCCUCUGACCUGCCUUGCUAUCAUGACCAUGCAAAAUGCUAGCGCCCUUCCUGCUUUUAACCCACAAGGUGGGCCUGAGGGAGUCCUGGACUAGGCGGUGUCCGGACAGCCGGACUAUCAUCGUCCGCCGGACUCCAAGACUACGAAGAUACAAGAUUGAAGACUCCGUCCCGUGUCUGGAUGGGACUUUCCUUGGCGUGGAAGGCAAGCUUGGAAAUACGGAUAUGUAGAUCUCCUACCAUUGUAACCGACUCUGUGUAACCCUAGCCUCCUCCGGUGUCUAUAUAAACCGGAGGGCUUUAGUCCGUAGGACACAACAUACAUUACAACAAUCAUACCAUAGGCUAGCUUUAGGGUUUAGCCUCCUUGAUCUCGUGGUAGAUCCACUCUUGUACUACCCAUAUCAUCAAUAUUAAUCAAGCAGGAUGUAGGGUUUUACCUCCAUCGAGAGGGCCCGAACCUGGGUAAAACAUCGUGUCCCUCGUCUCCGGUUACCAUCCGCCUAGACGCACAGUUCGGGACCCCCUACCUGAGAUCCGCCGAUUUUGACACCGACAUUGGUGCUUUUAUUGAGAGUUCCUCUGUGUCGUCACCAAUAGGCUCGAUGGCAUCUUCAACCAACAACGCUGUCCAGGGUGAGACUUUUCUCCCCGGACAGAUCUUUGUAUUCGGCGGCUUCGCACUGCGGGCUAAUUCGUUUGGCCAUCGGAGCAGAUCGAAAGCUACGCCCCUGGCCGUCAGGUCAGAUUCGGAAGUCUCAACUUCACGGCCGACGUCCGCGGAGACUUGAUCUUCGACGGGCUCGAGCCACAGCCAAGCGCGCCGCACUGUUACGAUGGGCAUGAUCUAGCUCUGUCGCCGAACAGUGCCUUGGUGGCCGCCCACGAAUCCGCUUCGGCCUUUAGUCCGGGGCCGAUCGCCCAGACCGAGGAACGGUGGAUGGACACCGCCUCGGGGGCUUCAACUUCCACGGCGAUGGAGCCGAACACUAAUCUUGUCCCUCGCAAAACUCGUGAUUCCGAGGUGCCGGACUCCUUGCCGGACUCCGAAGCUCCCACGCCCCUACCAACCGAAUCGGAUUGGGCGCCGGUUAUGGAAUUCACCGCCGCGGACAUCUUCCAAUACUCGCCUUUUGGCGACAUCCUGAAUUCGCUAAAGCAUCUCUCGUUAUCAGGAGAGCCCUGGCCGGACUAUGGCCAGGAUGGUUGGGAUACGGACGACGAAGAAAUUCAGAGCCCACCCACCACCCACUUUGUAGCCACUGUCGACGAUCUAACCGACAUGCUAGACUACGACUCCGAAGACAUCAACGCUAUGGACGACAAUGCCAGAGACGAACAGGAACCAGCGCCUACAGGGCACUGGAAGACCACCUCGUCAUAUGACAUAUACAUGGUGGAUACCCCAAAAGACGGGGACGGCGAAGAAACAGCGGAGGCAUAUUCUUUAAAGAAACAGCCCAAGCGCCGGCAUCAGCGGCGCUGCUCUAAAUCCCGCCACGGCAAGAAUGGAGAUUCCAGCACAGGAGAUAAUAAUACCCCAGAAAGUGCCGAAGAUAACCCCCUCCAGCAAGACUCAGCGCAGGAGGAUGCAGAAGCAAGCCCUCACGAGAAGGCGGCAGACAAAGAGGUUGAGGAUUACAACUAUAUGCCUCCCUCCGAAGACGAGGCAAGCCUCAACGAUGACGAAUUCGUCGUGCCCGAGGAUCCCGUCGAACAAGAGCGUUUUAAACGCAGGCUUAUGACCACGGCAAAUAGCCUAAAGAAAAAGCAGCAGCAGCUUCAAGCUGAUCAGGACCUGCUGGCCGAUCGAUGGACCGAGGUCCUCGCGGCCGAAGAGUAUAAACUCGAAUGCCCCUCCAAAAGCUAUCCAGGACGCAAGCUGCUCCCCCGAUUAGAGGAGGAAGCAUACAUACCUCCAUCACCAGCGCACGAUACGGCUGACCGACCACCCCGUGGUCGUGACAGAGAGGCAUCCAGGCCCCCAACCAAGACCGUACCCCGGCAUCGCUCGAAAAGUAUGAAGCCAAGAGGGAACGCGCCGGACUUGCGAGAUAUAUUGGAGGACAAAGCAAGGCAAUCCAGAUCCAUCUACGGAUCACGGGGGUGCCCCACGACCCAUGACGAAUACCGUCGCGCCGGAUACAAUAACCCCGGCCGGGCCGAACACAGCAGACAACGCUCUCUCGAGUUGCAUCGUGAUAUUGCUCAAUAUAGAGGCGCCGCACACCCGCUAUGCUUCACAGACGAAGUAAUGGAUCAUCAAAUCCCUGAAGGGUUUAAACCCGUAAACAUCGAAUCCUACGAUGGCACAACAGACCCUGCGGUUUGGAUCGAAGAUUACCUUCUCCACAUCCAUAUGGCCCGCGGCGACGAUCUACAUACCAUCAAGUACCUCCCACUCAAGCUUAAAGGACCAGCUCGGCAUUGGCUCAACAGCUUGCUCGCAGAGUCAAUUGGGUGUUGGGAAGACCUAGAAGCCGCAUUCCUUGAUAACUUCCAGGGCACGUAUGUGCGACCACCAGACGCCGAUGACCUAAGUCACAUCAUUCAGCAGCCAGACGAAUCGGCCAGACAAUUCUGGACACGGUUCUUGACAAAGAAAAAUCAAAUCGUCGACUGUCCGGAUGCAGAGGCCCUUGCAGCCUUCAAACAUAACACCCGCGACGAAUGGCUAGCCCGGCACCUGGGGCGGGAAAAGCCGAAAUCCAUGGCAGCCCUCACAUCAUUAAUGACCCGCUUUUGCGUGGGAGAGGAUAGCUGGCUAGCUCGCAGCAACAAUCUCCGUAAAAAUUCUGGCAGUCCAGACACCAAGAACAAUAAUGGCAGGUCACGUCGAAACAAAAACAAACGCCGCAUCAACGGCAAUGAUAAGGAGGAUACGGCAGUCAACGCCGGAUUCCGAGGCUCUAAACCCGGUCAACGGAAGAAGCCAUUCAAAAGAACCACUCCGGGUCCGUCUAAUUUGGACCGAAUACUCGACCGCUUAUGCCAGAUACAUGGCACCCCUGAAAAGCCAGCUAAUCACACUAAUAGAGACUGCUGGGUGUUCAAGCAGGCAGGUAAGUUAAUUGCCGAAAACAAUGACAAGGGGCUAAACAGCGAGGACGAGGAGGAGACCCGACCGCCGAACAAUAGAGGACAAAAGGGUUUUCCCCCACAAGUGCGGACGGUGAACAUGAUCUACGCGACCCAUAUACCCAAUUGGGAGAGGAAGCGUGCACUAAGGGACGUCUAUGCGAUGGAGCCAGUCGCCCCGAAGUACAAUCCAUGGUCCUCUUGUCCGAUCACUUUCGAUCGAAGAGACCAUCCGACCAGCAUACGCCAUGGCGGAUUCGCCGCAUUGGUUCUAGACACAAUCGUCGAUGGAUUUCACCUCACGAGAGUCCUGAUGGACGGCGGUAGUAGCCUGAACCUGCUUUAUCAGGACACAGUGUGCAAAAUGGGCAUAGACCCCUCAAGGAUUAAACCUACAAAGACAACCUUUAACAGUGUCAUACCAGGUGUGGAAGCCAACUGUACAGGCUCAGUCACACUGGAAGUGGUCUUCGGAUCCCCGGACAAUUUCCGGAGCGAGGAGUUAAUCUUCGACAUAGUCCCGUUUCGCAGCGGCUAUCACGCUCUGCUCGGACGAAUCGCGUUCGCAAAAUUCAACGCGGUGCCGCAUUGUGCAUACCUCAAGCUCAAGAUGCCAGGCCCUCAUGGAGUCAUCACGGUCAAUGGGAAUACGGAACGCUCCCUCCGAACGGAGGAACAUACAGCGGCUCUCACGGCAGAAGUACAGAGCAGCCUUUUAAGGCAAUUCUCGAGUCCGGCCAUUAAACGGCCGGAUACAUCAAAGCGCGCCCGAAGCAAUACCAACCAAGACCACCUGGCGUGAUCAGAGCACGCGUAGCAAUGCGGCCCCAACCCCCGCCCGCGCGUGAUUGCAAGAAUAACCCUCCGCGUACAUCAUUACGCUUUGGAGAUACCAUGGGCGCAGGGGAAGGGGCACGAUCACAACGGACCCAGAGUGCAGUUCGACCGCACCAGGGGCUCGCAAGUGUGCCCCCUUUUUUUUAUUGUUAUUUUCCCUCUUUGUGUACACAGGACUCCGUUAGCCAGAGGCCCUAUCCGGCGGUGAACCUGCCGAACUCAUGAUGCAAUAACCAGGGAAGAAAGAACGCUGCGACGAACACUCAGGUGGUCUCAAUUACAAGCAUUAAAUUCGAUUAUAUACACCAAGUCCGCAGCUUACCCUUGGAGGGGGACAUGUUUAAUUAGUCCAAAUCCCUUGCUUACCACACUAUUUGUAUCAGUCCGCACUCAUAGCAGACUUUCUUUCAUAAAUAAUGCAGCACCUUUUUGACUGCAAUUACAUUACCUUUUAUAUAUAUAUGCUCAUUACAUGACAUCUUGCACCCGUAUAUUUUGGUACGGCCUAAUACACCAGGGGCUUAUGUUCCCCACAUUAUGGUGUGAUAAGUCCGAACACUUUCGUAAGUGCAGCACCCCGAACUUAUAGCACUAUAUGAAUCGGCUCCGAAUCAUGUCUUGGGUCAAUAGUUGGGUUUGCCCGGCUCCCACGUUUUGGUGCCUUACGUUCCGUUCUGUCGGCUAAGGUGGCACUGGGAGAACCACUGCGAUUGCGCCCCGGUUGAGCCGGGCGAGCACCUCAGUGGAGAAAGCUAAAACUGACCGGCAUGAUAAGGCGAGAGACUGGUCGCUGUUCGAGAGGUUUUUUCGGGUCCUUAAAGACUCACGCCACUUCGAGCGAAGUUCCGGACCAUGUCUGACGAAGGCGUGGAUAGCGCCCCGGAUUCGGCCUUUCGGAUACCAGGGGCUUCGCCGAAAUUUAAAAUUAUAGAAUUCUAUGGCUAAGUGAGAGUGUUCAAGCAUUAUAAGUCCGGUCGCCUUGUUCGUUGUGUUGAGCACCUCCCUAGAUGGACCCAAAAAUGGGAAUAAGAGUGCUCAAGUUUAUCCCGAACACCCCAGCACUCGUGGCUCGGGGGCUGAAGCCAAUGACUUUCCAUCUCUCAGAUUUUAUAAACGGCCGCACAGAAGGUAAUAUUUUAAAUUAAAACAAGCGUUGCUCAUGGCGCAUCUGAACGAAGUUUUCAGCGCACAGGAUAAUACAUAGCGAGUUCACUCAAAGAUUACAUUUCUAGGGCACUCAUCCGCAAUAUCGCGGGCUCCCUUCAGGACAGUUUUAUAAUACAUUUCAGGCGUGCGAUACUCCUUGCCCGGCGGCGGUGGGUCUGUGAGAAGCUUCUCCGCAUCCAACCUGCCCCAAUGCACCUUUGUGCGGGCAAGGGCCCGACGAGCACCUUCAAUACAGGCGGAGCGCUUGAUGACCUCCACCCAGGGGCAUGCAUCCACCAGCCGCCGCACGAGGCCGAAGUAGCUACCAAGCAUGACCUGUUCAGGCCACAGCCGGACUAUAAGGCCCUUCAUGGCCUCUUCAGCUACCUUGUGGAGUUCGACCAGCUGCUUCAGCUGGUCGCUUGGGGGCACCGGAUGGCCUGCCUCAGCGUACUAAGACCAGAAGACCUUCUCCGUUGAGCUCCCCUCCUCGCCACGAUAGAAUGCGGCGGCAUCGGAGGCACUACACGGCAGAUCUGCAAACACCCCUGGAGAGCUCCGAAUGCGGGUAAUUGUCAGGUAGUUUACAUUAACAUGCUUGCUUUGCAUGAAAAAUGCCUUACCCGCCGCUAUCUUCUUUACAUCUUCAACCUCCUGAAGGGCCUUACGGGCCUCGGCCUUGGCGGACUUGGCACUUUCGAGAGCCGAGGCAAGCUCGGACUCUCGAGUCUUGGAGCCUCCUGCUUUUCUCGCUCCGCCCGUUCCGCGACCGCACUGCGUUCAGCCGCGGACACAGCCUCCUUCAGGGCUGCCACCUCGUUCGUGGCCCCUGCAAUACCCAUAUUAUCCUUGUUAAUUUUAUUGCAACCAAAAUCCUUUUCCGUAAGGUGACUAUUCAAAGCGGUGUUACUCACCUUCUUUGUCCUCGAGCUGCUUCUUGGCAGUGCCGAGCUCUUGCUCGGACCGCUCGAGAUCCUGCUUCAACACAUCGACCUCCGCCGUCAGUGCGGCAGAGGUCAGUAGCGCAGCCUGCAAACCCAUAUUGACAUAUUUUAAGCAACCCUGCGUAUAUCUUGUUAGAUCCUCAGUCCGGCUUUUCUUUCCGAACACCGAACUGAGCAUCAAGGGCUACUGUCUAUGCGGUAUUACAUUACAUAAUUUUAACUUCUUACCUCAAAGCCUGUUAGAAGGCUGCUGCAGGCUUCGGUCAGCCCGCUCUUGGCGAGCUAAACCUUUUGAAUCACCGCACUCAUGUUAGUGCGAUGUUUUUCCUCGAUGGAAGCGCCUUCAAGCGCCUCCAACAAGUUAUCCGGCGCCUCCGGUUGGACGGAGGUCGCCGGUGUCAAGGUCUUGCCCUUCUUUCGAAGGGGCCGCCCGCCGGACUCUAGAACCACUGCGGGUUCCGAUGUAGAGUCCGGCACAAAGUCUGGGAGGCAGCCUGACGACGCCUCCGGAGCCUCCUCCUGAUGGGUCCCUCUCUGGGAUCCCACCUCGGCGUCCCCGUCGGCGCGGGGGGUAGAGGCGGUCGGAAGUGAAUCCACAUCUAACGGGGCCAACGACCCGCUCGAUGAAGCGGGGAGAUCAUCAUCGGCCGGACUACGGACAGAACGCGGCAUUAGAAGGACACUACGCGACACGAAAGAAAUUGCAUAUCAUGGAUCCGGAUACUUACGAUCUUGUCGGACGCCUGGCCCUUGGAGGCCACUCAUCCUCGCCAACGGUGGUGUUGGCGAAACUGUCCGGGGGGAUAGUCCUCCCCCUCUUGGACCCUUCGGCCUCCCCUAUUGGGAAAGCCUUCCACUUCUUCUCUCCCUCCUCCGAGAGAGAGUCCUCUUCCUCCUCCUCGUCUUUGGGGGAGGAGUCCGCCUCGUCGUCGGACGCCUAAUUGCGGGAACUCUUUCGAGUCCCCGCGGCCACCUUCUUGGCCUUCUUCUCCGGCACCACGUGCGGUGCCGGAACCAGCAGCCCUGCUAAACGGGCGUUCUCUGGGUCUUCAGGCAUGGGAGCCGGGCUGAUGAGCUGCUUGGCCUUCUCCAUCCAUUCCUAUCAAAGGAAAAGAGAGAUUGAAACCCUCUUAGAAUCAGUUUAAUUACCACAAGUGUCCCGUAACGUGGUUGAAUCACUUACCUCGUCAGCCGGAUGCUGCGAGCGAAAUCCGUGAUCUUCCGUCGCGGAUGCGGGGGCUUCGGCGCCCUUAAACAGCACCCUCCAGGCGCCUUCGUAUGUCGUAUCGAAGAGCCCGCUCAGCGCCUGGUGCUGUUCCGGAUUGAACUCCCACAGAUUGAAUACCCGUUCUUGGCAUGGGAGAAUCCGGCGGAUGAGCAUGACUUGGACCACGUCGACGAGCCUGAGCUUAUUGCUCACCAGCUUCUGGAUGCAGGCUCGGAGUCCCGUCACCUCCUUCGGAUUUCCCCACAGCAAGCCCUUCUCUUUCCAGGAGGUGAACUGCGUGGGGACGCCAGAUCUAAACUCGGGGGCCGCCGCCCAUGUGGGCUUGCGCAGCUCGGUGAUGUAGAACCAACCCGAUUGCCACCCCUUGACGGAGUCCACGAAGGCCCCUUCGAGCCAAAGGACGUUGGGCAACUUACCCAACAUGGCGCCUCCGCAUUCCGCUUGCGUGCCCUUCACAACCUUCGGCCUCCCCUAUUGGGGAAGCCUUCCUCUUCUUCUCUCCCUCCUCCGGGAGAGAGUCCUCUUCCUCCUCCUCGUCUUCGGGGGAGGAGUCCGCCUCGUCGUCAGACGCCUGAUUGCGGGAACUCUUUCGAGUCCCCGCGGCCACCUUCUUGGACUUCUUCUCCGGCACCACGUGCGGUGCCGGAACCAGCAGCCCUGCUAAACGGGCGUUCUCUGGGUCUUCAGGCAUGGGAGCCGGGCUGAUGAGCUGCUUGGCCUUCUCCAUCCAUUCCUGUCAAAGGAAAAGAGAGAUUGAAACCCUCUUAGAAUCAGUUUAAUUACCACAAGUGUCCCAUAACGGGGUUGAAUCACUUACCUCGUCAACCGGAUGCUGCGAGCGAAAUCCGUGAUCUUCCGUCGCGGAUGCGGGUGCUUCGGCGCCCUUAAACAGCACCCUCCAGGCGCCUUCGUAUGUCGUAUCGAAGAGCCCGCUCAGCGCCUGGUGCUGUUCCGGAUUGAACUCCCACAGAUUGAAUGCCCGUUCUUGGCAUGGGAGAAUCCGGCGGAUGAGCAUGACUUGGACCACGUCGACGAGCCUGAGCUUAUUGCUCACCAGCUUCUGGAUGCAGGCUCGGAGUCCCGUCACCUCCUUCGGAUUGCCCCACAGCAAGCCCUUCUCUUUCCAGGAGGUGAACUGCGUGGGGACGCCAGAUCUAAACUCGGGGGCCGCCGCCCAUGUGGGCUUGCGCAGCUCGGUGAUGUAGAACCAACCCGAUUGCCACCCCUUGACGGAGUCCACGAAGGCCCCUUCGAGCCAAAGGACGUUGGGCAACUUACCCAACAUGGCGCCUCCGCAUUCCGCUUGCGUGCCCUUCACAACCUUCGGCUUGACGUUGAAGGUCUUGAGCCACAGGCCGAAGUGGGGCCGGAUGCAGAGGAAGGCCUUGCACACGACGAUAAACGCCGAGAUGUUGAGGAUGAAGUUCGGCGCCAGAUCGUGGAAAUCCAGGCCGUAGUAAAACAUGAUCCCCCGGACGAAUGGGUGGAGUGGAAAGCCCAGUCCGCGGAGGAAGUGGGGAAGGAAGACGACCCUCUCAUGGGGCCCAGGGGUAGGGAUGAGCUGCCCCUCGUCGGGCAGCCGAUGCGCGAUAUCGCCGGAAAGGUAUCCGGCGCUGCGAAGCUUGGUGAUAUGCUCCUCCUUAACGGUGGAGUCCAACCAUUUGCCUCCCGCUCCGGACAUAUUCGGAGAAGGUCGGGGCGAGAUGCGCGAGCUUGGGCGUUGGAGCUUGAGUGCACGGAGAUGGAUAAGCAAAGGAGGAAGAAGGCGUAGGUGAGAAGGUAAAUCCUUAUCCCUUAUAUAUAGGCGGACGAAAACUAUGCGUCCCCACCGGCCUGAUAAAACUCGCUUAUCUCCCAAGCGCCACCAUCAAUGGCGCGGUUGGGUUACCCACGUCCGUAUUGAUGGGAAUCCCGGAAUAAGGGGAACACAAUCUCUGCUUCGACAAGACGUGCCAAGGAAACCGCUUCGCUAAACGUGCUGAGGUGGUAUAGUAAAAAACGAUUCAAACAAAGGCUUGGUAGCGGUGUGAUGUCACGCCGCAUAAUACGUCAGCAGAUUGGACUGGUGUACAUUUUAUUCUCUCUACGGUGGAAUGUGGAAUUUAUUUUGCAGAGCCGGACACUAUCCUGGUGUUCAUGAUCUUCUCUGGAUUAUUCAAGGGAGGAACCCGCCUUGCAAUGCCGAACAUUAUGCGCGCCGGACUUAUCGUCAUUGAAGCCUGGUUCAGGGGCUACUGAGGGAGUCCUGGACUAGGGGGUGUCCGGACAGCCGGACUAUCAUCGUCCGCCGGACUCCAAGACUACGAAGAUACAAGAUUGAAGACUCCGUCCCGUGUCCAGAUGAGAUUUUCCUUGGCGUGGAAGGCAAGCUUGGCAAUACGGAUAUGUAGAUCUCCUACCAUUGUAACCGACUCUGUGUAACCCUAGCCUCCUCCGGUGUCUAUAUAAACCGGAGGGCUUUAGUCCGUAGGACACAACAUACAUUACAACAAUCAUACCAUAGGCUAGCUUUAGGGUUUAGCCUCCUUGAUCUCGUGGUAGAUCCACUCUUGUACUACCCAUAUCAUCAAUAUUAAUCAAGCAGGACGUAGGGUUUUACCUCCAUCGAGAGGGCCCGAACCUAGGUAAAACAUCGUGUCCCUCGUCUCCUGUUACCAUCCGCCUAGAUGCACAGUUCGGGACCCCCUACCCGAGAUCCGCCGGUUUUGACACCGACAGGGCCCAUAACCCACAGUUCCACAGGAUCGAAACCUGACUCAUGUACAUCCCUGUUUUUCAAAGUUGUUCCUCGCGCUUGGAUUCGUAUGUAAUUCACGAGCCACCUUCCUUGUGAUCUGUUCUGGUAUCAGAUGCAAUACUUAUUCCCAUUGCUCUAAACCCCUUUCACCUUCUUACCUUGCUCUCGAUGACUAUCCUGAAUUCCAACUCAAGAGAUGCCUCUAUGCCAUGUUGAGGUACCUAUCUUGUGUUGAGCUCCAUCCCUCCCGAGUCUUUCCCCCUUACUCACCCCUUAAAUCUCGAGACGAUAUUUCUUGUAGUGGAGGAGAAUUGUGACGCCCAAAUAAUUAAGCUACAGUAAUCCCCUUUUAAUGGUUCCAUGUCAUCACAUUACUAUUGCUAAUCCUCGCUUGAUCCAAAUCUUAGUUCAAACUAAUAUUCAAAUUAAAGACCAAAAUUCAAAUUUCUCAAGCAUGCAUAAUAAAAUGUUCAAAGUGUGGCAAAUAAUCCCUGGAUAUUUGUCAUGUUGGAAACAACCUCCUUAGAAUUUUCAAAAUGCCCCUGGGAGUUAAUUUUUGGUCAAGUAGUAAAUUAAAUGGCAUUUGCAAAACAAAUAAUUAUUUAUUUAACUCCAAUUGCCUCCUGUCGUGGGAAACGAACACCUAUGGGGCAGGGCCCCUUUUCGGUCUGGCAAGGGAGCGGAGGGCACACGAAGAGCAGAUCGAGGCGAAGCACGCGGGGGAAUUUUACCCAGCUUCGGAGCUCUCCGGAGAGAUAAAACUCCUACUGCUGCUUUGUGUUUCUAUUCUGUUCUUGCUCAAGAGUGUGGGUGUGUUGUAGUUUCGAAUGAGUCGAACCCCUUCUACGUGCGCAUGGGCCUCCUUUUUAUAGUCUAAAGGGGUCACCGACAGGUGGCAGCAUAGAGAGAGGGGUAAAAAAGUAAAAACGCGGGUUGGUACAACCGCUAUCAACAGUGCCCCCUACCUAACUCUGACAGCAGGGGACAAGGGCAUUUAAUGCCCAUCCGGUCGCCCAAACAGUGCAGGAAGUGACCGUUAGGGGCGCCACCAAUCGCCACGAUGGCCUCCUAGUCAUCUUCACUUGCCACCUCGCACCGCUUGGCUGCACAGCUACCCGCCACGUGCACCGGGAGCGAUCCUGCGGCGACACGUCAUCGGAUGCGCUGGAGCAUGGGCGCAGAGUUGUGGCUUUGCCGCGGCAAGCGCCUUGCCGCGGUCACUAUCUUGUUGCACCCGCAAGCUUGCCGCUCGCCGGGUCUUGGUUGGCCUUCCCGGCAAGAUCCUCCUGCCGGGGUCUUGUCCUUCCCGGCAAGCUUCUCUUGCCGGGGCUUCGUCUUCACAGUUAACACUUUGUUCUUGAAUGGCAGUAAAUAGGAAUGACGAAGGAUCUUGGCGGACGCCCGGCAAGCCUUGCCGCAGGACGCUGCGCCUGCCCGUGCACAAGUUCGGGGUACUAAGGUACCCCUACUUUAGUACACCGACUGGAGCCCCCGGGCCUGGGCCAUACACGGUGCUGAGCGCUGUUGGGCCAGGCCCAAAACAGGACACGGGCACGCGCGGCCUGGGUCCUAACUAAAUCCACUCCGUAUCCACCGCGUCCUCCCGUAACGGCACGCGUCAAUCGCGGCGUCGUGGGAGAGAUCGUGGGUGGAAGACGUUCGCGCGUAUCCACAGCCUGAUGGAGGGGUUUACCCUCCAUUUUAAGUUAAUGGAGGGCGAUCUCCUCUCCGUCAAGGUCUUCGGGUGCUUCGACACUCGGGCGAAGUGCUGCGUGGACAGCUCCUCCGAUAGCAAAGGCUCCCCCUCGAGCGAGAGCGACAAGGAGGAGAGCAACAGCGAUGAUGAGGGUAGCGGGCGGCGGGAUGGCGGGCCCGACUAGGUGUCGGGCGCCGCUUCGUGCGUCACCGGUGACCCCAUCAUCCGUGUCGCCGGCUCCUUGAACUCCCCGGGGUCGUCUCCUUGGGCGGCUGGCGUAGGGAGGCUGCGGAAGGGGAAGAGGGCUGGCGACAAGGCCGUCAAAUCGGAGUACGAGGGCGUAGUGCCCUCGACAGCGUGCUGACGUCCUGCCGCCCCAUCUUCGAGCCCCGCUUCCAGCGCCGCCAUCACCGUCCGGCCUUCGGACGGCCCCCGGGAUGUUCUCUUGGUGUCUUCGCCUAGGCGCCUCUUUUGCCCUUUUCGCCUCCUUGACCUACAUCCUGAAGAGAGGGACAGGAAAGGGAUUACGGGCAUCUUAUCUUUUUAAUUUGUAAGCCUUCGGGCCCUAGUCGCAUCUAAAACUUGUAACCCUCUCUUUCAUGUUUUUCAUCCUCUAUGGACUGUACCUGAGUGUGAUGUUUUUUUAAUGAAAAAGGGAUGCUUGCCGGGUUAUUUGUCUCAUGGGUUGAACCCACGCCAAGGAGCAAAUCCUUGGUAUCCCUCGGACAGGCAUUUCAUCUCCCGCCAACAGGCCCUGCCGCCUUCCCACGUCGCUCGACCUUUCUCACGCCUUUGACGGAGGCGGGAACGAGGUGGGUGCGGCCUCCUCAUUUCAUCCCUUUGCUGCUGUGACUACGACCAAACUUGGCCCCGGGAACGAGCCCCAGGGCCUAGAGUUGAGGGAGCACGGCAGUUUUCGGGAAGAAACGCGGUUUCGCAUUCCCCAGUCCAUAAGAGGAUGCAUGAUGAGGGACGAAAGACUUAUCUGAUAUCGCAGCCCCCGGCAACUCUGGCUUGCCGUGGAUGAAUCUUGGUACUCGCAGCCCCCAGCAACACUGGCUUGCCGGGGCCCAGGUGCCGGCGCGCCCUUCUUCUCCUUUCCUUGUCGCUGUUAUUUCAGUUAUGAGAACAAUUUAGUCAGUGCCGCAAUAAGUUACUCUUGUAAUAUAACUUUAUUCUGGGCAAUGCUUGUUAUGUUACAUCCUUUAUUUGAUUCCAUUCCUUGUAUGUUUGUACCCUUACGCUUUUACGGAACUUGCCGGUGCAAACACGCUUGCCACGAGCGCUGAGUGCAAAACAUCAGCAGCCUUCUAGCGGUGUUGCCUCCGGCAAGAAACCUUGUCGGGGCUAGUCGCAGCACACUUUCAUUGUUGAGCGGACUCAAAACAAAGUAAGGGUGCAACUUAACCACGAGCCGGUUCCUCUGCGCACAGGUUUUCCAUACAAGGCAUGGUCGUUCAAGGAAUAUAACUUAAAAAUUUAAAACUGACUGUGCUUAAACUUCGGCAACUUAGCUUUUUUGUUGUUUGUGUCCNNNNNNNNNNNNNNNNNNNNNNNNNNNNNNNNNNNNNNNNNNNNNNNNNNNNNNNNNNNNNNNNNNNNNNNNNNNNNNNNNNNNNNNNNNNNNNNNNNNNNNNNNNNNNNNNNNNNNNNNNNNNNNNNNNNNNNNNNNNNNNNNNNNNNNNNNNNNNNNNNNNNNNNNNNNNNNNNNNNNNNNNNNNNNNNNNNNNNNNNNNNNNNNNNNNNNNNNNNNNNNNNNNNNNNNNNNNNNNNNNNNNNNNNNNNNNNNNNNNNNNNNNNNNNNNNNNNNNNNNNNNNNNNNNNNNNNNNNNNUGUGGGCGCAGGAAUCUUCUCUUUGAGAAAAAGGAAGAAGAGAAAAUAAAGUUAUGGAGCCUUAAGGCUUGUUAUUGCUUACCGGGGGCAAGUUCUGCACAAAGUGUCAGUGUAUACAUGCUAAAAAGAAAAAGGCAUGAAUUUUGACAAUAUGUACUAAACAUAUGAUCUUUAUUUAUGCACGGGAUCUGCGCCCGGCUUUGUACAAAGGGUUACAUGCAACAACGGCAAGGCUUGUACAAAAGGUGGUUGCCAGGACAGCAGGUUCCGGCAACCGCGCCUUAUGGGUAAAACUUACGAAGAUGAUCUAUGUUCUAGGAGUUGCUCACCGGAAUGCCAUCUUCGGUCUCAAGGCGGACAGCGCCAGGCCUAGUGACUCGCUUUACCCGAUAAGGGCCUUCCCACUUCGGCGUCAACUUGUUGGAAUUCUUGGCAGAUUGAACGCGCCGAAGAACAAGGUCACCUUCCUCGAAGCUUCUGGCAUUAACUUCGCGGCUAUGGUAGCGGCGCAAAGCUUGCUGGUAGCGAGCAGCUCGUACAGCAGCCUGAAGACGAUCCUCCUCGAGGAGCAGCGCGUCAUCUUGCCGCAGCUGCUCUUGCUCAAGCUCAUCAUAAGCGAGCACUCGAGGCGAUCCGUAUACGAGUUCUGUGGGGAGAACUGCCUCUGCUCCAUAGACAAGAGCAAAAGGUGUCUGGCCAGUGGCUCGAUUUGGCGUCGUCCUGAUCGACCAAAGAACCACCUGUAGCUCCUCGAUCCAAUUUCUUCCGCACUUGUGCAGCCUGUCGAAAGUUCUGGUCUUGAGCCCACGCAGCACUUCAGCGUUUGCCCUCUCCGCUUGACCGUUGCUUCUCGGGUGAGCAACAGAAGCGAAGCAGAUCUUGGCGCCAAGAUCUUGGACGUACUGCAUGAAGGUGCAGCUCGUGAAUUGUGUGUUGUUGUCGGUGAUGAUCCUAUUAGGGACUCCGGAACGGCAAACAAUUGACCUGAAGAACUUGACUGUUGACUGUGCUGUCACCUUCCUCACUGGCUCCACCUCCGGCCACUUCGUGAACUUGUCGAUGGCCACGUACAAGUACUCGAAGCCCCCGACAGCUCGGGGAAAAGGGCCAAGGAUAUCAAGCCCCCAGACUGAAAAUGGCCAGGAUAAAGGGAUUGUUUGGAGAGCUUGAGCUGGUUGAUGAAUCUGUUUGGAGUGGAACUGGCACGCUUCACACUUGGUUACUUGUGCAGUCGCAUCCUGGAGGGCUGUUGGCCAAAAGCAACCUUGCCGGAAGGCUUUACUGGCAAGUGCUCUUGCGCCAAUGUGGUGGCCACAUAUGCCUCCAUGUAUCUCCGCCAACAGCUCUUGUCCUUCUUCCCGGGAAAUGCACUUCAAUUUCACUCCGUUGAAUCUUCUUCUGUACAGUAUGUCAUCGACAAACUGAUACAUACUUGAUUGUCGGGCUACUUUCUCUGCUUCUUCUUGCUCUUCGGGAAGUUCUCCUGUUUGAAGGAAAUGGACGAUCUGCUGUGCCCAUGCCGGAGCUUGUGGCUCGACGACAAGGACUAAAGGCGCAAAUGCUGCUGCGGGAACAUCCGCUUCUACGGCAAGAAUAUGAGAUCCUGCCGGAGCGUGAUGCUCCCCGGCAAGCGUGCCGGGGCACAGCUUGUCGGGAGCGUCUGCUUCAACGAAACAAACCCUAGGGCUUGUCGGAGCAGACUGCUCCUCAGCACUUUCUAUGUUGAUCCUGGGGACCUUCUUGGCGGCGGCUUCGGGGAGCUCUGCCGGAAAGUAGUCGCCAGUAACCAACUUUCUCUUCUUGCUCUGUCCAGUUGAUGGUGUUACAGAUGGCUGAGUCAGCUUGAGCACAAAAAUACCUGGUUCCACAGGUAACUUGAGUGCGGUGCACUUUGACAGGCCGUCUGCAAUGUCAUUCUGAGCUCUUGGAACAUGUUCCAUCUGCAGGCCGUCAAAAUGCUCUUCCAGCUUCCUCACUUCAUCAAUGUAGGCCUCCAUCAGCGGACUCUGAUAAUCUGUGUUAACUUGGCGGACGACAAGCUGUGAGUCACCCCUGACAAUAAGCUUCUUGAUCCCAAGUUCUGUCGUGAUCCUGAGUCCGGCAAGCAGGCCCUCAUAUUCUGCAGUAUUGUUUGUUGCUUGCUCCUUGGGAAAGUGCAUUUGGAUCAUGUACUUGAGGUGCUCUCCGGUGGGUGCGACAAGUAACACACCCGCACCGGCGCCUUGCAGCGAGAAAGCACCAUCAAAGUACAUGAUCCAUUCCCUGUUUGCUUCCUUGACGGGGAUCCUCGUCUCCGGAGUUUCUUCAUCUGGUGUUGGCGUCCACUCCACUAUGAAUUCUGCCAAUGCUCGGCUCUGGAUAGUUGAAGUACUUUCAAACUUGAGGCCAAAGCUUGACAGUUCCAGUGCCCACUCGACAAUCCUGCCUGUUGCUUCUGGAUUUUGCAAUAUCCUCUUCAACGGAAAGCGAGUGACAACUGUGAUCUGAUGUGCUUGAAAAUAAUGGCGCAGCUUCCUCGAGGCCAUGAGAAGGCCGAAAAGCAACUUUUGCACUCCAGAGUAUCUUGAUCUAGCCACCUGCAGAAGGGAGCUGACAAAAUAAACUGGGUGCUGCACCAUCUUCUUUUGUUUCUCUGCCUGCGGCUGCACAGACUCAUCCUUGUCGGGACCAGAGCUUGACGGAGAAGCCCCCUGCUUGUCGCUGGACUCGCUUGCCGCGGCCGCUGGCUCAUCAUCUGCCUCCCUCUCUGCUACUAACGCAGCACUAACCACUUGAUUGGUUGCUGCUAGAUACAGCAGCAACUUCUCUUGCGGCUUAGGUGCGACAAGUACUGGAGUGGAGGAUAGGUAUCUCUUCAAGUCCUGUAGCGCAGCCUCCGCUUCUGGAGUCCAUUUCAUUGGACCUGCCUUUUUCAAAAUUUUGAAAAACGGCAGGGCGCGCUCAGCAGACUUAGAGAUGAACCUACUGAGAGCAGCAACGCAGCCGGCAAGCCUUCGCACAUCCUUGAGGCGCUUCGGGGCUUCAAUCUGCUCGAUGGCCUUGAUCUUGUCGGGGUUGGCUUCGAUCCCCCUCUGGGACACGAAGAACCCGAGAAGCUUGCCGGAAGGAACUCCAAACACGCACUUCUCAGGGUUCAACUUGAGAUUGAUCUUGCGCAGAUUUGCAAAAGUCUCAUCCAAAUCUUGGAUCAAAGUUUCUCUAUCUUUGCUCUUGACCACUAUAUCAUCCAUGUAUGCUUCUACAUUCCUGUGCAGCUGUGGCUCAAAAGCAUGACUGACUAGUCUUGCAAACGUUGAACCAGCAUUCUUUAGUCUGAAAGGCAUUCAUACAAAGCAGUACGUGCCACAUGGAGUAAUGAAUGCGGUGUUCUCUUCAUCCUCUUUUGCCAUGAAAAUCUGAUGGUAUCCUGAGUAUGCAUCAAGAAAUGAAAGCAGAUCACAUCCUGCCGUGGAGUCGACAAUCCGGUCAAUGCGCGGCAAGGGAAAUGGAUCUUUGGGACAAGCUUUAUUAACAUCCGUGAAGUCAAUACAAAGCCUCCACUUCCCAUUCACCUUGCGCACAAUUACUGGAUUGGCUAACCACGUUGGAUGGAGUACUCCUCGGACGAGGCCUGUUGCUUCCAACUUCUUGAUCUCUUCUGCUAUGAACUCUUGGCGUUCCGCCGCUUGCUUCUUGACUCUCUACUUGACGGGCCGCGCGUGAGGACAGACGGCAAGGUGGUGCUCAAUUACUUUCCUGGGAACACCGGGGAUGUCAGAUGGUUGCCAUGCAAACACAUUGACAUUCGCCCGCAGGAAAGCAACGAGCGCGCUUUCCUAUUUAGGGUCAAGCGUGGCACUGAUGGUGAAGGUACCACUAGUGCCGUCCUCCUUGGCGGCCACUUUCUUGGUAUCAGGUGUCGCUAUCUUUGCCCUCUUGCACUUGCCGGUGGAGCUCGAUGGUGCGUCCUCGACGGUAGCACAGCACUCCGAAGAGGUGCGCUUGCCGGAGUGGGCAUCAGAGCUACUCUUGCCGGACUUGGUCUUCUUCUUCUUCCCCCCGGGAGCUUCAGCGGCAAGUGGUUUGUGCUCUGCUGCGGCUGCUGCUUCCUGGUAGAUCUUGUCGGUGCAGAUAAGCGCAUCCUUCUUGUCGCCUUGGACAGAAAUGACGCUUAUCGGACCGGGCAUCUUGACCACGUUGUAAGCAUAAUGAGAGGCUGCCAUGAACUUGGAAAGCGCUGGACGGCCGAGUAUCCCAUUGUAGGGCAACGGGAAAUCAGCAACAUCAAAUGUGACUCUCUCUGUCCUGAAGUUCAGUUUGCUGCCAAAUGUCACUGGUAGUGUAAUCUUCCCCUUGGGCUUGCUCCUUCCCGGGUUGAUUCCUUGAAAGGUACCAGUUUCUUCGAGCUCGCUGUCGGGGAUCUGGAGCUUGUUGAGCACCGCGGAAGAGAUCAGAUUUAGGCCGGCCCCACCGUCAACCAACAUCUUCGUGACCUUGAGGUUGCGGAUGGUUGGCGAAACCAACAUCGGCAAGCACCCGACCGCAGUGAUGCGAUCAGGGUGAUCCUCAACAUCAAAGACGAUGGGCGUACUGGACCACUUCAGGGGCUUGCGCGAUUCGACUGAUGGUUCAGCUGCAUUUACCUCCCGCACCCACUGCUUGAGUUGGCGGUGCGAGGUGUGCAGAGAAGCACCGCCGUCAACGCACAAAACCUCUGUUGCCUUCUGAAACUCUUGCUCGUCGGUCUCAUCCUCGUCCAUCUCAUCAUCCUCAUCUUCAUCUUCGUCCUUGUCACGGCCACGGGGAGGUCUGUCUCCUUGCCGCUGCUUGGCCUUGCCGCGGCGCCCUCCCCGGGCGGGACGCUUCUUGCCGGAUCCUCCGCCACCUUCCUGGGCCUUCUCCUUGUCGCGACGCUCGUAUUCAGCUUUCUGUAGUUCUGCCAUUUGCUCAACCUUCUUGCAUGCUUGGAGGUCAUGGCCCUUGGUGCGAUGGAUCUUGCAGUACUGCUUGCCGGAACAAUCCUGCUUGUCGGCGGCCACCACAGCCUCGCCGGAGUCACCAGCUUUGGCCUUGUCGGCGCCGCCUCCGUUGCCGGACUGCUCAACAACUAGCACAUCCUUAGCCUUUCUCUUUCUAUUAUUCCGCCUCCGGUUCUUCUUUGCCGGAGGGACGUCCUCAUUGUCCGAUCCUUCUGCUCCUGCAUUCUCUCCGGGAAGUUUCCUCCCCUCUUCAGCUCGUGCACACUUGUCAGCCAGAGCAUAUAGCUCGCUGACAUCUCUAAUCUUGCACAUCGCCAUCUCCUCCCUCAUCCUGCGGUUACGCACGUUCUGAUGGAAUGCGCUGAUAACCGCGGCAGGGUGGACGUCUGGGAUGUUGCGCUGCACCUGGCUGAAUCUCUGUAUGUACUUGCGCAGGGGUUCUCCUUCUUUCUGGGCGAGCAGAUGAAGAUUGCUCUCCUGACCAUGGGGUUUGUGGCCGCCUGUGAAGGCGCCGACAAACUGAUGGCACAGGUCCGCCCACGAAGAGAUGGAGUUGUCCGGCAAGUGCAUGAGCCAAGAUCUGACGUUGGGCUUGAGCACCAGCGGGAAGUAGUUGGCGAGGAUCUUCUCGUCGCGCCCCCCGGCAGCCUGCACCGCGAUGGUGUAGACGCUGAGGAACUCUGAUGGAUGUAUCCUGCCAUCGUACUUCUCGGGUAUGUCCGGCUUGAAGUUCUUGGUACUGGGCCACUGGACUUGCCGCAGCUCACGGGUGAACGCAGGGUAACCUGCCGCGUACGGCAAGUCGCCUGGUUCCCCUGGCGCAUGCAUAUCGACAGUGGGCCCAGCGCACUGGUCAGAUUAAUGUCGCGCUUCUCUUCUGCGCUCGAUGCGAGUACGAGCGUCUCUGUGUCGUCGUUCUUGGAGAACUUGGCGUUGAUCGCGGCGAGCUCGCGGGUCCGACGACGCGGUGGAGUCGGUGUCGAGGUUGGAACGGCGAGUUGGCGAUCAUGGCCUUCGGGGCGGGGAGUGCACGGUGGUGGCACCCCCAGCGGUCUUGUCGGUGUCGGCUUGCGCCCGGGCGUCUUGCCGGGGCUUUCGAUGUGCUCGGUUGCCGGGGCUUGUCGCCGUUGGCGAAGCCGAUGAGGCUUUGGAUGGUGAUCCUCCAGUCGUCGAUCUUGUCUGGCGCUGGAGGGUAAUCUAGAAGCAGCUGGGCUCGGGCCAGCGCUUCCUCUGGAGUCUUGGGCGGCGGUGGCGAGCGACGCGAGGUGCGGGAUAUGCUCAAACUUCUAACAGUGUUAGAAGGAGCAACAUCUCGCCCAGGCGACCGUACUUCGCUCGUGCCAGCGUGUUGACGUGUAUGUUGGCCUUGAGCGUCCCGCGAUCCGCCGGCUUGGCCUUGUUCCAACACGAGCACGGUGCUAGGAGUACCGUGGCAUUGCCGAUCUUGCACCUCCUGGGAGGGGUACGGUGGAUGUACAGACGCUGAAGCUUGCGGGGCCUUGUCCUCGGACCUGGUGACGAUGUGAGUCCCCCCGUCGGCGCCCGCUCCUCCGCCGGCGUCCACCCCACCACCCGUUUGCUCCGGUGGCGGUAGGAUAGUCGCAAACGGAGUGGCCACCUCCGAAGCCUUCUUCUUCGGUGGCAUGUCGAUGAAGAUGUUGAUGUAGCGCGCAGAUGCCGGAUCAGGUACGCACAACCUCGACGCCCACCUACCUGGCGCGCCAAAGAUGUCGUGGGAAACGAACACCUAUGGGGCAGGGCCCCUUUUCGGUCCAGCAAGGGAGCGGAGGGCGCACGAAGAGCAGAUCGAGGCGGAGCACGCGGGGGAAUUUUACCCAGCUUCGGAGCUCUCCGGAGAGAUAAAACUCCUACUGCUGCUUUGUGUUUCUAUUCUGUUCUUGCUCAAGAGCGUGGGUGUGUUGUAGUUUUGAAUGUGUCGAACCCCUUCUACGUGUGCAUGGGCCUCCUUUUUAUAGUCUAAAGGGGUCAGCGACAGGUGGCAGCGUAGAGAGAGGGGUAAAAAAGUAAAAACGCGGGUUGGUACAACCGCUAUCAACAGUGGCCCCUACCUAACUCUGACGGCAGGGGACAAGGGCAUUUAAUGCCCGUCCGGUCGCCCAAACAGUGCAGGAAGCGACCGUUAGGGGCGCCACCGAUCGCCAUGAUGGCCUCCUAGUCAUCUUCACUUGCCACCUCGCACCGCUUGGCUGCACAGCUACCCGCCACGUGCACCGGGAGCGAUCCUGCGGCGACACGUCGUCGGAUGCGCUGGAGCGUGGGCGCAGAGUUGUGGCUUCGCUGUAGCAAGCGCCUUGCCGCGGUCACUAUCUUGUCGCACCCGCAAGCUUGCCGCUCGCCGGGUCUUGGUUGGCCUUCCCGGCAAGCUCCUCUUGCCGGGGUCUUGUCCUUCCCGGCAAGCUUCUCUUGUCGGGGCUUCGUCUUCACAGUUAACACUUUGUUCUUGAAUGGCAGUAAAUAGGAAUGACGAAGGAUCUUGGCGGACGCCCGGCAAGCCUUGCCGCAGGACGCUGCGACUGCCCGUGCACAAGUUCGGGGUACUAAGGUACCCCUACUUUAGUACACCGACACCUCCAAACUUUAUGUGGCACUGCAAAAUAUUUGUGGCUCUGUCUAAGAUUGCCAAGGAAUUAAAAGGGGAACUUAACAUAUUUUUCCUAAGUAAAUAGUGUGCCCAAAAUAUUCUCUUAACCAUCUCUGUUUUUUUUAAUAAAAAAAGGCGAAUAAGAACUCGCCCGGGCCUCGGCCUACUCCCACUUACCAGCCCACCUAAGCCGGCCCACUCCCCCGCUCCCAUGGCCUAUAGGCCAUGCUCAACCGAACCCUAACCCCGCACGAUCCCCCCACUCCCCACUUCUCUCCCCUCCCGAUCCAAUCUGGAUCGGACCGAAACUGGCGCCCCGACGCCAACCGCCGUCGCUGGAGGCAUCCCCGACUCCACGCUGGGCCACCCCAUCACCUGACCUCCUCCCCGUCGUCGCUCGUCACUCGCUGGACCGCCUCGUCCCCACCAACGCCGCCCCGAGCCCAACGUCCCUGUCGUCGUCGCCGUCGGCAUCGCCCCGAUGUCGCCACCACCCGACGCCGGCGCCCUCGACAUCGCCACCCCGAGCCCACUGCCACCCCUACGCUCCACUGUGAGCCCCUCGCCGAUUCCCCCUCCUUCCUGUCAUCGUAGGUGGCCGCAUGCGCUGUUGGCCACCGUGGCCGCGCUCCGGCCGUUCCCCAUCCGUGUGCUAGCCUCGCCUUCCCCGGCUGCGGCCACCAGCCUCCUCGUCGCGCUCCCGCCUUCGCCCACACCUGCCCCUGUACGCCCAGCCGCUGCUGCUCGCCGGAUCCGCAUGUUCGCCCCCUAGCUUCGUCUCCGGCCGUCGAGUCCGCACCCGAUGCCGGCGCCCCAGCGCGUCCAUGCGCCCGUACGGGCGGGCGCCCACGCCCAUGCCCCUCCGCCCGUUAGCCCGCCCCGCUAAGGCCUGGGCACCUAACCAAGGGGCCCCACGCCCCUGUGUAAUAAAAAAGAUUUAAAAAAAAUAAAUAUAAAUAUAAUUAGUUAAUUAGUUAAUUAAUUGUAUAGUUAAUUAACUAACUUAAUUAACCUUGCUUAGUUAGCCUAAUGAACUAGUUUAGUUAAUUUAAAUCUGUUAGAUAGGUCUAUGAGAGAACGACCCCACAUGUCAGUUUAACCAGUCAACACUCUUUUGACUGCUGACAUCAUGAUGACGUCAGGCUGACAUCAUAAUUCCAAUUUUGAAUUAAUAAUAAUUUCAGAAUAUUAUUAAAACUUUGAAAAAUCAUAGAAAAUAAACCGUAUCUCGGAUGGAAGUUGCUUGGAACGACGAGACAAAUCCGAAUGCGCAGUUCGUUCAUCUGUCACGCGUCCCUAGCAUAGCAAACGUUGAACUUUUCCCCUCCGGUUCAUCUGUCUGAUAGACGUCCGGAACCGGGAAAACUUUCCCGGAUGUUUCCCCCUUCGCCAGUAUCACCUAGCACCUCGUUAGAACACUUCUAGCCCCGCUUAUUGUCUUGUUAUGCAUAUGUUUGCGUGUAUUUACUGUUUCUUCCCCCUCUUCUUCUCCGGUAGACCUCGAGACCGCUGAUGAUGCCCCUGUGAUCGACUACGUCGACGACGACCCUCCUUGUUUGAGCAACCAGGCAAGCCCACCCUUUGAUCAUCCCGAUAUCGCCCAUUCCAUUCUCUCAUGCUUGCACUAGAUUUUGCUACUGUAUUUGACUGCUCCUAUUCUGAUGCAUAGCCUGCUUUUGUACCUGCUAUUGUAACUUACCUGCUUAUCCUAAAUUUCUUAGUACAGGUUGGCUAGUGAUCCAUCAGUGACCCCCACCUUGUCUUUGUUGCCCCUGCUUCAUCAUCGACGACUCGAUCAACGUGAUCGACGACCGGAGCCUGACACCUCACAUCACAUCACGCCCCUUUUUCUUGCUCGACUCUGCAGAGUUACCAUCGAGUGCCGAGGGUGGAACCUCAUACAUCGCUCCUGAUGAGAUCUCUGUAGUGUAGCUAUUCGGUCGUGGUCAUCGAGGGUGGUUCCUCCUUCACCAUUCCUAAUACGGCUCUGUCGUGCAACACCUCAAGUGUGAACCUCGAGGGUGGUUCCUCUUACGUUCACCUUGAUGAUUACAUCAACUGGAAUCCACCGGGGGUGAUUCCUCGGAUUUUCCCCUUGAUGUCUGGACACAUAGUUACCUUGAUACUUGAGACCGUUGUGAAAGCCGGGCGAGCCCGGAGAGCACCCGUGCGAUGUGACGGUGGCGGCUGGCUGUUUAGCGGUAUCACCCGGGAGGGGUGAUAGCUCCGGACUUGUCCCGACAUCCGUCACUUCUUUUAAUAAUGCACUAACACGUUUGUGUAUUUGUUCUGAGUUGGCCUCUGGCCUUUACGCACUAACCACCACGCGAGAAUAGUUAUGGGCCUCGACGUUGCAGUAUCUUUCGAAGCUUUGUCAGACGUCCAGUUCAGCAUUGUGGCCGGGCCGGAUCGUGCCAUCCACUUCACCGGUGGUGCUGGUAUCCCCUUGUGCACAACGACCCGGAGUGCAAUGGGCGAUGGGCCCAGACCCCGGAGUGCUUAGGAUGUAGACCGGCGGGGACCUCUCUACUGAGCCUAGGUAGGGCUGCGACGUGUUGAUCUUCCGAGGCUGGGCAUUGACCCCAGAAAGGUGUGUCCGGCCAGAGUGAUCGAGCGUGUUGGGUAACGUGGUGCGCCCCUGCAGGGAAGAUUAUCUAUUAAUAGCCGUGUCCAUGGUAACGUACCUUCAGACUUAUAUCUUGAUCUUAUACAACUACAAAUGGAUACUUGAGAUAUGUGGCUCCGGGAUUGCUUUCUCGCAGGGAGUCGAGGAAGGAUCUCUGGGCGUUGUUGUUAAAACAUGCUUGUUAAUUAAACUGCUAUUCUUUACUCUUCUACAUGCUGCAAGAUGCUUGGAGCUGCUUGAAGAUGCUAGUCUUUGUUUGGCUAGGCCUUCCCCUCUAUUCUGGCAUUCUGCAAUUCAGUCCACAGAUACAACCCUUCCAUUUGAUACCAAUGCAUACUUAGUAUAGAUCUGAUGCUUGCGAGUACUUUGGAUGUGUACUCGCGGUUGCUUUGCUACCCCUUUUCCCCCUUCUUUCUUCUUUCCGGUUGACGCAACCAUAUGGUGGAUCCUUGGAGCCAGAUGCCACCGCCGAUGGAUGCUAGUACGUGAAGAUCGCCGACGACCAGGAGUAGUUAGGAGGUCCUAGGCAGGAGGCCUUGCCUCUUCGAUCGUUGUUGCUUUUGUGCUAGCCUUCUUAAGGCAUCCUUAUUUAACUUAUGUCUGUACUCAGCUAUUGUUGCUUCCGCUAACUCUUGUGUAUCGAGCUAUGUAUUCGAGCUCUCGAGGCCCCUGGCUUGUAAUAUAAAGCUUGUAUUAUUUUGAUUUGUGUCUAGAGUUGUGUUGUGAUAUCUUCCCGUGAGUCCCUGAUCUUGAUCGUACAUAUUGGCGUGCAUGAUUAGUGUACGAUUGAAUCAGGGGCGUCACACAAGCGGUACUACUGCCCCACCCAGUUUCAGCAUUUCGAGUUUCACCGUUUUGCCCAUAACUUCCACAUCCGGAGUCCGAUUUUUGCAUUUUUUAGCUCGUUGAGUAGCUAUUGACAUCCCCCAUCCAUCUAUAUAGGUUCCAACACCAUUUGACUCCAUCAAAUUUUCCAAAAUUUGGAAAGUUUGCCUAGGCCGUCCACCAUAUCAUCUGCAUAGCCACCACCGACCACCGCAACCUAACCCAUUUUGUUCCCCUUAGCAUUUGAGGUUGUUUGAGUUGUGGCUUGUGUCUCCUAAGGUGUUUCGGCUACUUAGGGAUGGUAACUUCAACUCCAACACGUGUAUAGCCCAUCAUUCCACUUCCGCAUUGCCGAGUGCAAACCACCACCUCUUUCCACUACCACCAUUUGACAUUUACCUUUGUAGAUUUUGAGUUUGCGAUUUUUCCGUUUCCUAGGGUGUUUUGGCUAACUAGGAAUGGGUCGACAUCAGCAACAUCGCCUCUCAUCAUCGCCAAGGACGGUAACCUCGAUGACACCAUUGUAUAUUCCCUUGCCAUUGCAUUGAUAACCCCUAGCCCAUUUUGCGUCACUUGCCUAUCGAGACUAGCCGUUUGAGUAUUGCCGGCAACGUGACUUGUGCACAUUAGUGAUCAUACUUCCCAUAGCAUCAUACCAUAUCAUCGUGGUGCAUAUAUUGGUAGCAUAUCUUGCGUCACAAGUUUGUUGCCGCAUAUACACAAUUGCUAUCUUGGUUUGUGCAUUAUGCAGAAGUGGCCAUACAAAAAAGAGAAAUAAAGCUUUUAAGCAAAAGAAAGAGAGAAAAGAAGCUUGUAAGCAAGUGCCAUAGCAUCAUACCAUAUUGCACAUAAGAUUGUCAUAUCCGAUCAUCUUGGAUCAUCUUGAGAGAACAUCGGGAACCAUACAUACAUAGCAUACUUGGGAUAGAAAGUAUAUCCAUUUGGCAUCUUGUAGGUUGUGCACAAGUGUCCUAUCCGCCUAUUGAGCAAUCGUGCUAGCGUCUCUCUUGAGUUGUGCAACACGAGCGUUUUCUGUGGAUUCCACAUUUUGUGCUCAUUGCUUGGUUGCACGACCCCAUUUAUCUAUCCGUGUGUGUGUUUCCGUGUGUCAUUCUUUGCUAUUGGUCUACUUGUUUCACUUGCAAAUUUGUGAAUCUCUUUCAACAUUAUUGACUCUUGCUAACAUUUUGCAUCAAAUUUUUGUGCCACUAUCCUCACCGAGCUCCACCAUAAGCUUUACUUGAUAGGUGUGAGUGAACAAGUCCGGUACCAAUUCCACUAUUCUUUCAUUUCACAUUGAGUUAAACGGGAUACAUCCUCAACUUUGGGAAAGGUAACUUCCUAUUGUUUAUCUCAUUUCCUACUGGCAUUUCACCUUCGGUCUACAACAACAACGACGAGUUCGAUGCCACGAACAACUCCAACGACGCCAAGAUGCAAGCUCAAAUGGAGGAGAUCAAAGCCCUCAUCAAGUCCUACAAGCAAUCUUCCUCAUCUUCGAGAAGACACUCACGUGCACAUGUUUCCGAGCUACCAUCUCCGGUAAGAUCACAUCAGCAUCGACACCAUCACCAACAAGAACGUGAAGGUCAAGAGCUCAACACCAACUACCGCUCAACGACUUCACCAUCUCCCUUGGCAUCUUCGCCAAGCGACUUCAAGGCAUCUUUGAGUACGGAUAUACGGCAUCUUCGCCAACAAGAACCUCAAGGCUACGCUCAAGAGAAGCUCCCCAAGCUCAAGUCCACGACUUCCAUGAGCUACUACGACCUCGACACCGACCACAAGAUUCCUUUCUAUGGAACUCAAGAACCCGAGGAGUACCUCGAGUGGGAGCGUUUGAUGGACGACUACCUCAAGCUACAUCAAGUCCCUUCCGAAGAUCAAGUGAAGUGCGCCACAAGAAACUUCCACGACUACGCCUCGACAUGGUGGCUUCACACACCUUCGGAGAGCUACGAGAUGAGUUAGCCCAAGACGAAGAGAGCUUUGCAGCGAGAGCUCGUGCCUCCAACCUACAUGGAACAACUUCGACGCCAAUUGGAGAACACCAUCCAAGGAUCCAAGUCCAUCGACGCGUACUUCAAGGAGAUGAAGAAUGCCUUGCGACGAGACGGCGUGGAUGACCCCAUUUCGAUGAAGUUCCACUUCAUGAUGCGAUUGAACAACGACAUCUCCAAGACUAUCUUCCUCGAGAACUACAAGUCCCUGGACAACUACUACAUUGGUGCUCUCAAGGCGGAACAAGAACUCAUGAAAGCCAAGGCUUCUCCACCCCAAGCACACUUCGCGGCGACCAAGCUGUACGACAAGCAUGAGGCUAGUACCACCAUGAUGUCCAAGCCCGACGAGCUCCAAGACAAUGCUCCCAAGUUCGACUUCACCGCCAUCCCUCUUUGUGGCAUUGAUGACGCCGAGUCUACCUUGACUCUUUUUCAAGACGGUGCGGCGACGAGUACGACUACGGAGACCUUCAAGGACCAAGCUUUGGAGGCGAGCGACAAGGUGGCGAGCAAGGAUGGUGUUUCCAUCUUUGGAGGCGAGAGUGAUGAUGUGCCAUCUUCGUCCUUCAUCCACGGCGACGAUGACGAGAUGAUCGAGCAUGGGAUUUUCCCUUCGGUCAUGGAGGAGAGUGAUGAUGUGCCAUCUUCGGCCUUCAUCCACGGAGACGACGACGAGAUGGUUGAGCAUGGGAUUCUCCCUUCGACCACGGUGACGUAUGAUGACUUGAGUGACUUUUGCCACCAUAUUGAGAGUGAGAGUGACUUCACCACUAGCCCCAUAUAUGACGAGUUGCCCCAAUUCCUAUGUGAGGAGAGCCACAACCCCCACCACUUGAGUGAGAUGAGUGACUCCACCAUAUGCGACUUUGAGUGCACCUAUUUUGAGGGAGUGAGUGAACCACCACAUAGAGAGAGUGUGAUAGUUGAUAGGUCUCGUGAGGCCAUUUGCAUUUCUAACAACUUGACCUCUACCUCUAUUGUGUCUUCUCAUUUGGUGCUAGGUCCCAUUUAUGAUGACGCGCCGAUCCUCGACGACUUCGUCCUCCCUUUGGACAAGACGAUGGCCAUGGUGGAAUAUGAUGCACCCCCCACAUGGUUCCAUCAAGAUGAAGAUGACCACCAUUUGGUCUUUCCCACCUCACCUACACCACUUGAGUGGAAUGAAAAAGGUAACAUAGGUGAAGGUGAUGCUCUAGUCCCACUAGUGGACAUUCUUGACAUUGAUUGCUUGCAUGAUGUUGAUCCACCUAGUACCAUGCUUCAUGCUAGUAUGAUUUCCCCAUGUGAUGAUUUGGCCAUUUAUGAUGAGUAUGAUGAUUCUCAUGUGGAGUCUCUUAGUUGUGAUGUCAUGUUACAUAGGAUUUCUUGUGACAAUUCUUUAGGUCACAUCAUGUUUGAUAAUCCGCUUGACUUGUCGUAUGCUAUGCAUGACAUUCACCAUAUGUCAUAUUUGCAAUCUCAUUGUAGUGACUAUGCAUAUGCCAUUCAAAUUAACCCAAUUUGCACUUAUGGCAUAGAUGACAAGCCCAUGGUUAUUGGGAUUUGUUUUUCUUGUGAUGAUAUUGAUAUGGUCCCUUUGCAUCAUUUAUCUCAUAUGCCAUGUCAUGCCCACCUAGCUUCGGAUAUGCAUUGUUUUGGAUGUUGUCCAUUUUCUCCAUAUGAUGUUUCCAAUCUUGCUCAUGAGGAGACCCCCAUAGUUCCCUCAUACAUGUUAGGAGAUUUUGAUCCAUCCCAUCCAUUGCAUGAUCCCAACAAUUGUGUGCACCAUAUGCUCCCCAUGAAUAAACAUGCUAUUGAUGUGCCAUAUACUUGCAUUCUCAAUUUGUGUCCCCAUCGUGUCAUACAUAAUAACUAUUCUUUCAUGAUGGAUGACAUGUUCUUAUACCAUGCAUCAAAUUUCGUUGAGCGAUGCUUAUCUUGUGCUAACUCACACGUGCACAUACACAUCAUGAUGGAUGAUGUGUACAUUUACCACACACACAAUUUAUUUGGUUUGUGUCUCUUUUGUGUAGGUACCCAGGAAUACUUGUCAACCUCGCAAUCCCACGAGUUGACAAAACGAGCUCUAGAGAGCAACGAUGAUUUGGGAUCCCAUGGAUUGUCUUUCCCACCGCUCUCUUCGCGCAAAGACUUAGCGCAUUUCUUCUACAUGGCCCUCACUUGGCUAUGGGUUGUUUUCCAUUACAUAUUAUAUGCCCAUCUUGCCAUGUUCACUUUGCAUGAUAUGCCCAUUCCCAUGCAUUUGUGACCCAUACUUUGCUUUACACAUGAUGAUUGACUCUCAUACUUUUAUGUGUAUUUGCAAGCUUGGUGGAGAUAUUGCUUGUUGUUUCCCUAUUCCAUUUUUGACCCACCCCUAUGAUGAUACUAUGAUCUUGCUUUGUGUUCGUGCUUGUGAUAUGUCAUGUGCAUUGUCUAUCCCUAUUAUUUGCUCACAUGACAUGAUUGCCAUGAUUUACUCUGGUGUGUUGCAUCUUCGCUCCACUAGUUUGCACCACAUGAUUGAUAUGCUUGCUUGUAUUGCAUCCCCCAUGAUUCAUACUUGCUCAUUUCAUGCGAUUGAUGACAACCAUUUCCAUACUUUGCACGUGAUUGCUAUAGCUUCUUGUCACAUAUCUACAUAUGUUGCCUCUCUCAUGCUAGAUCACUUGCCAUGUAUUUAGUGCAACAAUGCUCUUAUUCUUGCUCAUGAGAUUGCCCCCAUAGCAUUCUCACAUAUGAUUGGAGUUGACAUAAUUCUUGUGAAGCAUGCUUGCCUUCCUUCUUUGCACCAUAUGCCUAGUGCCAUGAAUAUUGCCAUUGUUGCAUCAUAUUGUUCAUGCACUUGUGCUACUAAAGGUUAUGUGCAAGAGAUGAGAACCAUCAUGAUGGAUGAUGUGUUUCUCUACCAUGCGCAUAUACUCUUUGUUUUGUUGUGUGCAUGUGUAGGAUACUUGGACUUCGUCUCGACUUCCACUUCAUGUGAGUUGACCAUUCAAGCUCUUAAGAGCGAGCCUCACACAUUCUACCACUACUCGCUUCUACACCGCAUUUGCUUGCGCUUCGGCAUUGUGAAGAAUGCACAAGGACAUGCCUUCAAGGUGACAUCUUUCUUGAGCAUGGAUAUUGCGGAUCAUACUACUUGUGUAGCUUGCACUGUGAGACUUAUUGGUCAUCUUGGACCACUUGAUUGCGCACUUGCUAGAGAUCUUGCUUUGACUUGCCAUUUUCACAUUCCCAUGCAUCAUGAUAUAUAUGCCUUGUGUGUUGCAUCCAAUUCUUGGAUUACUAUCACAACCUAGCUAGUCCAUGCAUUAGAGUGUUGCAUCAUGUCUACCUUUUAUCAGAAACUUGAAUUGGGGAAGACAGAACCCCCCAGAACCCCUCUGAAUUCAACUAGUGCUUACUAAAAAUAUUUUCAAUGAACCUGAAAUGCCCUUCUAAAAAGUUCACCCUCUUUGUCUUGGGUUAGAACCUCUGGCAAAAUUGGUGCACAAUUUUCUAGGUCAACAAAAGGCCAUUGAAUUAAAUCAUAUCUACUUUGAGUUUGGGCAUUUAAACUAUAUAAAAUAUUUCAAAUGCUCAAAUAACUCCAAACUAAAAUGUUCCAUACUGGAUAUAUUCCAACUAGGGACCAUGUGCAGUUUGGUGAUUUUUGGAGUUGCCUAAGUAUUUUUAGAAAUGCAACAAACUUACAGAAACAAUUAAAAACAGAAACAAAUGGGAAAAACCCUUACCUGGCCGAACCAAGCCCCAGCCCAGCUGGCCGGCCCAGCACUGUGCUGGCCCAUGCCAGCCAGCUGCUUCGCCGUCGCCACGCAGGCACAGAGCUGACGCCGGCAAGCGUGAGCUCGCAACGGCGCCAGCUGCUUGCCGCCCGCGCCCCCGAGCACCUGGGUGAGCUCCACGUCGCCGCCCCGACCCCGUGGACACCUCAUUCGCCCCCUGCCUCUCUCCCUCGCUCUCCCGCACCAUGGCCGACGCACCCGCCGCCGCACCCCCGACGUAGUCGCGCCCUCCGUCGUCCUCGUGCUGCACCACCGUGUCCCUUCGCUCCGCCGUCAUCGACUACAUCGAGUAGGCCGAGCCCCGAGCGCUCGCUGGCCCUGUUUCAUCUUCUUCGAGCUCGUCUUCACCGAGCACCGCCACAGAUCCCCUUCGCCGUCGCCGCCGUACCAGCUCGUCCCCGACCUUGCCGACCACUCCGUUGUGACCGCCGUGAGCUCAGCCACCUCCCCAUCCUCCCCGUUUGCCUUCUCGUGCACCGUAGCAACCGCAUGGAGCUUCAUCGCACGCACCACCGACGAGCUCGUCGCCGACGUGCCUCCGGCCAUCCACCGUCCACACCACGGUGUCUAACAUGCUCACCGCAUCGUGUAGAGUCUAACGCCCCACUCCACGCGCCUCGCCGUGCCCCGUAGCCAUGGGUCCAUUUUCAUCCGACUCCGGCGACCGCCGUGGUCGUCGCCGGCGACGUUCCUGGCCACCUCGACCUCAACCACCACCACCAAACGCCGCGACUUGUUCCCGGCUACACGUAGAUGGUCUCCGUCGUCCAUUUGGUCGCCAGAACAUGCUAACCCACUUCCUCCGCCGCGUCUGGCCUCGCCGGCGGCUAGACACCGGCAUGUUUGACCCGUUGACAUUCACUGGGUGGGCCAGGUUGACUCCCCUGAGUCUAUGACAAGUGCCCCCCCCUCUGCUAAUUAACCUAGUUUAGCUCUUACUAAAAUCAGUUAGUUUAAAUAAGUGCUGACAUGCGGGACCCACUGGUCAGUUUGACCUGAACGACCCCUUUGACCACUGACGUCACCCUGAUGCACUGCUGACGCAAUAACCAAUUUCUGGAUUUAUUGUUAUAUAGGAAAUUCCAGAAAUUGUUGCAAACUUCAAAAAUUCAUAGAAAUUAAUCUGUAACUCCAAAUGCAAAGAUUUAUAUAUGAAUUUUGAUCAGAAAAAUUCAAUCUAUCCAUUGGUAAUGGUUUCAUGCAUGUCAGAACAAGUUAACCUUGCUGUUUAAUCAAAACAAGUUAAUGCACUAAUAUGACUAUGUUAAAUGAACUACCAUUUGCAUCUUUGAUUCAAAUGAGUUCAUACCUUUCUGUUCUAGCUUGCAUUAGGCCAGGACACAUUCAUGUUGCCAUGUCAUAGCAUGCAUCAUAUUGUUGUAUAUCGUCAUGUGUUGUUCAUGUUCGGUGUGUUUUCGUGAUAGGUUCUGCCUCCGAGGAUAACCCCGAAUAUCCGUCUGAAGGGCUGUAUCCUACUACCACUACAUCAGGCAAGCAACCCAUUGAUCAUUCCGAUACAAACCCAUGUUCUUGCCUCUGCUCUUGUUUACUGCAUUAAGACAAUGCGAUUCAAACUUUUGUGUGUUGUGGUAGUUGAACCCACUUCCUUUGCAUGACCUGUCAUUGCCACAGUAACUAGAUGAAACUCAGUAGCAUGUGUAGGAGUUGAUUGAGCCAUAUCUGUGUUACCUACCAUGCUAUGCUUGCUAUGCUUAGAGUUGUGUCAGGUCUGGCUCAUUGGGAUGAUGAACUAGAGUGAAAGGUUGUGUCGGUAAUGAAGUGUUGAACACGAUUUGGUAAAGGUAUCGAUGAGAGGCCAUGUAGGAGUACAUGGUGGGUUGUUUCAUUGAGGCCGUCCUUAAGCACUGAGAUCUGUGUGUGUGAUUUAAGAUUCAGCUACUACCACGCAUUGGGCCCGAAACCAAUGGACCCUCUCGACUUAUUAACCACUCUUGUCCUCUGUCCGGGAGUUGCAAGUAGUUUUUGGUGUUUGUAGCAUGAUGGGGGCCGCACGCAGUGCUGACCUUAGGGGUGGGUUGGGUUGCGGUAGGCAUGUGGCACGGUGUAUCGAUUCGCCCGUUUGGUGUCUCGGGAACCAUGUUCACAUCAUUCGGGGCCGUUAGUGGAAACCUCGGCCGGACUCCCUGCGGAUGGAACCCGAAUAGGCGAUAAACCUGGACUAGGGACUCGUGUGUUUAGUCAGGCCGUGGCCGACACCCUCGCUGGGCUUCCGCUUGAGGCUUGCCGAGUACACGUCAUGUAGCGGUGAUAAGUGGUGAGAGCGUGUGUGAAGAAGUACACCCCUGCAGGGUAUAAAACUAUUCGAAUAGCCGCGUCCGCGGUAAAGGACUACUUGGUCACCUAUGCAGUUCAUAGACAAGUAAAUGGAUACUUCUAAAAGCCUCAAGUUAAGUGUGAGUACCGAGGAUGGCCCUCUCGUAGGUUGACAAGAGAGGAUCCUCGGUGGAGUAUUGUGUUGGUGAGUAGUGGACUCGUGUGCGACAAAUGUUUUGCAAGUUGUGUCUAUCGUAGAAUAGCUUAGCCAAGAGUCAAAGCUGGCUUGCUGCAAUAACUCCACUACCUUCUUGAGAAUGUGCAUGUAUGAUAGGAUUCUGUUGUAAGACUUGCUGAGUACCUCUGUACUCAUGUUUGCUUAAAUGUUUUCAGACGACAACACCAACCCCUCCGAUGGGUUCUACGUAGACCUCGACGUUGACGAGUGACUAACCACCCAAGUGGUGAUCCGAGACUUGUGAAGGGCCGAUGUAGAUAGAAAGGCUUCGUCAAGCCCUCUUUCUUUCUAGUGUCUGUACUCAGACUAGUUGCUUCCGCAUGUGCUUGUAUGCUUGUAUGACUUGAGUCUCAGGUCAUGUGACCCCUAUCUGUAUGAACAUGUUAUGUAUGGCUCCUUGGAGCCACUUAAAUAAAGUACUUUGAGUUGUAGAGUUUUGUUGUGAUGCCAUGUUGUAUGUACUCAUAUCGGGCAUAUUGUGUGUAUGUUUGAAAUGCUUGGUAUGAGUGGGAUCCGACAAUCUAGUUGUUUAUCCUUGGCAGCCUCUCAUAUGGGGAAAUGUAGUCUAGUGCUUCCUGAGCGAUAGUAGUCCGCUACAGCCCGGUUCACCGGAGUCCUGCUAGCCCAGUACUACAGCUCUGGACACUUGACUGGACAGCAUGUGUUUCACUUCGUUCCUGUGUCUGUCCCUUUGCGGAAAUGUCACGCGGUGGCAUUCGGAGUCCUGCCUAGCCUGCUACAGCCCGGGUUACUGUUGGGAAACGUAGUAAUUUCAAAAUUUUCCUACGCACACACAAGAUCAUGGUGAUGGCAUAGCAACGAGAGGGGAGAGUGUUCGUCCACGUACCCUCGUAGACCGUAAGCGGAAGCGUUAGCACAACGCGGUUGAUGUAGUCGUACGUCUUCACGAUCCGACUAAUCCAAGCACUGAACGUACGUGGCCUCCGAGUUCAGCACACGUUCAGCUCGAUGAUGAUCUCCGGCCUCCAAUCCAGCGAAGCUCCGGAGAUGAGUUCCGUCAGCACGACAGCAUGGUGACGAUGAUGAUGUUCUACCUGCGCAGGGCUUCGCCUAAAAUCCGCGACGAUAUGACUGAGGUGGAAUAUGGUGGAGGGGGGCACCGCACACGGCUAAGGAACGAUCCAUAGAUCAACUUGUGUGUCUAUGGGGUGCCCCCCCCCCCCCGCCCCUGUAUAUAAAGGAGAAAGGGGGAGGCCGGCCGGCCCCUUGGGCGCGCCAAGGGAGGAGGAAUNNNNNNNNNNNNNNNNNNNNNNNNNNNNNNNNNNNNNNNNNNNNNNNNNNNNNNNNNNNNNNNNNNNNNNNNNNNNNNNNNNNNNNNNNNNNNNNNNNNNNNNNNNNNNNNNNNNNNNNNNNNNNNNNNNNNNNNNNNNNNNNNNNNNNNNNNNNNNNNNNNNNNNNNNNNNNNNNNNNNNNNNNNNNNNNNNNNNNNNNNNNNNNNNNNNNNNNNNNNNNNNNNNNNNNNNNNNNNNNNNNNNNNNNNNNNNNNNNNNNNNNNNNNNNNNNNNNNNNNNNNNNNNNNNNNNNNNNNNNNNNNNNNNNNNNNNNNNNNNNNNNNNNNNNNNNNNNNNNNNNNNNNNNNNNNNNNNNNNUCCGGUUUUCUCCGAAAUCACCCGGAACAAUUUCGGUGUCCGAAUAUAGUCGUCCAAUAUAUCAAUCUUUAUGACUCGACCAUUUCGAGAUUCCUCGUCAUGUCCGUGAUGACAUCCGGGACUCCGAACAAACUUCGGUACAUCAAAACUUAUAAACUCAUAAUAAAACUGUCAUCGUAACGUUAAGCGUGCGGACCCUACGGGUUCGAGAACUAUGUAGACAUGACCUAGAACCAUUCUUGGUCAAUAACCAAUAGCGGGACCUAGAUGCCCAUAUUGGUUCCUACAUAUUCUACGAAGAUCUUUAUCGGUCAAACCGCAUAACAACAUACGUUGUUCCCUUUGUCAUCGAUAUGUUACUUGCCCGAGAUUUGAUCGUCGGUAUCCAAUACCUAGUGCAAUCUCGUUACUGGCAAGUCUCUUUACUCGUUCCGUAAUACAUCAUCUCAUAACUAACUUAUUAGUUACAAUGCUUGCAAGGCUUAGGUGAUGAGUAUUACCAAGAGGACCCAGAGAUACCUCUCCGACAAUCGGAGUGACAAAACCUAAUCCCGAAUUAUGCCAACUCAACAUGUACCUUCGGAAACACCUAUAGAGCACCUUUAUAAUCACCCAGUUACGUUGUGACGUUUGGUAGCACACAAAGUGUUCUUCCGGUAAACGGGAGUUGCACAAUCUCAUAGUUGCAGGAACUUGUAUAAGUCAUGAAGAAAGCAAUAGCAGUAUACUAAACGAUCAAGUGCUAGGCUAACGGAAUGGGUCAUGUCAAUCACAUCAUUCUCCUAAUGAUGUGAUCCCGUCAAUCAAAUGACAACUCUUUUGUCCAUGGUUAGGAAACAUAACCAUCUUUGAUAAACGAGCUAGUCAAGUAGAGGCAUACUAGUGACACUAUGUUUGUCUAUGUAUUCACACAUGUAUCAUGUUUCCGGUUAAUAUAAUUCUAGCAUGAAUAAUAAACAUUUAUCAUGAUAUGAGGAAAUAAAUAAUAACUUUAUUAUUGCCUCUAUGGCAUAUUUCCUUCAGUCUCCCACUUGCACUAGAGUCAAUAAUCUAGAUUACAUGGUAAUGAUUUUGACACCCAUGGAGUCUUGGUGCUGAUCAUGUUUUGCUCGUGAGAGAGGCUUAGUCAACGGGUCUGCAACAUUCAGAUCCGUAUGUAUCUUGCAAAUCUCUAUGUCUCCCACUUGGACUUGGUCCCGAAUGGAAUUGAAGCGUCUCUUGAUGUGUUUGGUCCUCUUGUGAAAUUUGGAUUCCUUUGCCAAGGCAAUUGCACCAGUAUUGUCACAGAAGAUGUUCAUUGGUCCCGAUGCACUAGGUAUGACACCUAGAUCGGAAAUGAGAUCCUUCAUCCAGACUCCUUCAUUUGCUGCUUCUGAAGCAGCUAUGUACUCCGCUUCACAUGUAGAUCCCGCCACGAUGCUUUGUUUAGAACUGCACCAACUUACAGCUCCACCGUUUAAUAAAAACACGUAUCUGGUUUGCGAUUUAGAAUCGUCCGGAUCAGUGUCAAAGCUUGCAUCGACGUAACCGUUUACGACUAGCUCUUUGUCACCUCCAUAUAUGAGAAACAUAUCCUUAGUCCUUUUCAGGUAUUUCAGGAUGUUCUUGACCGCUGUCCAGUGAUCCACUCCUGGAUUACUUUGGUACCUUCCUGCCAAGCUUAUUGCUAAGCAUACGUCAGGCCUGGUACACAGCAUUGCAUACAUGAUAGAGCCUAUGGCUGAAGCAUAGGGAACAUUUUUCAUUUUCUCUCUAUCUUCUGCUGUGGUCGGGCAUUGAGUUUGACUCAACUUCACACCUUGUAGCACAGGUAAGAAUCCUUUCUUUGCCUGAUCCAUUUUGAACUUUUUCAAAAAAAAUUCAAGGUAUGUGCUUUGUGAAAGUCCUAUUAAGCGUCUUGAUCUAUCUCUAUAGAUCUUGAUGAGUAAUAUGUAAGCAGCUUCACCGAGGUCUUUCAUUGAAAAACUUUUAUUCAAGUAUCCCUUUAUGCUAUGCAGAAAUUCUAUAUCAUUUCCAAUUAAUAAUAUGGCAUCUACAUAUAAAAUUAGAAAUGCUACAGAGCUCCCACUCACUUUCUUGUAAAUACAGGCUUCUCCAAAUGUCUGUAUAAAACCAUAUGCUUUGAUCACACUAUCAAAGCGUUUAUUCCAACUCCGAAAUGCUUGCACCAGUCCAUAAAUGGAACGCUGGAGCUUGCAUACUUUGUCAGCACCUUUUGGAUCAACAAAACCUUCCGGCUGCAUCAUAUACAACUCUUCUUCUAGAAAUCCAUUCAAGAAUGCAGUCUUGACAUCCAUAUGCCAAAUUUCAUAAUCAUGAAAUGCAGCAAUAGCUAACAUGAUUCGGACAGACUUAAGCAUCGCUACGGGUGAGAAAGUCUCAUCGUAGUCAACCCCUUGAACUUGUCGAAAACCUUUUGCAACAAGUCGAGCUUUAUAGACAGUUACAUUACCAUCAGCGUCAGUCUUCUUCUUAAAGAUCCAUUUAUUCUCAAUGGCUUGCCAAUCAUCGGGCAAGUCAACCAAAGUCCAUACUUUGUUUUCAUACAUGGAUCCCAUCUCAGAUUUCAUGGCUUCUAGCCAUUUUGCGGAAUCUGGGCUCAUCAUCGCUUCCUCAUAGUUCGUAGGUUCACCAUGGUCAAGUAACAUGACUUCCAGAAUAGGAUUACCAUACAACUCUAGUGCGGAUCUUACUCUGGUAGACCUACGAGGUUCAGUAGAAACUUGAACUCCUCACUAAUUGGUGUAGUUGUCACAGGAACCGGUUCUCGUGAUGAACUACUUUCCAAUAAGGGAGUAGAUACAGUUAUCUCAUCAAGUUCUACUUUCCUCCCACUCACUUCUUUCGAGAGAAACUCCUUCUCUAGAAAGGAUCCAUUCUUAGCAACGAAUGUCUUGCCUUCAGAUCUGUGAUAGAAGGUGUACCCAACAGUCUCUUUUGGGUAUCCUAUGAAAACACAUUUCUCCGAUUUGGGUUCGAGCUUAUCUGGUUGAAGUUUCUUCACAUAAGCAUCGCAGCCCCAAACUUUAAGAAACGACAACUUUGGUUUCUUGCCAAACCACAGUUCAUAAGGCGUCGUCUCAACGGAUUUUGAUGGUGCCCUAUUUAACGUGAAUGCGGCCGUCUCUAAAGCAUAACCCCAAAACGAUAGCAGUAAAUCAGUAAGAGACAUCAUAGAUCGCACCAUAUCAAGUAAAGUACGAUUAUGACGUUCGGACACACCAUUUCGUUGUGGUGUUCCGGGUGGCGUGAGUUGCGAAACUAUUCCACAUUGUUUCAAGUGUAGGCCAAACUCGUAACUCAAAUAUUCUCCUCCACGAUCAGAUCGUAGAAACUUUAUUUUCUUGUUACGAUGAUUUUCCACUUCACUCUGAAAUUCUUUGAACUUUUCAAAUGUUUCAGACUUGUGUUUCAUCAAGUAGAUAUACCCAUAUCUGCUCAAAUCAUCUGUGAAGGUGAGAAAAUAACGAUACCCGCCGCGAGCCUCAACAUUCAUUGGGCCACAAACAUCAGUAUGUAUGAUUUCCAACAAAUUAGUUGCUCGCUCCAUAGUUCCGGAGAAUGGCGUUUUAGUCAUCUUGCCCAUAAGGCACAGUUCGCAAGUACCAAGUGAUUCAUAAUCAAGUGAUUCCAAAAGUCCAUCAGUAUGGAGUUUCUUCAUGCGUUUUACACCGAUAUGACCCAAAAGGCAGUGCCACAAGUAAGUUGCACUAUCGUUAUCAACUCUGCAUCUUUUGGUUUCAACACUAUGAACAUGUGUAUCACUACUAUCGAGAUUUAAUAAAAAUAAACCACUCUUCAAGGGUGCAUGACCAUAAAAGAUAUUACUCAUAUAAAUAGAACAACCAUUAUUCUUUGAUUUAAAUGAAUAACCGUCUCGCAUCAAACAAGAUCCAGAUAUAAUGUUCAUGCUUAACGCUGGCACCAAAUAACAAUUAUUCAGGUCUAAAACUAAUCCCGAAGGUAGAUGUAGAGGUAGCGUGCCGACCGCGAUCACAUCGACUUUGGAACCGUUUCCCACGCGCAUCGUCACCUCGUCCUUGGCCAGUGCUCGCUUAUUCCGUAGUCCCUAUUUCGAGUUGCAAAUAUUAGCAACAGAACCAGUAUCAAAUUCCCAGGUGCUACUACGAGCUCUAGUUAGGUACACAUCAAUAACAUGUAUAUCACAUGUAGCUUUGUUUACUUUGCCAUCCUUCUUAUCCGCCAAAUACUUGGGGCAGUUCCGCUUCCAGUGACCAGUCUGCUUGCAGUAGAAGCACUCAGUUUCAGGCUUAGGUCCAGACUUGGGUUUCUUCUCUUGAGCAGCAACUUGCUUGCUGUUCUUCUUGAAGUUCCCCUUCUUCUUCCCUUUGCCCUUUUUCUUGAAACUAGUGGUCUUGUUGACCAUCAACACUUGAUGCUCCUUCUUGAUUUCUACCUCCGCAGCUUUUAGCAUUGCGAAGAGCUCGGGAAUAGUCUUGUUCAUCCCUUGCAUAUUAUAGUUCAUCACAAAGCUCUUGUAUCUUGGUGGCAGUGAUUGGAGAACUCUGUCAAUGACGCUAUCAUCCGGAAGAUUAACUCCCAGUUGAAUCAAGUGAUUAUUAUACCCAGACAUUUUGAGUAUAUGCUCACUGACAGAACUAUUCUCCUCCAUCUUGCAGCUGUAGAACUUAUUGGAGACUUCAUAUCUCUCAAUCCGGGCAUUUGCUUGAAAUAUUAACUUCAACUCCUGGAACAUCUCAUAUGCUCCAUGACGUUCAAAACGUCGUUGAAGGCCCGGUUCUAAGCCGUAAAGCAUGGCACACUGAACUAUAGAGUAGUCAUCAGCUUUGCUCUGCCAGACGUUCUUAACGUCGUCAGUUGCAUCAGCAGCAAGCCUGGCACCCAGCGGUGCUUCCAGGACGUAACUUUUCUGUGCAGCAAUGAGGAUAAUCCUCAGGUUACGGACCCAGUCCGUGUAAUUGCUACCAUCAUCUUUCAACUUUUCUUUCUCAAGGAACGCAUUAAAAUUCAACGGAACAACAGCACGAGCCAUCUAUCUACAAACAAACAUAGACAAGCAAAAUACUAUCAGGUACUAAGUUCAUGAUAAAUUUUAAGUUCAAUUAAUCAUAUUACUUAAGAACUCCCACUUAGACAGACAUCUCUCUAGUCAUCUAAGUGAUUACGUGAUCCAAAUCAACUAAACCAUAACCGAUCAUCAUGUGAGAUGGAGUAGUUUUCACUGGUGAACAUCACUAUGUUGAUCAUAUCUACUAUAUGAUUCAUGCUCGACCUUUCGGUCUCCGUGUUCCGAGGCCAUAUCUGCAUAUGCUAGGCUCGUCAAGUUUAACCUGAGUAUUCUGCGUGUGCAAAACUGGCUUGUACCCGUUGUAGAUGGACGUAGAGCUUAUCACACCCUAUCAUCACGUGGUGUCUGGGCACGACAAACUUUGGCAAUGGUGCAUACUCAGGGAGAACACUUCUUGAUAAUUUUUGUGAGAGAUCAUCUUAAAAUGCUACCGUCAAUCAAAGCAAGAUAAGAUGCAUAAAGGAUAAACAUCACAUGCAAUCAAUAUAAGUGAUAUGAUAUGGCCCUCAUCAUCUUGUGCUUGUGAUCUCCAUCUUUGAAGCACCAUCGUGAUCACCAUCGUCACCGGCGCGACACCUUGAUCUCCAUCGUAGCAUCGUUGUCGUUACGCCAUCUAUUGCUUCUACGACUAUCUAUACCGCUUAGUGAUAAAGUAAAGCAAUUACAGGGUGUUUGCAUUUCAUACAAUAAAGCGACAACCAUAUGGCUCCUGCCAGUUGCCGAUAACUUCGGUUACAAAACAUGAUCAUCUCAUACAAUAAAAUAUAUCAUCACGUCUUGACCAUAUCACAUCACAACAUGCCCUGAAAAACAAGUUAGACGUCCUCUACUUUGUUGUUGCAAGUUUUACGUGGCUGCUAUGGGCUUAGCAAGAACUGUUCUUACCUACGCAUCAAAACCACAACGAUAGUUCGUCAAGUUGGUGCUGUUUUAACCUUCGCAAGGACCGGGCGUAGCCACACUCGAUUCAGCUAAAGUGAGAGAGACAGACACCCGCCAGCCACCUUUAAGCACGAGUGCUCGUAACGGUGAAACCAGUCUCACGUAAGCGUACGCGUAAUGUCGGUCCGGGCCGCUUCAUCUCACAAUACCGCCGAACCAAAGUAUGAAAUGCUGGUAAGCAGUAUGACUUGUAUCGCCCACAACUCACUUGUGUUCUACUCGUGCAUAUAACAUCAACGCAUAAAACCUAGGCUCGGAUGCCACUGUUGGGAAACGUAGUAAUUUCAAAAUUUUCCUACGCACACGCAAGAUCAUGGUGAUGGCAUAGCAACGAGAGAGGAGAGUGUUCGUCCAUGUACCCUCGUAGACCGUAAGCGGAAGCGUUAGCACAACGCGGUUGAUGUAGUUGUACGUCUUCACGAUCCGACCGAUCCAAGCACCGAACGUACGGGGCCUCCGAGUUCAGCACACGUUCAGCUCGAUGACGAUCUCCGGCCUCCGAUCCAGUGAAGCUCCGGAGAUGAGUUCCGUCAGCACGACGGCGUGGUGACGAUGAUGAUGUUCUACCGGCACAGGGCUUCGCCUAAACUCCGCGACAAUAUGACCGAGGUGGAAUAUGGUGGAGGGGGGGCACCGCACACGGCUAAGGAACGAUCCGUAGAUCAACUUGUGUGUCUAUGGGGUGCCCCCCGCCCCUGUAUAUAAAGGAGCAAGGGGGAGAGGCCGGCCGGCCCCUUGGGCGCGCCAAGGGAGGAGGAAUCCUCCUCCUAGUAGGAGUAGGACUCCUCCUUUCCUACUCCUACUAGGAGGGGGAAGGAAGGAGGAGAGGGGGAAGGAAAGGGGGGGCGCCGCCCCCCUCGUAGUCCAAUUCGGACCAGAGGGGGGGAGGGGGCGUGCGGCCCAUGCUGGCCGCCCCUCUCUCCUUUCCCCUAAGGCCCAUAAGGCCCAAUACUCUCCCGGGGGGUUCCGGUAACCCCCGGCACUCCGGUUUUCUCCGAAAUCACCCGGAACAAUUCCGGUGUCCGAAUAUAGUCGUCCAAUAUAUCAAUCUUUAUGUCUCGACCAUUUCGAGAUUCCUCGUCAUGUCCGUGAUGACAUCCGGGACUCCGAACAAACUUCGGUACAUCAAAAGAUAUAAACUCAUAAUAAAACUGUCAUCGUAACGUUAAGCGUGCGGACCCUACAGGUUCGAGAACUAUGUAGACAUGACCUAGAACCAUUCUCGGUCAAUAACCAAUAGCGGGACCUGGAUGCCCAUAUUGGUUCCUACAUAUUCUACGAAGAUCUUUAUCGGUCAAACCGCAUAACAACAUACGUUGUUCCCUUUGUCAUGGGUACGUUACUUGCCCGAGAUUUGAUCGUCGGUAUCCAAUACCUAGUUCAAUCUCGUUACUGGCAAGUCUCUUUACUCGUUCCGUAAUAUAUCAUCUCAUAACUAACUUAUUAGUUACAAUGCUUGCAAGGCUUAGGUGAUGAGUAUUACCGAGAGGGCCCAGAGAUACCUCUCCGACAAUCGGAGUGACAAAACCUAAUCUCGAAUUAUGCCAACUCAACAUGUACCUUCGGAAACACCUGUAGAGCACCUUUAUAAUCACCCAGUUACGUUGUGACGUUUGGUAGCACACAAAGUGUUCUUCCGGUAAACGGGAGUUGCACAAUCUCAUAGUUGCAGGAACUUGUAUAAGUCAUGAAGAAAGCAAUAGCAGUAUACUAAACGAUCAAGUGCUAGGCUAACGGAAUGGGUCAUGUCAAUCACAUCAUUCUCCUAAUGAUGUGAUCCCGUCAAUCAAAUGACAACUCUUUUGUCCAUGGUUAGGAAACAUAACCAUCUUUGAUAAACGAGCUAGUCAAGUAGAGGCAUACUACUGACACUAUGUUUGUCUAUGUAUUCACACAUGUAUCAUGUUUCCGGUUAAUAUAAUUCUAGCAUGAAUAAUAAACAUUUAUCAUGAUAUGAGGAAAUAAAUAAUAACUUUAUUAUUGCCUCUAGGGCAUAUUUCCUUCAGUUACCGGAGUCCUGUUAGCCCAGUGUUACAGCCCGGAUGUAUACGUUGAUGACCGACAUGCUCGAUGUGACUCAUGUAUGCCUGUCCCCAUAGGUUAGCGCCGCUUUGGGUUCAUGACUAGCCAUGUCAGCCCGGGUUCUCUGUCAUAUGGAUGCUAGCGACACUAUCAUAUACGUGAGCCAAAAGGCGCAAACAGUCCCGGCCAUGGUAAGGCGACACCCGUGGGAUUACCGUGCGUGAGGCCGCAAAGUGAUAUGAGGUGUUACCGGCUAGAUCAAUGUGACUUGGAAUCAUGGUCCAGACAGCAUUGGCAUCAGAGCCGGACUGCCUGUAGGUUCCUAAGCCAAACUGGUCGAUGUCGAGUCUAGAAAUGCUUUAGUUAUAUGUAGGGGAAUUUAUUGUGGGAGGAAACGUAAGGCUCUUUUUACCCCUUUACCUUAUGCCCUCUGAUCUGUGUCAUCCUCUUCUCAUUCUACGUGGGUUAAGGACUAGGCUCUCUUCUCUCUAUCAGGUUCACGUGUUACUAAUCCGUAGUAACUUAUAGGAUUGUUGGUUACCAGUCUCAGUACAGUUCCUACUACUUUAGUAUGUUAUCAGUUGAACCUGAACCUUGAUAUGAUGUUGUUGAGUGGUUUUGCAAUCCGUUGUGAAUGUCUCAAAUCUGCUCCUGAGCAUUUACAGCUGUUAUGUUGUCCAAUUUUCCCUAGGAAUUCUAAUGUCUUUGCAUUGUGGUUGUGCUUUCAGAUGGCCACUCGCGCUCAGAACCAAGUGGUUCGCCUGACGCGGUGCCUCAAUGUGCCCGGUCAUACUGCUAUGUUAGUCCGGGUCAUGAUCGAGACAGGUUACCGUUGGUAUCCCGAAUACAUUGCCGAAGAGCAAUUCCAAGACUUUAAUCAAAGCCAAUACUUCUGCACUGUCAGGAUAUUUCCUUCAUAUCCUGGAUCCACCGAGCCCCUUCACUGCUCCUAUGGACUCGGGGUCACCAUUGAGAUGGCUGUACAGGAUGCGGCCUAUUCUAUGAUGACCAUCAUGCGAGUCAGGACUGGUCUGCUUCGGAACACCGACUUCCGUUAUAUGCCAGCAUCGCUCCCAGGAGCGCAAGGGUAUCUCCAGGCUAUCUAUGCUGAUUCCACCCAUGAGGACUCACUAACUCGCACCAUUGCGGAGAUGCUCGAGGAUAAGGACCGAGAGAAUCAGGCCUUGAGGUUGGAGCUUUUCAACACCUGCGCCGAUCAUUGGGCCACUUUGACUCGGUUUGCACCGGCUGUGCAAGCUGGAUGUAUGGAUAUGAGGGAUCUGUUUCCUGUGAGAUCUGCUCUGCCAGACAUGGUGGAUUGGCGUGAUGUGGGAGGCAUCAUCCCACCCCGUGGUCCCCGUAGGCCAUCGUUUGUUGGUCCAAGACCUCAUCCUAGCCCCUAUGGUCCACAGGCUCCUCAGGACCGUCUGUUCCCGGAUGAUCACGUUGAGCUUCCAAGCUAUGGAGGGGACUUCUAUGAGGACUACUACGGAGCUGUCUGAGUUAGUAGUAGUAUCUUUAGUAUUGUAAUAGUUGUAAUUCCAUCGUCCUGCGUGACCUGUGGAAUAUGACUUAGUGUGUAUCAGUUCCGGAGGUGUAGAAAAAUAAUGUAUCGGAGCUUGGAAUGCCUCCGAUGAGAUGUAACUUCUUCCACCGUAGUUGUACUAUAGUCGGGCUUGUACUAAACUAUGUAUGGUGUGUAUGACUGUUGGUGCAUAUAUGGCAGUUUCUGUAUUACCAUGUCAUACAGAUGAACAUCUCUGCAUUCCUUGUUAUCCAUUACAUUCUGCACUUCCUUGUCCAGAUUUGCCAUCCUUGUCUAAAGCGAUGUCUUGUUUUCCUAGGAUGGUCAACACCCGUAACAACCCUGCUACUCCGGAGCAGGGUGAAGCCAGUGCAGCUAGGAAUGAAAAUCUGCCUCAACCACCUUCUCUGGUCGAAGUUAUGCUGGAGGCAGAGCGAAAUAAGCGUGAGACCAAUCGCUUGCUGGAGCGGAUUGAGCAGAAUACCGCACGCCAGCCGAGGAACGACCUGGUGUCACUUAAUGACUUUGUCAAGCUGUAUCCACCGAAGUUUAAACAUUCCGUCGAGCCCCUUGAUGCGGAUGAAUGGCUUCGCAGCAUUACCCACAAGCUACGUUCUGUCAAUGUGGCCGAAGCUGAUAAGGUUAACUUUGCUACCUAUCACCUCGAAGGCCCUGCUAGCCUUUGGUGGGAAAACUUUGAGGCUAUGCGCCCGGUCGGCCAAAUUACUACUUGGGCUGAAUUCAGUAUGGAGCAUCACAUUCCGGAAGGUCUUAUGGAUCGCAAGCGUGAAGAGUUCUGCAACUUCACCCAGGGUAGACUGACUGUGGAUGCAUACAGUCGCGAGUUUGGAUAUCUAGCACGAUAUGCUCCUAAAGAGGUAUCCACCGACGCCAAGAAGCAGGCAAGGUUCCGCAAGGGACUUAGCCCCGAGCUUCGUCGUGAUCUUCGUCUGCACGAGUGCACCUCCUUCCAGAAGUUAGUCAACAAGGCCAUCAGUGCUGAGACAGGGCAGUCGGACUUUGAAGCUUCACGCAAGCACUCCCGUGACUUUGGACUUCAUCCGGCUGUGCAUCUCAGAAGCGCCGGGUCUGGAUUCCAAGCACUGCUCUGCCACCCAGGUUCACCCCGAGGCCAUCCUUUGACGCGCCUCGCCCCAACCAAUAGUAUACACCGCCCAAGGCCUAUGGUGGCCCCACUGCUAAUGCUACUCCAUGCCCCAAUGUGAUAACUUGUUUCAAGUGUGGGGAGACGGGUCACUACAUUCGUGAGUGUCCCCAAAACAACCCCAACCAGAUUGGAAAGUCUGUUGGCCGUGGCAAGCCAGCAGGAAAGGUGCUCUACGCCAAGCCAGCCACCACUGCCCGUGGCCAUGUCAACUAUGUCUCAGCAGAGGAGACUCAUGAGGAUCCCAACGUCGUUCUCGGUACGCUUCUUGUUAAUUGCCACCCGGCAACCAUUCUCUUUGAUACUGGAGCAUCUCAUUCAUUUAUAUCUGAAAGCUAUGCUCGAUUGCACAACACCACAUUUUGUGACAUGCCCACCUCCAUGGUAAUUCAAACCCCUGGUUCUAAGUGGCAAACCUCUAAAAUCAGCCAUGGAAAUGAAAUCCUUGUCGACAGAUUAGUCUUCCUUGCAUCACUAAUAGCUCUCAAGUCCUCGGACAUAAACAUCAUCUUGGGUAUGGACUGGAUGUCAGCCCAUUACGCUAAGAUCGAUUGCUCCACUAGAACUGUUCAACUCACCCACCCUUCGGGCAAGACAGCCAAUGUUUUGACCCGAGUGUCUAAGCGUCAGCUUUACUCUUUAAAUGCCAACCCCCUUCCAGACCUUGAAGAUAUUCCGGUAGUCCGUGACUUCCCGGAUGUCUUUCCAGAGGAACUGUCAGGUGUUCCACCUAACAGAGAUGUCAAGUUCGUGAUAGACCUUGUUCCAGGAACCAUGCCAACAUCUAGGAGACCUUAUAAGAUGGCACCCCUAGAACUAGCUGAGCUUAAGAAACAACUCGAUGAGUCCUUGCAAAAGGGUUUCAUCCAUCCUAGCUCUUCUCCAUGGGCUUGCCCCGUCCUUUUCGUCAAGAAGAAGGAUGGAACGGAUCGGAUGGUUGUAGAUUACCGGCCAGUCAACUUGGUCACUAUCAAGAACAAGUAUCCGCUCCCCAAGAUCAACGACCUGUAUGAUCAGCUCGCUGGAUCCUCAGUCUUUUCUAAAAUGGAUUUGAGGUUGGGCUACCAUCAAAUCAAAAUUAAGAACGGGGACAUUCCUAAAACGGCCUUUGUUACUCGAUAUGGCCAAUACGAGUACACCGUCAUGUCCUUCGGUCUAACCAAUGCCCCAGCCACCUUCUCUCGGUUAUUGAACUCGAUCUUCAUGGAGUAUUUUGAUAAAUUCGUCGUGGUUUACCUUGAUGAUAUACUCAUCUACUCCAAGAAUGAAGAAGAACAUGCCGAACAUCUAAGGCUAGUGUUGAUGAAACUUUGAGAGCAUUGUCUUUAUGCCAAAUUCUCUAGGUGUGAGUUUUGGUUGCCAGAAGUAACCUAUCUAGGACAUGUAAUCUCUGGUAAGGGCAUUGCUGUCAAUCCCAAGCGAGUUCAAGCCAUCCUUGACUGGACUCCACCUGAAACGGUCAAGCAAGUUCAGAGUUUUGUUGGUUUAGCGAGCUAUUGCCGCUGCUUCAUCGAGAAUUUCUCCAAGGUUGCUAAGCCUCUAACCGAACUCCUCAAGAAAGAUAAAAAGUUCGAAUGGACGCCAUAGUGCGAGUUCAGUUUUCAGGAACUGAAAAGACGCCUGACAUCUGCUCCUGUACUUGUUCCACCAGAUUUCUCUAAGGACUUCGUUAUCUACUGCGACGCCUCGCGACAAGGACUAGGUUGCAUACUCAUGCAAGAUCGUCAUGUGAUUGCCUACGCUUCUCGACAGCUGCGUCCACAUGAGGAUAACUAUCCCACACAUGAUCUACAGCUUGCAGCAGUGGUCCAUGCACUCAAAACCUGGCGACAUUACCUUCUCGGUAAUCGUUGCGAGAUUUACACCGAUCACCAAAGUCUGAAAUACAUCUUCACCAAACCGGAUUUGAAUCUCAGACAAAGACGUUGGGUCGAGUUGAUUACGGAUUACGAUCUAGGAAUAACCUACACCCCAGGAAAAGCCAAUGUCAUGGCUGAUGCAUUAAGCCGUAAAUCUUAUUGUAACAACCUGAUGUUACAACAAAGCCAACCAUUUCUCCACGAGGAAUUUCGUAAGCUUAACCUUCACAUCGUUCCUCGAGGUUUUCUUUCCACCCUGGUGGCGAAACCUACCCUUACGGAUCAGAUCAUCAAGGCACAGAAGGUAGAUCCGGGAAUAUCCCGUAUCAAGAGAAACAUCAAAAGGGAGUUGGACUGUUUCUCCAUAGAUGAUCAAGGUGUUGUGUUCUUUGGAGGCCAUCUAGUGGUUCCCAAGGUAUGCAACCUGAGGCGAUUGAUCCUUAAGGAAGCUCAUGAAUCCCCUCUCACUAUUCAUCCCAGUAGUACUAAAAUGUAUCAAGACCUACGCCAGAGGUUUUGGUGGACUAGGAUGAAGAGAGAAAUCGCUCAAUACAUUACCAAUUGCGACGUCUGUCGUCGAGUUAAAGAAGAGCAUCAACGACCUGCUGGCACCCUGCAACCUUUGGAAAUUCCCGAAUGGAAAUGGGAUAAAAUCGGUAUGGAUUUCAUUACCGGGUUUCCCAGGACCAAGAGGGGGAAUAAUGCUAUCUUCGUUGUUGUCGAUCGUCUUUCCAAAGUAGCCCACUUCCUACACGUUCGUGAGAGUUUAACCGCUAGCCAGCUAGCUGACUUAUACAUCUCCCGAAUAGUGUCUCUUCAUGGUGUUCCAUUGGAGACUAACUCAGACCGUGGAAGUCUCUUCACCUCUCGAUUUCGGGAAAGUUUCCAAAAUGCGAUGGGAACUCGUCUUUCUUUUAGCACCGCUUUCCAUCCUCAAUCAAGUGGUCAAGUAGAACGAGUCAAUCAAAUUCUAGAGGAUAUGCUUCGAGCUUCUGUCAUCUCUUUUGGUAUGAAUUGGGAGAAGUGCCUUCCAUUCGCUGAGUUCGCUUAUAACAAUAGUUAUCAAGCUAGCUUGGACAAAGCUCCUUUCAAAGUUCUCUAUGGAUGAAAAUGUCGAACACCUCUUAACUGGUCAGAAACCGGGUAAAGACAACUCUUUGGCCCGGAUAUGAUCCAGGAAGCAGAGGAGCAGGUUCACGUUAUUCGUGAGAAAUUGAAAACAGCCCAAUCUCAUCAAAAGAGCCAAUAUGACCGCAAACAUACACUAGUAGAAAAGGGGCCAAUGGUCCAGGCCGGUCCAGCCCAUUAGUCCCGGUUCAAUCCAGAACCGGGACCAAUGGGGGCAUUGGACCCGGUUCGUGAGCCCUGGGGGCCGGCCGGGCCACGUGGGCCAUUGGUCCCGGUUCGUCCUGACCUUUCGGUCCCGGUUGGUGGGACGAACCGGGACCAAUGGGCCUCGCUCCUGGCCCACCAACAUUGGUCCCGGUUGGUGGCUUGAACCGGGACCAAAGGCGUCCCUUUAGUCCCGGUUCAAGUCACCAACCGGGACCAAUUAGUUGCCUAUAUAUACCCCUCGCCUGCGAGCAGAGCACUCCCAGUGCUCUGUUUUUCGUGGCUGGCGAGGGGAGAGCUUUGUGGUGCUCUAGCUCACGUCCUAUGCACACAAGGUGUUCGAUGGAAUGCCCGAGCCACACUACUUAAGCUUUCUCCUCUCCAAGCUCGACCUCCAAGCUCCAUUUUCCUUCAUAUUUGUCUAGGUUUAGCGGUUCGUCACGUCCCGUCCCCAUCUUCACCACCGUUGAUCGCCCGCGCCGAUCUCGUCGCCGGCACCACCGUGGUGAGCCUCUUGUUCUUAUCUUCUUUCUGAAAGGAAAAAAAAUUCUUACUUGUAUGUUUAUAUAGAUACUUGUAUAAUUUUCUUACUUUUAUUAUUGCAUCUUAUAUAGUGCGAUGGUUUUGGUAUCCGCCCCCGUCGGCCCUCGUCCUGUCUAUGAUUCAGAUGUGGUAUAUAUAUAUUAUCUUUUCAUAACUAGUGGUUCAUUUAUUGUUUAUGACAAUUAUGCCGACCAACGUGACAUAGAUUUUAUUUAUCUAGGAGGUUGUUGAACCGGAAAUUCCAACCGACCCUAUUGUCGAGAGGUUAAAUUUAGUUGAAGAAAACAAUUUGUUGAAGGGAAAAAUUAGAAAAAUUGAGGAGGAGAAGAUGAUAUUGGAGUUGCAUGUUGCGGAUGUCAUCGAUGAUCACAAGAUCAAGAUGGAUGCAAUGCGCUUGAAGAUUAGAAAGAUUAGAAAAUAUGCCAUUCAUACCGAGGCUUGGUAUCAUUAUGUCGUUGGAUCAGUUGUUACAUUGGUUGCGAUUAUGAUCGUAUUUGUUUUCGCAUUGAAAUGUUUUACAUAGUUUCAGUGUAUGGUUUAAUUAAUUUAGAUGCCCUGCAGAGCUUUAUGUUGUUAGAUGAGAACUAUGUAUGUACUUUGGUUUUAAUGUGAUGAUGAACUUCUAUUAAUUUCGUCACUUAAUUAUCUAUUCAUGAUGUUCUGUAAUGAUUUUUGACACACUUAAUUAUAUAUAAUGCACGCAGAUGAACCGGCAAUGGAUGUACGGUUCAAGACACACCUCCGAGUACAUUAAGGGCGUGCAUGAUUUUCUCGAAGUGCCUGAGGCAACAAGAAGAAUGGUUUUAUGUGUUGUCCAUGCCCUAUAUGUGGGAAUACGAAGUCUUACUCUGACUGGAAAAUCCUCCACACCCACCUUCUUUACAAGGGUUUCAUGCCACACUAUAAUGUUUGGACGAGGCACGGAGAAAUAGGGGUUAUGAUGGAAGACGGCGAAGAAGAAGAGUACGAUGACAACUAUGUGCCCCCUGAAUACGGUGAUGCUACUGAAGAUCAAGAGGAACCAGACGAUGUGCCCGAUGAUGAUGAUCUCCGCCGGGUCAUUGUCGAUGCAAGGACGCAAUGCGAAAGUCAAAAGGAGAAGCUGAAGUUCGAUCGCAUGUUAGAGGACCACAAAAAAGGGUUGUACCCCAAUUGUGAAGAUGGCAACACAAAGCUCGGUACCGUACUGGAAUUGCUGCAGUGGAAGGCAGAGAAUGUUGUGCCUGACAAAGGAUUUGAGAAGCUACUGAAAAUAUUGAAGAAGAAGCUUCCAAAGGAUAACGAAUUGCCCGACAGUACAUACACAGCAAAGAAGUUCGUAUGCCCUCUAGGAUUGGAGGUGCAGAAGAUACAUGCAUGCCCUAAUGACUGCAUCCUCUACCGCGGUGCGUACAAGGAUCUGAACGCAUGCCCGGUAUGCGGUGCAUUACGGUAUAAGAUCAGACGAGAUGACCCUGGUGAUGUUGACGGCGAGCCCCCCAGGAAGAGGGUUCCUGCGAAGGUGAUGUGGUAUGCUCCCAUAAUACCACGGUUGAAACGUCUGUUCAGAAACGGAGAGCAUGCCAAGUUGAUGCGAUGGCACAGUGAGGACCGUAAGAAAGACGGGAAGUUGAGAGCACCCGCUGACGGGUCGCAGUGGAGAAAAAUCGAGGGAAAGUACUGGGAUGAGUUUGCAAGUGAGCCAAGGAACGUAUGGUUUGCUUUAAGCGCGGAUGGCAUUAAUCCUUUCGGGGAGCAGAGCAGCAAUCACAGCACCUGGCCCGUGACUCUAUGUAUGUAUAACCUUCCUCCUUUGAUGUGCAUGAAGCAGAAGUUCAUUAUGAUGCCAGUUCUCAUCCAAGGCCCUAAGCAACCCGGCGACGACAUUGAUGUGUACCUAAGGCCAUUAGUUGAAGAACUUUUAUAGCUGUGGAAUGGAAAUAGUGUACGUACGUGGGAUGAGCACAAACAGGAGGAAUUUAACCUAAAGGCGUUGCUGUUCGUGACCAUCAACAAUUGGCCCGCUCUCAGUAACCUUUCAGGACAGACAAACAAGGGAUACCACGCAUGCACGCACUGUUUACUUGACACCGAUAGUAUAUACCUAGCAAGUUGUAGGAAGAAUGUGUACCUGGGCCAUCAUCGAUUUCUUUCGACCAACCAUCAAUGUUGAAAGAAAGGCAAGCAUUUCAAAGGCGAGGCAGAUCACCGGAAGAAGCCCUCCAUGCGUACUGGUAUCACGUACUUGCUAUGGUAGUGAUUUACACGUAAUCUUUGGAAAGUGUCCCGGCGGACUAGCUGUUCCGAAUGACGCUGAGAAUCACGCACCCAUGUGGAAGAAGAAAUCUAUAUUUUGGGACCUACCCUACUAGAAAGACCUAGAGGUCCGCUCUUCGAUCGACGUGAUGCACGUGACGAAGAACCUUUGCGUGAACCUGCUAGGCUUCUUGGGCAUGUAUGGGAAGACAAAAGAUACAACUGAGGCACGGGAGGACCUGCAACGCUUGCACGAAAAAGUGGGCAUGCCUCCGAAGCAGUAUGAAGGUCCUGCCAGCUACGCUCUUACGAAAGAAGAGAAAUAAAUCUUCUUUGAAUGCCUGCUCAGUAUGAAGGUCCCGACUGGCUUCUCUUCGAAUAUAAAGGGAAUAAUAAAUAUGCCAGACAAAAAGUUCUAGAACCUAAAGUCUCAUGACUGCCACGUGAUUAUGACGCAACUGCUUCCGGUUGCAUUGAGGGGGCUUCUACCGGAAAACGUCCGAUUAGCCAUUGUGAACCUAUGUGCAUUCCUCAAUGCAAUCUCUCAGAAGGUGAUCGAUCCAGAAAUCAUACCAAGGCUAAGGACUGAUGUGGUGCAAUGUCUUGUCAGUUUCGAGCUGGUGUUCCCACCAUCCUUCUUCAAUAUCAUGACGCACGUCCUAGUUCAUCUAGUUGACGAGAUUGUCAUUCUGGGCCCCGUAUUUCUACACAAUAUGUACUUCUUUGAGAGGUUCAUGGGAGUCCUAAAGAAAUAUGUCUGUAACCGCGCUAGGCCAAAAGGAAGCAUCUCCAUGGGCUAUCAAACAGAGGAUGUCAUCGGGUUUUGUGUUGACUUCAUUCCUGGCCUUAAGAAUAUAGGUCUCCCUAAAUCGCGGUAUGAGGGGAGACUGACUGGAAAAGGCACGCUUGGAAGGGACUCAAUUAUAUGCAGGGACGGAUAUUCUUGGUCUCAAGCACACUACACAGUUCUACAGAACUCUACCUUGGUGACCCCGUAUGUCGAUGAACACAAGAACAGUCUGCGCUCCAAACACCCGGAGCAGUGCGACGACUAGAUUACAUGUGAACACAUCAGGACUUUCAGUAGUUGGUUGGAAGCACAUAUCAGAGGUGACAACACUGUUUGUGAUGAGUUGUACUUGUUGUCCAGGGGACCAUCUUUGACUGUAUUGAUUUGGAAAGGAUACGAGAUAAAUGGGAAUACAUUUUACACGAUUGACCAAGAUCAAAAGAGCACCAACCAAAACAGCGGUGUCCGCUUUGAUGAAACAACCGAGAGGGGAAAGGACACAUAUUGUGGUUACAUAGUGGACAUAUGGGAACUUGACUACGGACACGAUUUUAAGGUCCCUUUGUUUAAGUGCAAAUGGGUCAAUCUGUCAGGUGGCAGGGUACAGGUAGACCCACAGUACGGAAUGACAAUAGUGGAUCUGGAAAAUCUUGGAUACACUGACGAACUGUUCGUCCUAGCCAAUGAUGUGGCACAGGUUAUCUAUGUGAAGGACAUGUCUACCAGACCAAGAAAGAGAAAAGAUAAGGAAGCGAAUACAUCAUACGAUGAGCCAAAGUGCCACAUAGUUCUUUCAGGAAAAAGGGACAUCGUGGGAGUGGAGGACAAGACAGACAUGUCUGAAGAUUAUGAAAAGUUUCAUGAAAUUCCUCCCUUUAAUGUCAAGGCUGACCCCAGCAUCCUGAUAGACGAUGAAGAUUAUCCAUGGUUACGGCGCAAUAAGCAAAUGACACAAGCGAAGAAAAAGUGAAGACUUUCUCCCGCAACUAUUAUGAUGAUACCAUGCCAAAUUUGUAACUGACGAGUAUGAUACCAUUGUCCGUUUUGUACAUGCACAUGCUAUGUGGGUCAAUUUAUGAUACCAUGCCAACUUUCAACUUUUUCAGAGUUCAUUUGAAAUGCUUUAAUGUCUUAUGGUUCGGCCCUCGUAAUGAUUAAAAAUAGCAACAAUAAGUAUUUUGUUGUAAGUAGAAACAAAAUAAAAUAAAUAAAGCAAGAAAGAAAACAAAAAAAACAAAAAAAGUGUUUUCAAAUUUGAAAACUAAUGGUACUAACAGAAAGUUUAUAAUUUUCCUAAAACUAAAAGCAAAAAGAAUUGAAAAAUAAAGCAAAAAACAAAAGACAAUAAAUAAUGCAGAAAUCAAAACAAAAAACAACAAUAAGUAUUUUGUUGUAUGUAGAAACAAAACAAAAUAAAUAAAGCAAGAAAGAAAACAAAAAAACAAAAAAAGUGUUUUCAAAUUUGAAAACUAGGGCACUAACAGAAAGUUUAUAAUUUUCCUAAAACUAAAAGCAAAAAGAAUUAAAAAAUAAAGCAAAAAACAAAAGAAAAUAAAUAAUGCGGAAAACAAAACAAAAAAACUGGAAAAAAAAUAAAAUAGCAAAAAUAAGUAAAGAAAACAAAAAAAUGCCUCCUACUGGGCCCCCACGGCCUGAAUACGACUAGAAACCCUACUAUGGGCCAGGAUUCAGGCCCGCAGUAGGCCCAGAAGGCCCAUCAGGCAAAGCAAUAGCAAGUAGGCCCGAAAGCCUGCGGUGGAGAGGAGCUCGAGAGGGGUGCGGCAGUGGGGCUUAUAAACCACUGCACGCCCCUCUCAACUAGCGAGGUGGGACUAAACUUUGGCCCCGACGCGGGAAGCACAGGGGCCUUUGGUCCCGGUUGGUGGCACCAACCGGGACUAAAGGGGGGGGCAUUGGUACCGGUUCGUGGCACCAACCGGUACCAAAGGCCGCCGCUUCCCGCCCUUUGGGCUGCCGAAAAGGAGGCCUUUGGUCCUAGUUGGUGGCACUAACCGGGACUAAAGGGUGCAUUAGUCCCGGUUGAUUUCACGAACCGGGACCAAUGCCUUUGCUAUAUAAGCAAACACUUUGCAAAAUUUCAGAAUCCCAUCGCCAGUUGCCCCCGACGACGCCGACCCUCCUCGACGCUGCCAGGCUGCUCCACCUCGCCGUCGUCGCCGCCACCGCCAAGCCGUCGCCUCCCCGAGCCCGCGCCAUCCUCGUCGCCGGCCUCCCUGAGCCCGCGCCGUCCUCGUCGCCGGUCUCCUCGAGCCCGCUCCCCGUCCCGCCCCCGCGCGCCGCCGCCCCGAGCCCCUGCCCCGUCCUGCCCCCAUGCGCNNNNNNNNNNNNNNNNNNNNNNNNNNNNNNNNNNNNNNNNNNNNNNNNNNNNNNNNNNNNNNNNNNNNNNNNNNNNNNNNNNNNNNNNNNNNNNNNNNNNNNNNNNNNNNNNNNNNNNNNNNNNNNNNNNNNNNNNNNNNNNNNNNNNNNNNNNNNNNNNNNNNNNNNNNNNNNNNNNNNNNNNNNNNNNNNNNNNNNNNNNNNNNNNNNNNNNNNNNNNNNNNNNNNNNNNNNNNNNNNNNNNNNNNNNNNNNNNNNNNNNNNNNNNNNNNNNNNNNNNNNNNNNNNNNNNNNNNNNNNNNNNNNNNNNNNNNNNNNNNNNNNNNNNNNNNNNNNNNNNNNNNNNNNNNNNNNNNNNNNNNNNNNNNNNNNNNNNNNNNNNNNNNNNNNNNNNNNNNNNNNNNNNNNNNNNNNNNNNNNNNNNNNNNNNNNNNNNNNNNNNNNNNNNNNNNNNNNNNNNNNNNNNNNNNNNNNNNNNNNNNNNNNNNNNNNNNNNNNNNNNNNNNNNNNNNNNNNNNNNNNNNNNNNNNNNNNNNNNNNNNNNNNNNNNNNNNNNNNNNNNNNNNNNNNNNNNNNNNNNNNNNNNNNNNNNNNNNNNNNNNNNNNNNNNNNNNNNNNNNNNNNNNNNNNNNNNNNNNNNNNNNNNNNNNNNNNNNNNNNNNNNNNNNNNNNNNNNNNNNNNNNNNNNNNNNNNNNNNNNNNNNNNNNNNCGCUGCAUUGGCUCUGUUUUUUUUUCAUUUUUAUUAGUUUAAUUAUUUUUUUGUUCAUAUAUAUAUAUAUAUAUAUAAUGUAUAUGUGUAUGUAUGUGGCUAUAUAUGUGUAUGUAGAUGUUCAAAAAUUAUUCAGAGCACGUUUUUAUUCAUAUAUGUAUUUUUUGUUCAUAUGUGUAUUAAUGUUUUCAUAUAUGCAAAAGAUAGAUUUUUAGAAAAGUUAGGGUUUUUUUUUCUAUUCAUAGAUUUUUUUGGUGAUAUUAAUUAUUGUAGAAUAUGCAAAUGUUUGUAUAUUCAUAUGAACAAUGCAUUAGGCAAAACCUUUGUUUUUUUUGAAAUUUUUUAUUUGAACAUUUUUUAAAAACAAGCAAUACUAAAAGAAUGAGAGGAAAAAGGAAAAUAAGAAGAGGAAGAAAGGAGAAGAAGAGGAGAGGAAGAAGAGGAGAAAUAAAUAAGAAGAGGAAAAAAGAAGAGGGGAAGAAGAAAGGAAUAGAGGAGAAGAAGAAAAAUAGAAAUUUUCUAUUUUUCUUCUUCUCCUCUAUUCCUUUCUUCUUCUCCUCUUUAUUUUCUUCUUUUUUUUCUUCUUCCUUCUUCCUCUUUUCUUCCUUUUCCUUAUUUUCCUUUCUCGAGGGAGAAGAAGAAAAAGAAGAGUAAAAGAAGAAGAAAGGAAUAGAGGAGAAAGAAGAAACUUCAACACAAGGGGGGGUUACCGAUACCCCCUCCCCGAUAACAUUAUUUUCCCAUGUAUAUGUAUGUCGCGUCAUUGUCGAUAUAACCCCCUCGAGAUAACUUCGACAUGAGGGGCGGUCGAUAUAUAUACCCCCUCUCGACCGUGAUAACUUAUACAACGGCAGCACCCCCCUCGGCCCUCUCGCUCGACCAAAACUCUUGAGGACACCCAAACCCUAGAGAGAAAACGAUGUUGGUCUCCUACCCCCUCCCGCCGCGCCCCUACCCGACAUAUUAACUCUCUCGAGGCCACCCAAAUUUACCAAGUUAAAAGAGCGUUGUCGUCGAGGCCACCCCAAACCCUUGAAGCGUUGUGUCGAGGAGACCCCAAACCCUAGAGAAGCAGCGUCGAGGCCACUAACAUGGAUCGAUCCAUCUGUAAUAAUAAUUGACAUGGUGUAAAUAUUUGCAGAAACUAUGGAGCACUCCCGAGACGAAGAAACAGAAGCGAUGUUGGGGGACAUUAUCGCACAAGGAAGUGAUGAAGUUGCGUCAUUUCUCAACGACACCGAUGGUCAGGAACGACUGGGUGAAGAAGAGGGCUAUGUUCAUGAUGGCUUCGACCCAUUAAUGCCGGUACAAGAAGAGGACUAUGUUCAUGAUGGCUCUGGUGACACAAUGGAGGUACAAGAAGGAGACCGUGCUGACUGCUCCGGUGACCGAACCGAGUCCGGCCAGGUAUAUAUAUAUAUAUUAGUUAAGCCCGUGCUGACUAGUUAAUUGAUGCAUCCAUUGUUUUGGUAUAUGUACACAUAUUAAUUACUCUCGUCUUUCUUCCUUAUAAUUUCUAGCCCUCCGGAUCGAGCACAACUUCGGUAAGAAGACGAAGCCCGAAGAAAAAGUUGAGCUCGGAUGAAAAGUUUGAGAUCAUAGAAAUCGCGCCCGACGGCGAACCGAUUGAACCCAUCCGGACAAGGAAGGCAUUUUCUGCUCAGUGCGGGGUUCUUGUUAGGGACAAGAUCCCGAUCAGCAUCCAUCAAUGGUAUAAGCCUAAGGAGGAAGACCCCGAGGUGUCUUAUGUCAAUGAUAUGCAGAAAGAAGAUCUUUGGACUGAGCUAAAGGCAAAUUUCACCCUACCGCUAGAGGAGGAUCCGGAGAAGCCAGUUAUAGAGCAAUUAAUCAAUUCUUGUGCUCUUAAGAAGAUGGCAACCCUAAUGAGGAGGUGGAGGAAAGAGGUGAACCAGUUUGUCGAGAAAGAUAAGACACCAGAAUUCAUCGGCAAAUAUGAGAAGAUCAAAGAUCACUGGCCCGCAUUUGUGGCCCACAAGACAUCGGAAAAGAGUAAGAAGAUGUCGGCAACAAACAAGAAAAAUUCUGCAAAGAAGAAGCUUCACCAUCGCACGGGGUCAGGUGGCUACCUCAAAGCCCGGCCUAAGUGGUCCAAGGCUGAGCAUGAUCUGCUUGAAAAAGGGAUCGAACCAGAGACAAUGUACUGGCCAGACCGUUGUCGGACUUGGUUCUUCGGGGCUGGCGGAACCUUGGACCCUGUAACAGGGAAGUGCCAGUGGACGGAUGAGCAACUACAAAUACCAGUCAAGAAACUUCGACACUAUAUCGAUGCAGCGUAGCGAGGGACGCUCCUUCCAAACAGGGAGAAGGACGAGCUCACAAUGGCCCUUGGGAAUCCUGAGCACCCUGGAUGGACACGAGGCACGCCAGGCUCCAUUCCAUGGAAGGUUGGUCUUCCGCACACAGGGGGUUACAAAACCCACGAGAGGAGGAAGAAACUGGAGCAGGACCAAAUGCAGGCGCUGCACGAAAGGGUAAUGGGGCUAGAGGAACGAGAAGCAGCAGAUCGCAGCAAACGACAUGCCGAAGCUUCCCCCGAAGCUACCUCGCCAUCUCAGCGGAGAAGCAGCGUGGCUUCCACCGAGCUGCUUCAGCCGGAGCAUGUCUUGACGUCUCCUGCCAGCUAUCCCGUGGAUGGUAUCACGGAGUCUCAAAGUUGCCACAUUAUGACGCAAUGUAUGAAUUUGAAGGUCAAGGCGGCUGUUGGCCAAGUUUAUCCUAGUGGACCCGGCACAACUUAUCACUGCCAGCCGAUUCCAGAAGGAUUUGCUAAGGUGAUGGUGGAUGAAAUAACGGAGGGAUUUGAGGACCUCCUGCUUGAGCACCCUACCGGUGAAGGGGAGACUAGGCUGGGUUCUGCUCUGAAGACUCCAUGCCUAUGGCGGAAGGAGCUCAUCAACCUUCCGAACUGGACGCCUCCGCCUCCUCCUCCUCCUCCGGCGAGUCAGGGCACUCCGCCUCCUCCACCGCCUCCUCCUCCGGCGAGUGAUGAUCAGGGCACACGUGGCAGCACUCCGCCUCCUUCUCCGCCUGCGCCGGCGCGCCCGAGCAGCCAGCCUCCUCCUUCUCCGCCUCGUCAGCAAGGGCGAAAGAGACCCGCCGCUGCUCCGGCUGCUCCGGCGCGUCGUAAUCCUUCUCCUCCGCCUCACAAAAAGCAAGCAAAGAAGACAUCCACUCCGUCUGCUCUGUCGGUGUCUAGCAGUACAGCCAAAGGCGGGAAGAAAUACAGAUUUGGUCCUUCUCCGAAGACUCCAGAGAAGUUACCGUACGAGAGGACCGAGGAGGAAAACGCGGAGAUCACGCAGAACGAACUGGAUGGCUGGUUUGCAGGGUUGAAAGCAAAGAGACAUCCACCUCCGGAGGAGAAGGUAGAUCCGGUGAAAGUGAAGCGCACUCUGGCUGCCCUGAGGAAACCGGCAAAGUCUCCGCCGAGAACCAACUAUGAGCGCAUUACUGAACAGACAUAUCUCCAAGCGGAGCAGUCGGGAAGUACUGUCAGACAUCAAAGAGCAAAAGAACGAGCAGCUGCGAAAAAAGUUGACCAGCUCGGCGAACAACCAAACCAAUCGUGCCCCCCGCUCAAUGUGUCUAGCGGCAACAUCGUCGCUAAUGUUCCGGGGAUCAUGGACGGUUAUGGCAAUCCACAAUAUUACCUGCCUGACGAUGCACUUCCUGAAUUCAUGAUGGUGGAAGAACGCAGAUACGAGUACGGGAAGCCUCUCAUCAAAGAUGUAAAAUCUCUAACAACGAUGAUGCGAAGAUUCCAUACUUGGUACAUGAAAACCUGCAGAGAGUCUGGGGGGACGAAUAGUUUGUAUCUACACAUUAAAGAGGAGCACGACCUCGUUGGAACUGAUCUGUUGUGUGUUCCAUUUGAGGAGUUCUUCGCGUUCUUCAAUCAAAUAGCCCUCGAUAAAUUAACGGUCUUUUGCUACUGCCUGUAAGUACUAUUUCUGUCAUUAAGUCUCUAUAUAUAGCUUGGCUUUCAUUACAUGUAUUUAUAAUUAAUUAUCCUCAAUAUAUUAUGCAGAUUGAAGAUCGUCGAGUGCAAAAAAAUGAAAUCUAUGAUAUUGGGUUCAUUAACACAAAUAUCAUAGAUGUAUUUCUGGUUGAAAAGCACAUCGAAGAGGCCGAGGACAACUUGCUACGAUCAUUGAUCAAAAAUCAAAACAAAGAUACCAUACUCUUUCCUUACAACACCAAGUGAGUGUUACUGAUCAUUUGCAUAUUCGGUUUCCCUUAUUACUCGAGCGAGGUUAUAGUAAUGUAAUUGAUGAGUUAUGCAUGUGUGCGCAGGUACCACUAUAUUCUUCUGGAGAUUAAGCUUGAGCGUGGACUAGUAACCGUCUUAGACUCGAGACGGAAAGAUCCCAGCACCUAUGCGGACAUGACUGAAAUGCUCAGCAAGUAAGUUCAAUCGAUCAUUAUCGCACCAUAGCGGCAACUUUUUGUUCAUUUCCUGAUAUCUCAAGUAAUAAUAAUUAUUUUCUUUGUCUUGCAGGGUUUGGAAACAGUUCACCACAGUAGCUCGGGGACUGCCGAAGGAGCUGCGAUAUAUAUACCCGAAAGUAAGUACUACUGGCUAGCUAGUUGUGUGCAUCUCCUGUUGAUUCUAUAGCUAUACUUUCAUCACAUUUAUAAUGCUUCAUUAUCAGUUUGAUAGACCUCUAUUUCUCGUAAAGUGCUUGUGGUAGGAACAAGGGAAUGAUUUCUAUAGAUACUACGUGUGCGAGUUCAUCUACAACGCGACUUUGAAAAAUAAGCGGGGCUACUCUCAAAGACAAUAUGAAGUGCGUAAGCAAUUAAUAAUAUUCACAAUUUCUGUUGAGUUUCAUUCAUAUAUAUAUAUAUAUAUAUAUAUAUAUAUAUAUAUGUAUUAAUUAACCCCCUUCUUCAAAUUAGACGUGGCAGAUGCGGAAUGAACUCCUAGAACCAGAUCGCAUGAAAGGAAUUCAAGAGGAAUUGGCGGGAUUCUUUCUUGACCACGUCAUCAAUAAAGCCGGAGAAUACCAUGUGGAACUUGAUUUCAAAUGCUAGGGGACUGUAAUUGAGAGAUCUUAUAUAUUGUACAUGUUGUAUGUAGCCAGUAGCGUCGGACAUACAUGAUACAAAAACUUGUUGUUUGACCAAUCUCUCGGAGAAGGAGACGUCGAUCGAUCACUUCUCUCGGUAUGCAUGACGAACUUCUGUACUUAAUGGUUUCCUUCAUUUUCUUACUAGCUAGCGUGUCGAGAGCCUCUCUAUGUAUAGUACGUAGCGUCGACCAAGCACGGACAUAAGAGAGGACACUUCUCUCUAUUAAUUAGCUAGCUAACACAAUAUAUGAAACACCUAAAUUAACCCCCAAAACCNNNNNNNNNNNNNNNNNNNNNNNNNNNNNNNNNNNNNNNNNNNNNNNNNNNNNNNNNNNNNNNNNNNNNNNNNNNNNNNNNNNNNNNNNNNNNNNNNNNNNNNNNNNNNNNNNNNNNNNNNNNNNNNNNNNNNNNNNNNNNNNNNNNNNNNNNNNNNNNNNNNNNNNNNNNNNNNNNNNNNNNNNNNNNNNNNNNNNNNNNNNNNNNNNNNNNNNNNNNNNNNNNNNNNNNNNNNNNNNNNNNNNNNNNNNNNNNNNNNNNNNNNNNNNNNNNNNNNNNNNNNNNNNNNNNNNNNNNNNNNNNNNNNNNNNNNNNNNNNNNNNNNNNNNNNNNNNNNNNNNNNNNNNNNNNNNNNNNNNNNNNNNNNNNNNNNNNNNNNNNNNNNNNNNNNNNNNNNNNNNNNNCCCCCUGCCUGGGCUCGGCGCGUGGAUGCCUUUUGGUCCCGGUUGGUGCCACCAACCGGGACCAAAGGCCCCCCUGCCUGGGCUCGGCGCACAGGCCACGUGGAGGACCAUCUAUCCCGGUUCGUGUUACAACCGGGACUAAAGGGGGGAGGUAUUAGUAACGACCCAUUAGUCCCGGUUCAUGAACCGGGAGUAAAGGCCCUCACGAACCGGGACUAAUAGGUGUUUGUCUACUAGUGAUAAGCCUAUGACUUAUGAAGUUGGUGAGAAGGCUUACCUUCGGGUUACACCUUUAAAGGGAACCCAUCGAUUCGGUAUCAAGGGCAAGUUGGCCCCUUGUUACAUUGGACCCUUUUGCAUUCUUGCCAAACGAGGGGAAGUUGCCUACCAGUUGGAACUACCUCCACAUCUUUCUAGAGUUCAUGAUGUCUUCCACGUCUCUCAACUCAGGCAUUGCUUCUCGAAUCAUAUCCGCGAAGUAGACCAUGAAACGCGUGAUCUCCAAGAAAAUCUCACUUAUCGAGAAUAUCCAAUUCGCAUCCUUGAUCAAGCCGAGCGUACCACUCGACGCCAGAAUAUCAAGUUUCUCAAGGUUCAAUGGUCACACCACUCCGAUCAAGAAGCAACUUGGGAAAGGGAGGAUCAUCUACGACUUGAGUAUCCCACCUUCUUCCCGAUAGACCCUAAAUCUCGGGAUGAGAUUCUUUUGAGUGGGGGUGAGUUGUCACAACCUAGCUAGUCCAUGCAUUAGAGUGUUGCAUCAUGUCUACCUUUUAUCAGAAACUUGAAUUGGGGAAGACAGAACCCCCCCAGAACCCCUCUAAAUUCAACUAGUGCUUACUAAAAAUAUUUUCAAUGAACCUGAAAUGCCCUUCUAAAAAGUUCACCCUCUUUGUCUUGGGUUAGAACCUCUGGCAAAAUUGGUGCACAAUUUUCUAGGUCAACAGAAGGCCAUUGAAUUAAAUCAUAUCUACUUUGAGUUUGGGCAUUUAAACUAUAUAAAAUAUUUCAAAUGCUCAAAUAACUCCAAACUAAAAUGUUCCAUACUGGAUAUAUUCCAACUAGCGACCAUGUGCAGUUUGGUGAUUUUUGGAGUUGCCUAAGUAUUUUUAGAAAUGCAACAAACUUACAGAAACAAUUAAAAACAGAAACAAAUGGGGAAAAAACCCUUACCUGGCCGAACCAAGCCCCAGCCCAGCUGGCCGGCCCAGCACUGUGCUGGCCCAUGCCAGCCAGCUGCUUUGCCAUCGCCACGCAGGCACAGAGCUGACGCCAGCGAGUGUGAGCUCGCCACGGCGCCAACUGCUUGCCGCCCGCGCCACCGAGCACCUGGGUGAGCUCCACGUCGCCACCCCGACCCCGUGGACACCUCAUUCGCCCCCCUGCCUCUUCCCUCGCUCUCCCGCACCAUGGCCGACGCACCCGUCGCCGCACCGCCGACGUAGUCGCGCCCUCCAUCGUCCCCGUGCUGCACCACCGUGUCCCUUCGCUCCGUCGUCAUCAACUACAUCGAGCAGGCCGAGCCCCGAGCGCUCGUGGGCCUUGCUUCGUCUUCUUUGACCUCAUCUUCACCGAGCACCACCGCAGAUCCCCUUCGCCGUCGCCGCUGCACCAGCUCGUCCCCGACCUCGCCGACCACUCCGUUGUGACCGCCGUGAGCUCAGCCACCUCCCCAUCCUCCCCGUUUGCCUUCUCGUGCACCGUAGCAGCCGCAUGGAGCUUCAUCGCACGCACCACCGCCGAGCUCGUCGCCGACGUGCCUCCGGCCAUCCACCGUCCACACCACGGUAUCUAACAUGCUCAUUGCAUCGCGUAGAGUCUAACGCCCCACUCCACGCGCCUCGCCGUGCCCCGUAGCCACGGGUCAAUUUUCACCCGACUCCGGCGACCGUCGCGGUCGUCGCUGCCGACGUUCCUGGCCACCUCGACCUCAACCACCACCACCAAACGCCGCGGCUUGUUCCUGGCUACACGUAGAUGGUCUUCGCCGUCCAUUUGGUCGCCGGAACGUGCUAACCCACUUCCUCUGCCGCAUCUGGCCUCGCCAGCGGCUAGACGCCGGCGUGUUUGACCCGUUGACGUUGACUGGGUGGGCCAGGUUGACUCCCCUGAGUCUAUGACAAGUGGGCCCCCCCCUCUGCUAAUUAACCUAGUUUAGUUCUUACUAAAAUCAGUUAGUUUAAAUAAGUGCUGACAUGCGGGACCCACUGGUCAGUUUGACCUGAACGACCCCUUUGACCAUUGACGUCACCCUGAUGCACUGCUGACGCAAUAACCAAUUUCUGGAUUUAUUGUUAUAUAGGAAAUUCCAGAAAUUGUUGCAAACUUCAAAAAUUCAUAGAAAUUAAUCUGUAACUCCAAAUGCAAAGAUUUAUAUAUGAAUUUCGAUCAAAAAAAUUCAAUAUAUCCAUUGGUAAUGGUUUCAUGCAUGUCAGAACAAGUUAACCUUGUUGUUUAAUCAAAACAAGUUAAUGCACUAAUAUGACUAUGUUAAAUGAACUACCAUUUGCAUCUUUGAUUCAAAUGAGUUCAUACCUUUCUGUUCUAGCUUGCAUUAGGCCAGGACACAUUCAUGUUGCCAUGUCAUAGCAUGCAUCAUAUUGUUGCAUAUCGUCAUGUGUGGUUCAUGUUCGGUGUGUUUUCGUGAUAGGUUCUGCCUCCGAGGAUAACCCCGAAUAUCCGUCUGAAGGGCAGUAUCCUACUACCACUACAUCAGGCAAGCAACCCAUUGAUCAUUCUGAUACAAACCCAUGUUCUCGCCUCUGCUCUUGUUUACUGCAUUAAGAUAACGCGAUUCAAACUGUUGUGUGUUGUGGUAGUUGAACCCACUUCCUUUGCAUGACCUGUCAUUGCCACGGUAACUAGAUGAAACCCACUAGCAUGUGUAGGAGUUGAUUGAGCCAUAUCUGUGUUACCUACCAUGCUAUGCUUGCUAUGCUUAGAGUUGUGUCAGGUCUGGCUCAUCAGGAUGAUGAACUAGAGUGAAAGGUUGUGUCGGUAACGAGAGUGAAGUGUUGAACACGAUUUGGUAAAGGUAUCGAUGAGAGGCCAUGUAGGAGUACAUGGUGGGUUGUUUCAUUGAGGCCGUCCUUAAGCACUGAGAUCUGUGUGUGUGAUUUAAGAUUCAGCUACUACCACGCAUUGGGCCCAAAACCAAUGGACCCUCUCGACUUAUUAACCACUCUUGUCCUCAGUCCGGGAGUUGCAAGUAGUUUCUGGUGUUUGUAGCAUGCUGGGGGCCGCACGCAGCGCUGACCUUAGGGGUGGGUUGUGUUGCGGUAGGCACGUGGCACGGUGUAUCGAUUCGCCCGUUUGGUGUCUCGGGAACCCUGUUCACAUCGUUCGGGGCCGUUAGUGGAAACCUCGGCCGGACUCCCUGCGGAUGGAACCCAAAUAGGCGAUAAACCUGGACUAGGGACUCGUGUGUUUAGUCAGGCCAUGGCCGACACCCUUGCUGGGCUUCCGCUUGAAGGUUGCCGAGUACACGUCAUGUAGUGGCGAUAAGUGGUGAGAGCGUGUGUGAAGAAGUACACCCCUGCAGGGUACAAAACUAUUCGAAUAGCCGCGUCCACGGUAAAGGACUACUUGGUCACCUAUACAGUUCAUAGACAAGUAAAUGGAUACUUCUAAAAGCCUCAAGAUAAGUGUGAGUGCCGCGGAUGGCCCUGUCGUAGGUUGACGAGAGAGGAUCCACGGUGGAGUAUUGUGUUGGUGAGUAGUGGACUCGUGUGCGACAAAUGUUUUGCAAGUUGUGUCUAUCGUUGGAUAGCUUAGCCAAGAGUCAAAGCUGGCUUGCUGCAAUAACUCCACUACCUUCUUGAGAAUGUGCAUGUAUGAUAGGAUUCUGUUGUAAGACUUGCUGAGUACCUCUGUACUCAUGUUUGCUUAAUUAAUGUUUUCAGACGACAACACCAACCCCUCCGAUGGGUUCUACGUAGACCUCGACGUUGACGAGUGACUAGCCACCCAAGUGGUGAUCCAAGACUUGUGAAGGGCCGAUGUAGAUAGAAAGGCUUCAUCAAGCCCUCUUUCUUUCUAGUGUCUGUACUCAGACUAGUUGCUUCCGCAUGUGCUUGUAUGCUUGUAUGACUUGAGUGUCAGGUCAUGUGACCCCUAUCUGUAUGAACAUGUUAUGUAUGGCUCCUCGGAGCCACUUAAAUAAAGUACUUUGAGUUGUAGAGUUUUGUUGUGAUGCCAUGUUGUAUGUACUCAUAUCGGGCAUAUUGUGUGUAUGUUUGAAAUGCUUGGUAUGAGUGGGAUCCGACAAUCUAGUUGUUUAUCCUUGGCAGCCUCUCAUAUGGGGAAAUGUAGUCUAGUGCUUCUUGAGCGAUAGUAGUCCGCUACAGCCCGGUUCACCGGAGUCCUGCUAGCCCAGUACUACUGCUCUGGACACUUGACUGGCCGGCAUGUGUUUCACUUUGUUCCUGUGUCUGUCCCUUCGGGGAAAUGUCAAGCGGUGGCAUCCGGAGUCCUGCCUAGCCUGCUACAGCCCGGGUUACCGGAGUCCUGUUAGCCCAGCGUUACAUCCCGGAUGUAUACGUUGAUGACCAACAUGCUCGAUGUGAUUCAUGUAUGCAUGUCCCCAUAGGUUAGCGCCGCUUGGGUUCACGACUAGCCAUGUCGGCCCGGGUUCUCAGUCAUGUGGAUGCUAGCGACACUAUCAUAUACGUGAGCCAAAAGGCGCAAACGGUCUCGGGCCAUGGUAAGGCGCCACCCGUGGGAUUACCGUGCGUGAGGCCGCAAAGUGAUAUGAGGUGUUACCGGCUGGAUCAAUGUGACUUGGAAUCGGGGUCCUGACAAUUACUUGCUCCUAUCAUAUGUUUGGUUGCAACAAUGUCACUUCUUCACAUAUGCCAUGUCCCAUUGCUUGUCUCAUGCUUGACUUCAUUGCCUCACACAUGAUGAACAAUUGCUCUUUAUAUUGUGUUGAGUGUUACACUAUAUUCACUACAUCCUAUGCACGUUAUGUUUGGAUUGUCUUGCACUUGACCCAUGUGUUUAGACACUUCAUUUUAUUUGGUGUUGUGAAUCCUUCCUAUGCCUACCAUAGACCUUUCAUUGAGCAAUUUGUGAAUGCUUGCUAUGACCUCGAGGUAGAUGCUUAUGCUCUUGUCACACAUAUUUGCAUCUCUACCUCACAUUUACAUGCUUGUUCCCAUGAUAUUUUUGCUUGUGCUCGAUUGAUAUGCUUACAUGCCAUGUCACAAUCCUUUGUCACACCCUAUGCUAUGCUUGAUGACAACACUUGUUUGGUGAAUCACCUCUUGAAUGCUUGGUUUUGCACGAACGCAAACCACAUUUGUUUUUCCACGGGUUUGUUCUAUUUGCUCCUUUUGAAGGAAUCACAAGAUGGUGCGACACUGGAGAGUGCCCACUUCGAGCUACUAGACGAUGAGUGCUUGGUGAUCGACCACUUCGAUAUGGCACCGCCAUCUCUUUCCUAUGGUGAUUUGGUUUUCGAUCCGAGGUCGAAUCCUUCUCAAGGGGGAGGGGAUGAUGCGGAGCAUCCUAUGGACAUCACCAUGUCAAGAGUCCAUUCGGCAAGUGACACGUGCGACAUCUACUUCUCAUACAUAAAGGUGAAUCUUCUCCUUUACACGUGUUCACUUGACCCCUUCGAGGAUGGUAUACUACUUGACACUUCUCCCGUGUGCAUGCAUAGGUAUUGUCAGAGCUUUACGGAUGUCGAGGAGUGCAAGCGCCAAGGAACGACUACACCGUCCGCGAGGGAAGCAUGGAAGAGAAGGAGGAAGAGAACCUGGUGUUGGGGAACGUAGUAAUUUCAAAAUUUUCCUACGCACAUGCAAGAUCAUGGUGAUGAUAUAGCAACGAGGGGAGAGUGUUGUCUACGUACCCUCGUAGACCGAAGCGGAAGCGUUGACGCAGCGUAGAGGAAGUAGUCCUACGUCCUCCCGGUCCGACCGAUCCAAGCACCGUUACUCCGGCACCUCUGAGUUCUUGACACACGUACAGCUCGAUGACGCACCCUCGAUCUCCAAUCCAGUAGAGGCUCCAAGGGGGAGUUCCGUCAGCACGACGGCGUGGUGACUAUCUUGAUGUUCUCCUGUCGCAGGGCUUCGCCUAAGCACCGCUACAAUAUGACCGAGGUGUAAUAUCGUGGAGGGGGGCACCGCACACGGCUAAGGAACGAUCAAUGAUCAACUUGUGUGUUCUAGGGUGCCCCCUACCCCCGUAUAUAAAGGAGGGAGGGAGGAGGUGGCCGACCCAAGGAGGGGGCGCGCCAUGGGAGGAGGAAACCUACUCCAAGUAGGUUUCCCCUCUUUUUCCUUAUCUUAUUUGGAGGGGGAAGGAAGGAGUACUAGUAGUAGGAAGGAGUACUAGUAGUAGGAAAGGAAGAGGGGGAAGGAGAAAGGAAAGGGGGGGCCGGCCCCCCUCCCCAAUUCGGAUUGGGCUUGGGGGGGCGCGCCCCCCUCCCUUGCUCCUUCUCCCUUCCUCCUACAUGGGCCCAAUAAGGCCCAUAUACCUCCCGGGGGGGUUUCGGUAACCUCCCGGAGCUCCAAACUCUUCCGGAACCUUUCCGGUGUCCAAAUAUAUCCGUCCAAUAUAUCGAUCUUUAUGUAUCGACCAUUUCGAGACUCCUCGUCAUGUCCGUGAUCAUAUCCGGGACUCCGAACAAACUUCGGUACAUCAAAAUACAUAAACUCAUAAUAUAACUGUCAUCGAAACCUUAAGCGUGCGGACCCUACGGUUCGAGAACGAUGUAGACAUGACCGAGACAUGUCUCUGGUCAAUAACCAAUAGCGGGACCUGGAUGCCCAUAUUGGUUCCUACAUAUUCUACGAAGAUCUUUAUCGGUCAAACCGCAUAACAGCAUACGUUGUUCCCUUUGUCAUUGGUAUGUUACUUGUCCGAGAUUUGAUCGUCGGUAUCCAAUACCUAGUUCAAUCUCGUUACCGACAAGUCUCUUUACUCGUUCUGUAAUACUUCAUCUCAUAACUAACUCAUUAGUUAUAUGCUUGCAAGGCUUAUGUGAUGAGCAUUACCGAGAGGGCCCAGAGAUACCUCUCCGACAAUCGGAGUGACAAAACCUAAUCUCGAAUUAUGCUAACUCAACAUGUACCUUCGGAGACACCUGUAGUACUCCUUUAUAAUCACCCAGUUACGUUGUGACGUUUGGUAGUACCCAAAGUGUUCCUCCGAUAAACGGGAGUUACACAAUUCUCAUAGUUACAGGAACAUGUAUAAGUCAUGAAGGAAGCAAUAGCAGAAUACUAAACGAUCAAGUGCUAAGCUAACGGGAUGGGUCAUGUCAAUCACAUCAUUCUCCUAAUGAUGUGAUCCCAUUAAUCAAAUGACAACACAUGUCUAUGGUUAGGAAACAUAACCAUCUUUGACUAAUGAGCUAGUCAAGUAGAGGCAUACUAGUGACUAUAUGUUUGUCUAUGUAUUCACACAUGUAUCAUGUUUCCGGUUAAUACAAUUCUAGCAUGAAUAAUAAACAUUUAUCAUGAUAUGAGGAAAUAAAUAAUAACUUUAUUAUUGCCUCUAGGGCAUAUUUCCUUCAGUCUCCCACUUGCACUAGAGUCAAUAAUCUAGUUCACAUCGCCAUGUGAUUUAACACCAAUAUUCAUAUCUGUAUAUGAUUAACACCCAUAGUUCACAUCAUCAUGUGACCAACAUCCAAAGUGUUUACUAGAGUCAAUAAUCUAGUUCACAUCGCUAUGUGAUUAACACCCAAAGAGUACUAAGGUGUGAUCAUGUUUUGCUCGUGAGAGAAGCUCAGUCAACGGGUCUGUCACAUUCAGAGCCAUAUGUAUUUUGCAAAUAUUCUAUGUCUACAAUGCUCUGCACGGAGCUACUCUAGCUAAUCGCUCCCACUUUCAAUAUGUAUCCAGAUUGAGACUUAGAGUCAUCUGGAUCGGUGUGAAAACUUGCACCGAGAUAACUUUUACGACGGGCUCUUUUAUCACCUCCAUAAUCGAGAAAUAUUUCCUUAGUCCUCACUAAGGAUAUUCUUGACCAAUGUCCAGUGAUCUACUCCUAGAUCACUAUUGUACUCCCUUGUCAAAUACAGAGCAAGGUAUACAAUAGGUCUGGUACAUAGCAUGGCAUACUUUAUAGAACCUAUGACUGAGGCAUAGGGAAUGACUUUUCAUUCUCUUUCUAUUUUCUGCUGUGGUCGGGAUUUGAGUCUUACUCAAUUUCAUACCUUUGCAACACAGGCAAGAACUCUUUCUUUGACUGUUCCAUUUUGAACUACUUCAAAAUCUUGUCAAGGUAUGUACUCAUUGAAAAUCUUAUCAAGCGUCUUGAUCUAUCUCAAUAGAUCUUGAUGCUCAAUAUGUAUGUAGUUUUACUGAGGUCUUUCUUUGAAAAAACUCUUAUUCAAGUAUCCUUUAAUGCUUUGCAGAAUAAUUCUACAUUAUUUCCGAUCAGCAAUAUGUCAUUCACAUAUACUUAUCAGAAAUGCUGUAGUGCUCCCACUCACUUUCUUGUAAAUACAGGCUUCACCGCAAGUCUGUAUAAUACUAUAUGCUUUGAUCAACUUAUCAAAGCGUAUAUUCCAACUCUGAGAUGCUUGCACCAGUCCAUAGAUGGAUUGCUGGAGCUUGCACAUUUUGUUAGCACCUUUAGGAUUGACAAAACCUUCUGGUUGUAUCAUAUACAACUCUUCUUUAAUAAAUUCAUUAAGGAAUGUAGUUUUGACAUCCAUUUGCCAAAUUUCAUAAAAUGUGGCAAUUGCUAACAUGAUUCGGACAAACUUUUAAGCAUCGAUACGAGUAAGAAAAUCUCAUCGUAUUCAACACCUUGAACUUUGUCAAAAACCUUUUUUCGACAAGUCUAGCUUUGUAGAUAGUAACACUACUAUCAACGUCCGUCUUCCUCUUGAAGAUCCAUUUAUUCUUAAUGACUCACUGAUCAUCGGGCAAGUCAAUCAAAGUCUACACUUUGUUCUCAUACAUGGAUCAUAUCUCAGAUUUCAUGGCCCCAAGCCAUUUCGUGGAAUCUGGGCUCAUCAUCGCUUCCUCAUAGUUCGUAGGUUCAUCAUGGUCUAGUAACAUGACUUCCAGAACAUGAUUACCGUACCACUCUGGUGCGGAUCUUACUCUGGAAGACCUACGAGGUUUGGUAGCAACUUGAUCUGAAGUUUGAUGAUCAUCAUCAUUAACUUCCUCACUAAUUGGUGUAGGAAUCACUGGAACUGAUUUCUGUGAUGAACUACUUUCCAAUAAGGGAGAAGGUACAAUUACCUCAUCAAGUUUUACUCUCCUCCCACUCACUUCUUUCGAGAGAAACUCCUUCUCUGGAAAGGAUCCAUUUUAGCAACGAAUGUCUUGCCUUCGGAUCUGUGAUAGAAGGUGUACCCAACAAUUUCCUUUGGGUAUUCUAUGAAGACGCACUUCUCCGAUUUGGGUUCGAGCUUAUCAGGAUGAAACUUUUUCACAUAAGCAUCGCAGCCCCAAACUUUAAGAAACAACAGCUUAGGUUUACUGCUAAACCAUAGUUCAUACGGUGUCGUCUCAACGGAUUUAAAUGGUGCCCUAUUUUAAAACGUGAAUGCAGCUGUCUCUAAUGCAUAACCCCAAAACGAUAGUGGUAAAGAGACAUCAUAGAUCGCACCAUAUCAAAUAAAGUGCGGUUACGACGUUCGGACACACCAUAACGAUGUGGUGUUCCAGGUGGUGUGAGCUGUGAAACUAUUCCACAUUGUUUUAAUUGAAGACCAAACUCGUAACUCAAAUAUUUGUCUCCGCUAUCAGAUCGCAGAAACUUUAUUUUCUUGUUACGAUGAUUUUUCCACUUCACUCUGAAAUUCUUUGAACCUUUCAACUAUUUCAGACUUAUGUUUCAUCAAGUAGAUAUACCCAUAUCUGCUCAAAUCAUCUUGUGAAGGUCAGAAAAUAACGAUACUUGCCACGAGCCUCAACACUCAUUGGAUCGCAUACAUCGGUAUGUAUUAUUUCCAAUAAGUCAGUAGCUUGUUCCAUUAUUCCGGAGAACGGAGUUUUAGUCAUCUUGCCCAAAAGGCACGGUCCGCAAGCAUCAAAUGAUUCAUAACCAAGUGAUUCCGAAAAUCCAUCUUUAUGGAGUUUCUUCAUGCGCUUUACACCGAUAUGACCCAAACGGCAGUGCCACAAAUAAGUUGCACUAUCAUUAUUAACUUUGCAUCUUUUGGCUUCAAUAUUAUGAAUGUGUGUAUCACACGAUCGAGAUCCAACAAACCAUUUUCAUUGGGUGUAUAACCAUAGAAAGUUUUAUUCAUGAAAACAGAACAACAAUUAUUCUCUAACUUACAUGAAUAACCGUAUUGCAAUAAACAUGAUCAAAUCAUAUUCAUUCUCAACGCAAACACCAAAUAACACUUAUUUAGGUUUAACACUAAUCCCGGAAGUAUAGGGAGUGUGCGAUGAUGAUCAUAUCAAUCUUGGAACUAUUUCCAACACACAUCGUCACUACACUCUUAACUAGUCUCUGUUUAUUCUGCAACUCCCGUUUCGAGUUACUAAUCUUAGCAACCGAACAAGUAUCAAAUACUUAGGGGCUACUAUAAACACUAGUAUGGAACACAUCAAUAAUCUGUAUAUCAAAUAUACCCUUGUUCACUUUGCCAUCCUUCUUAUCAACCAAAUAUUCAGGGCAUUUCCGCUUCCAGUGACCAUUUCCUUUGCAGUGUAAACACUCAGUUUCAGGCUAUGGUCCAGCUUUGGGCUUGUCUUUCCACUUGAAGUUCCCUUUCUUUCCCUUUGCCCUUCUCUUGAAACUAGUGGUCUUGUCAAUCAUCAACACUUGAUGCUCUUUCUUGAUUUCUACCUUCGUCGAUUUCAACAUCACGAAGAGCUCGGGAAUCAUUUUUUCGUCAUCCCUUGCAUACUAUAGUUCAUCACGAAGUUCUAGUAACUUAGUGAUGGUGACUAGAGAAUUCUGUCAAUCACUAUCUUAUCUGGAAGAUUAACUCCCACUUGAUUCAAGCGAUUGAAGUACCCAGACAAUCUGAGCACAUGCUCACUAGUUGAGCGAUUCUCCUCCAUCUUUUAGCUAUAGAACUUGUUGGAGACUUCAUAUCUCUCAACUCGGGUAUUUGCUUGAAAUAUUAACUUCAAUUCCUGGAACAUCUCAUAUGGUCCAUGAUGUUCAAAACAUCUUUGAAGUCCCGAUUCUAAGCCGUUAAGCAUGGUGCACAAAACUAUCAAGUAGUCAUCAUAUUGAGCUAGCCAAACGUUCAUAACGUCUACAUUUGCUCCUGCAUUAGGUCUUUCACCUAGCGGUGCAUUAAGGACAUAAUUCUUCUGUGCAGCAAUGAGGAUAAACCUCAGAUCACGGAUCCAAUCCGCAUCAUUGCUACUAACAUCUUUCAACACAGUUUUCUCUAGGAACAUAUCAAAAUAAACAUAUGAAAGCAACAACGCGAGCUAUUGAUCUAUAACACAAUUUGCAAAAUACUACCAGGACUAAGUUCAUGAUAAAUUAAAGUUCAAUUAAUCAUAUUACUAAAGAACUCCCACUUAGACAGACAUCUCUCUAGUCAUCUAAGUGAUCACGUGAUCCAAAUCAACUAAACCAUGUCCGAUCAUCACGUGAGAUGGAGUAGUUUCAAUGGUGAACAUCGCUAUGUUGAUCAUAUCUACUAUAUGAUUCACGCUCGACCUUUCGGUCUCCGUGUUCCGAGGCCAUAUCUGUAUAUGCUAGGCUCGUCAAGUAUAACCUGAGUAUUCCGCAUGUGCAACUGUUUUGCACCCGUUGUAUUUGAACGUAGAGCCUAUCACACCCGAUCAUCACGUGGUGUCUCAGCACGAAGAACUUUCGCAACGGUGCAUACUCAGGGAGAACACUUCUUGAUAAUUAGUGAUAGAUCAUCUUAAAAUGCUACCGUCAAUCAAAGCAAGAUAAGAUGCAUAAAGGAUAAACAUCACAUGCAAUCAAUAUAAGUGAUAUGAUAUGGCCAUCAUCAUCUUGUGCUUGUGAUCUCCAUCUCCGAAGCACCGUCGUGAUCACCAUCGUCACCGGCGCGACACCUUGAUCUCCAUCGUAGCAUCGUUGUCGAUUACGCCAUCUAUUGCUUCUACGACUAUCGCUACCGCUUAGUGAUAAAGUAAAGCAAUUACAGGGCGUUUCCAUUUCAUACAAUAAAGUGACAACCAUAUGGCUCCUGCCAGUUGCCGAUAACUUCGGUUACAAAACAUGAUCAUCUCAUACAAUAAAAUAUAGCAUCACGUCUUGGCCAUAUCACAUCACAACAUGCCCUGCAAAAACAAGUUAGACGUCCUCUACUUUGUUGUUGCAAAUUUUACGUGGCUGCUACGGGCUUAGCAAGAACCGUUCUUACCUACGCAUCAAAACCACAACGAUAGUUUGUCAAAUAGACUCCGUUUUAACCUUCACAAGGACCGGGCGUAGCCACACUCGGUUCAACUAAAGUUGGAGAAACAGACACCCGCCAGUCACCUGUGUGCAAAGCAUGGCGGUAAAACCAGUCUCGCGUAAGCGUACGCGUAAUGUCGGUCCGGGCCGCUUCAUCCAACAAUACCGCUGAACCAAAGUAUAACAUGCUGGUAGGCAGUAUGACUUAUAUCGUCCACAACUCACUUGUGGUCUACUCGUGCAUAUAACAUCAACGAAUAAAACCUAGGCUCUGAUGCCACUGUUGGGGAACGUAGUAAUUUCAAAAUUUUCCUACGCACAUGCAAGAUCAUGGUGAUGAUAUAGCAACGAGGGGAGAGUGUUGUCUACGUACCCUCGUAGACCGAAGCGGAAGCGUUGACGCAACGUAGAGGAAGUAGUCGUACGUCCUCCCGGUUCGACCGAUCCAAGCACCGUUACUCCGGCACCUCCGAGUUCUUGACACACGUACAGCUCGAUGACGCACCCUCGAUCUCCAAUCCAGUAGAGGCUCCGAGGGGGAGUUCCGUCAGCACAACAGCGUGGUGACUAUAUUGAUGUUCUCCUGUCGCAGGGCUUCGCCUAAGCACCGCUACAAUAUGACCGAGGUGUAAUAUCGUGGAGGGGGGCACCGCACACGGCUAAGGAACGAUCAAUGAUCAACUUGUGUGUUCUAGGGUGCCCCCCUACCCCCGUAUAUAAAGGAGGGAGGGAGGAGGUGGCCGGCCCAAGGAGGGGGCGCGCCAUGGGAGGAGGAAACCUACUCCAAGUAGGUUUCCCCUCUUUUUCCUUAUCUUAUUUGGAGGGGGAAGGAAGGAGUACUAGUAGUAGGAAGGAGUACUAGUAGUAGGAAAGGAAGAGGGGGAAGGAGAAAGGAAAGGGGGGGCCGGCCCCCUCCCCAAUUCGGAUUGGGCUUGGGGGGGCGCGCCCCCCUCCCUUGCUCCUUCUCCCUUCCUCCUACAUGGGCCCAAUAAGGCCCAUAUACCUCCCGGGGGGUUCCGGUAACCUCCCGAAGCUCCAAACUCUUCCGGAACCUUUCCGGUGUCCAAAUAUAUCCGUCCAAUAUAUCAAUCUUUAUGUCUCGACCAUUUCGAGACUCCUCGUCAUGUCCGUGAUCACAUCCGGGACUCCGAACAAACUUUGGUACAUCAAAAUACAUAAACUCAUAAUAUAACUAUCAUCGAAAACUUAAGCGUGCGGACCCUACGGUUCGAGAACGAUGUAGACAUGACCGAGACAUGUCUCUGGUCAAUAACCAAUAGUGGGACCUGGAUGCCCAUAUUGGUUCCUACAUAUUCUACGAAGAUCUUUAUCGGUCAAACCGCAUAACAGCAUACGUUGUUCCCUUUGUCAUCGGUAUGUUACUUGUCCGAGAUUUGAUCGUCGGUAUCCAAUACCUAGUUCAAUCUCGUUACCGACAAGUCUCUUUACUCAUUCUGUAAUACUUCAUCUCAUAACUAACUCAUUAGUUAUAUGCUUGCAAGGCUUAUGUGAUGAGCAUUACCGAGAGGGCCCAGAGAUACCCCUCCGACAAUCGGAGUGACAAAACCUAAUCUCGAAUUAUGCUAACUCAACAUGUACCUUCGGAGACACCUGUAGUACUCCUUGAUAAUCACCCAGUUACGUUGUGACGUUUGGUAGUACCCAAAGUGUUCCUCCGGUAAACGGGAGUUACACAAUUCUCAUAGUUACAGGAACAUGUAUAAGUCAUGAAGGAAGCAAUAGCAGAAUACUAAACGAUCAAGUGCUAAGCUAACGGGAUGGGUCAUGUCAAUCACAUCAUUCUCCUAAUGAUGUGAUCCCAUUAAUCAAAUGACAACACAUGUCUAUGGUUAGGAAACAUAAUCAUCUUUGACUAAUGAGCUAGUCAAGUAGAGGCAUACUAGUGACUAUAUGUUUGUCUAUGUAUUCACACAUGUAUCAUGUUUCCGGUUAAUACAAUUCUAGCAUGAAUAAUAAACAUUUAUCAUGAUAUGAGGAAAUAAAUAAUAACUUUAUUAUUGCCUCUAGGGCAUAUUUCCUUCACCUGGCCGCUCCAGAACGAGCGGUACUACCGCCCACUCCAAGCGGUACUACCGCUGAGGCCACCCAAGAGGCACUACCGCCCAGCAUCCGCCCUACUACCGCUCAACCCGACAAACUCCAGUGAUCGAGCGGUAUAAGCCCGGUACUACCGCCCCUCCAAGCGGUACUACCGCUCAAGCGGUACUACCACCCAUGAGUCCGGUACUACCGCCCUGCUUGUGAGCAGCCGCGGGCCUUUGGCCUUGUAUCCCUCUCCCACUUACCCCUUCGUGGCUUAGACUAUAAAUAGACCACCUCCACCUCCUUUCUAGGGUUAGAACAGAUUGAGCUUAUUUUGAGAUAGAGCUUUACUCAUCCAUACGGAUCUACUCCUCGUGAGAGACUGCGGCCUCUUCGGAGAAGAUCGAUCUUGGAUUCAAGACCCCUCGUGGGAAGAUCCGUCUAGGAUCAUCAAGACCUCCUCUUGGAGAUGAACCUUACCUUGUAUCUUUCCCUUUGUUGUUCAUGUACCCUUGUGGAUCUUGUGUGUUUGAUUGUCUAGUGGAUGUGUGAUUGGACUUGUUCUUGAGUGUUUCCCCUUGUGAUUUCUCUCCGUUCUUCCCUGUGUUCUUCGUGUUCUUCGUGGGGAUCCACUCCAAACGUGAAAAAUCGGCCUCUAGGGUUCUACCCUACAUCAUCAUCCUUCAAAAAUAUGGAGGGCCAUUAUUGACGGAAGGGAUAUUAUAUGGCGCAAGGUAUAAUCAGACGCAUCGGGGAUGGAGCGACUACACACAUAUGGGAUCACAACUGGAUUAUGAUGGAAAGCUAUAAGAGGCCAAUAACUAAGUUAGUGCAGAACCCCCCUCAGAAACAUUUUAUGUAUACACGUUAACAUUUCCCAGAUAUAUGAUUAAUAUUUUUGGAAAACUUCUAUUUUUUAUGUGUACUUUUUUAUACAUUUUGUAAUAUCAGAAAUAGUUUUUAUAGAAGGUUUAACAUUUUUCAAAUACAUGAUUACCUUUUUGUAAACUUAUAUUGUUUGACGUUUACUUUUUUUCAUAGACAUAGUGAGGGGUUAUAUCUAAGGAAUAGGCCCAAGUACAUGUAUGGCACAACCAAAUGCCCAUGUUAAUCAAGGAUGUUCCACAAGACAAAUGGGGAAACACACCAAGGCCAAUGGAGCUACAAGGCCAAGGCAUCGGAUACAAGGGGAGAGUCAACUAUGUACAGUCGGAUUACACAGCCCUUAACAGACAAGACUCAUCAGUUGGUCCACUAUUGGAAUCAGGUCAUUUGCCGUCAGCCCAGAAUAGACGCGAAGACUUUGCCGUGAGCAAGUUGACGACAAACACAAUCAGCAAAGACUAUAUCGGCAGAGAGCUAAUUUGACGUCAACUUUUCAUCGCGCUGAUGACAAAGACUUUGCCGUCAAUUAAACUAUGUGUUUGUAGUCUGUAGAGAAAACACAAACGGCAAAGAAAUUAAAAAAAUGGUCAUUUUAAAAUAAUUUUUAGAAAUCUAUAUACUGUUUUUUAAAAUGUUUAAUAUGUACCAAGAAUUAUUUCGUAAGUAUACAAAAGAUGUAUAACGUGUAUGAAAAUUACGUAGACAUCAGAACAUAUUAUAGAAAUGUUAAUCUUGUAUUUAAAAAUUUUAAAUACACAUGCAUAAAAAUGUUUUUGAUGUACAUAAAAAAAUUGUACAUAGUGUGUGAACAAAGUAUGCAUUGAAAAAACAAAAAUCUUGUUGGAAAAAAAUCUCGUGUUGUAUACGAAAAUGUAAAAGGUGUAUGAAAAUAAUUAGAUAUAUGUUUAAUGAAAAAAGGAAAGAAGGCGCAAAAAAUCCGAUUAACACCAAGAUAGGAACAAGAAAACCUGAAGAAGACCAUUGAAAAAAAGAAAUGAAUACAAGAAAGAGGAAGAAAAACAAAAAAAAUGAAGAAGCUGAUGCAGAACAGGGAACUUAGUGAAAACGAAUAAAAAUUGAUGAAAACCGAGAAGAAAAACAAGAAAACUGAAGCAAAAAUUAAGAAAAAUAUGUAAAAAAAAUGAUGAAACAUUGCGAAACAGUGAAAUACUAUGAAAACCAAAGGAAAAAAAGACUCAAAAAUAAGAACGUACAGCAAGCGAAUGAACAACAACUGAGUGAACGAGCGAACAUGCGAGAAUACGUUAAUUGUCUGGCCCAUACUUGUGGAUUCCAGAGGCGAGCCAGAAUAGGCGAGAUAUAGCUAUGACGAUUUGAUACCCUUCAUAGCUUCACGAAUGCUAUAUCUCGCUCACAGCGAAAGUAUUUUUUGUCUGGCCUGAAGGUGAAAGAAUAGCAUCAGGUCGCUGUAAGUUUUGUGAUCCUACAAUCAGAGCUCGAUAAGAUUAAAAUUCAUGUUUCUGACAACCAGUCAUUCGCUCACUCAAUUCCACGUACUAGUUUGGUUAGGUUUUUUUUUCAUUUUUUUCUGUUUUUUAUUUCUUCACUGGCUUUCUUUGGUUUUUUUAUCGGUUUUCUUUGUUUCCUUCACGUUUUACUCUUUCUUUUCCUUUUUACUGGUUUAUCUAUUCCUUUUUUCUUUGUUUCUUUCUUGGUUUUCUUUGUUUUUUCUUUCUUUUGAUGUCAACCUUUUUACAUACACAUUCAACAAUUUUCGUAUACAUCAGAAACAUUUUAUGUAUACACGUUAACAAUUCCCAGGUACAUGAUUAAUAUUUUUGGAAAACUUCUAUUUUUUAUGUGUACUUUUUGAUACAUUUUGUAUAUAUCAGAAAUAUUUUUUAUAGAAGGUUUAACAUUUUUUAAAUACAUGAUUACCUUUUUGUAAACUUAUAUUGUUUGACGUUUACUUUUUUUCAUAGACAUAGUGAGGGGUUAUAUCUAAGGAAUAGGCCCAAGUACAUAUAUGGCCCAAGUACAUUUAAUCAAGGAUGUAGUCCACAAGACAAAUGGGGAAACAGACGGGGGCCAAUGGAGCUACAAGGCCAAAGCAUCGGAUACAAGGGGAGAAUCUACAGUCGGAUUACACAACCCUUGACAGACAAGACUCAUUAGUUGGUCCGCUAUAGGAAUCGGGUAAUUUGCCGUCAGCCGAGAACAUACUCAAAGACUUUGCCGUCAGCAAGUUGAUGACAACUUUUCAUCACGUUGAUGACAAAGACUUUGCCGUCAAUUAAACUAUGUGUUUAUCGUCUAUAGAAAAAACACAAACGGCAAAGGAAAGCACCUUUGCCAUCAGCGGCUAAUCUGCAUGUGUCUUCAACAAGACUCGUCUUGUCACUAGCCUCAAACAUCACAGAUGGAAAAGAAAUUUUUUAUUUUAAAAAAUCUGCGUCGACCACCCUACUUCGCACAUGUAGCCACCGCCUGGCCGCGCUCGCUGAUCACCCACAAGUGUAGGGGAUCUAUCGUAGUCCUUUCGAUAAGUAAGAGUGUCGAACCGAACGAGGAGUAGAAGGAAAUGACAAGCGGUUUUUAGUAAGGUAUUCUCUGCAAGCACUGAAAUUAUCGGUAACAGAUAGUUUUGUGAUAAGGUAAUUCGUAACGGGUAACAAGUAACAACAGUAAAUAAAGUGCAGCAAGGUGGCACAAUCCUUUUUGUAGCAAACGACAAGCCUGGACAAAUUCUUAUAUGAAGGAAAACGCUCCCGAGGACACAUGGGAAUUAUCGUCAAGCUAGUUUUCAUCACGCUCAUAUGAUUCACGUUCAUUACUUUGAUAAUUUAAUAUGUGGAUGGACCGGUGCUUGGAUACUGCUCUUUCUUGGAUAAGCAUCCCACUUAUGAUUAACCCCUAUUGCAAGCAUCCGCAACUCAAAAGAAAUAUUAAGGUAAACCUAAUCAUAGCAUGAAACAUUGACACGGCACAUUAUAAAGAGUUCAACCCAAAUUUUGUAGUAACACUAUUAUAUUUAAAUAGUGAUUAUUCCAACACAUGGAUAAUUAAUUAAGGCACCAGGUUGCGCUUGUGACCAGGAAAGACAAACUUAUGAACUUGCAAGCAUGACAAUCAGAUCGACAUCCACACAAUGUCAAUAUGAACAUUGUCUUGAUACAACUUUAUUUGUAUUUUAUUUCAGAAUUUAAACAACUAGUUUGGGCGGGUCACACACGACGUUGUGUGACACUUUAUUUGUCACCGCUGCAUCGACAUAUCCAUCGACUAAACAACGGUGAUCCAACUAUAUAUUACUAGAGACCUUUCCUUAUCAGUAG